CUCAGCAUUGGUUUCUCACAGCACAUUGCAGGUGACACUAACACCAGUAGUAAAAAUGUAAAAUCAGUAACCACCUGAAUUGCUCAAAACAAUUAGUUCAUGAAUACAACACAGUUAACCACAACUUUUAACAUAAUGUUACUUAGGCCACAGUUUCCCUCUACUCAUCUUGUUAUACAAUCGGCCUUGCUACGCUACAGGGAACAACCUGACGGCGUCCCAAGAGACCCUUAUGAUGCCACCAUUCCUCGCCUCCGCCUCCUGGAACGUCCACCCAAAUGCCUCCGAAGGGUGGGGGAGCUCCCUCCACUUCUCGGUCCUGAGCUCAGUGACAUCAACCACGCAAACGCAGCUCUUCGUUGUGCUCUUCCCUGGCGCUUGGAAGAUCUUGCCCCUGCCAACCUCCUUCCCAUCGUUGUCGACUAAUGAUACGAGGCGGCCGGGCUCCAGCGAGAAGGAUCUCGUGAAUGGACGUACCAUCAUCGUCGUGUUCGGGGAUAGCUCUGUCUGCGACGUUUGCUCAGUGCUGUCCGGGCUCAACAGGCUACCACCUUUGGAUAGAGCAGUCAUCACACCUGCAGGGGGUAGAUAGUUGUCCUCCCCGGCACUUUCUGAAGACUCACCGAGAUGGGGAGUAGAUGGUUUAUCAGCAUUCUCCGCCCUUUCUUUUGCAAUGCGAGCAAGCUUAGCUUUCCGGAUGUUCAACCUAGAAAUUGCACGCGAAAACACUGUUACAAAUAGCUUUAGAUGAGAAGCACAAAAAACAUUAUUAUCAAUUUGAAGAAAGAAACUUCAAACAACGGUUAAGAUACACAGUUUUACCAGUUUUAAGUUGUGAUGCUGUGAUCUCUGGGCCCUACAAAAGCACGGCCGUAUUUUCCAUAAAUGAGAAUGCAUUCAGCAAUUAAGACCUAAGAAUAGAAUGCCCCAAAGUGAAAAAAUUACCGACAAACUUAACUUCUCUGACCAACUCUGCAAUAGAACAGGGUUUUUGUGCAUCUCAGGCUCAUCUACUAGAGCCUUCUCUAAUUCAUCUAUUUUCUCAUUAUUCAUAAGGGGCCGCUUCCUUCUCUUAGGUUGCCUCUCAUCAUACAUACUACUCUCUCCUUUCCCCUACUCCUGGAGAUCGUUUUUUUUGUAAAUUCUGAUGUUUUGAAAUUAUCCACGUUGCUGGAUGCUGAAUCAAGAUCCAUUCUGUUGUGCUGGUGUCCAGUCCUAACACCGGAAGCGACAGCCGAAGGGCCACCACUUGCUGUUCUUGCAACGCCAAGAUGGACUAGGUCUUGGCCAACUGCAUUCUGCAGGAAACCACCAUUUCUAGAGACAGUGUUCUUUGGAGUCUCGUCCUCAUCAUUUCCUUCCGGAUUUAUUGUGGGUACUGGUGUAGACACUUCCAUGUUAUGUGCAUCCUAUUGCAUCAGCUUUCGAUUAGAAUACAAUUCACUGUGGACCCAAACCCAAUCACCAGUCAUGUUUCAUUGACCCACUCAUCUAAGUAUUCACCUUUGAAAGAUUAUUCAUUUUGGACGCUGGAGUGCUUGUCCGUGUUGGUAGGAGCUACUGCACCGGGCGCAUGGCCUCCAUGCUUUCUGGUGGAAUAUCAUUUUGUACAACCUGAAACAUUUCAUAAUGACGCCAUACAACAAUUGAAAAAAUAAGAGAAAAUUUGAAAGAAAACAUGAAAACAUGAAAAUUCUGCCAUAGAAUGGAUAUUAAAUUGACCUUUGAAGUUCACUGACAAAGGAGCCAAGGCCAGGAAAGGAUGAUGGGAUAGUGUUGAGCUCAAUUUGAAGUAGUGAAUUGGUUUAAGAAUCCAGCAUAUAGUCAGACCGGUGCAAUCCUAAGUGUAUAUCCUAAAAGUGUAUCAAGCACAUAUUAGUGGCUGGCUAAAAACAAGAGAAAGUUUGAAAGAAGCAUUUACUAAAGGUCAAAACUGAGACACAGAGGCCGAUAAGAAACAGUUUACUCACCUCUUUCGUAUUUAUAGACAUCAUCUUAUCAUGAAUUUCUAGCAGCCUUGAGGUAAAUUCAUCAAACUGCUUUGUUCUGAAAUUAGAAAAUGAUAAUCCGCUAUUAACCUGAAACUAUUAUAUAACUGAGAAUGUGAAAAAUAGCUCGGCCUUCGAUGACCUGACUAACAGAGAGUUAUAUUCUCCUCAAAAUUCAAGGCGACAAUCUUGUGAUGAUAAAAAUCAGCUGACAAUCUCAUCUACUCACUGUAUGCUCUGAACAAAGAUAUAUACCACAUUGGUACCAAAAGAAUCCAGUGGAUAUAAUUCAGAACGAGGCCGUGUCUGGGGCGGGAAGGCGUCCGGCAGCUCGGAGACGGAGACGGACCUGCUGGUGGUGCACUGGUGCGAGAUGCAGGGGGAGGACAUGGCGUGGGGGAAACCGAUUCGUGGUGGCUGCCAUCGUGCUCCGGCUUCGUGCCUUGGCGGCGGAGAAAUUGGGAAUGGUUGUUCGGCUGGUCCUAGUCCGAUGUGGGCAUGUGGCGGAUCAAUCUCCGGCUUGUUUCGGCUAGACCUGGCCACAUGAUCCAACCAACCAGACUCAACCGAUUCGAAAAAAACUUGGCUGCAUCUGAUCCAAACUAAUAUAAUAAAUGAUCACGGGUAAUAAUUCUUCACCAACAAUAAUUUACGGCUGGGUAUAGGCCAUGGUUAUUACUUAAAAUCUGACCCAACAUAGAAAAACUCGACUUGGCACGUCAAACAAGAAGACACGAACCAACUUGACCCGAUACUAGACACGGGUCGAAUACGGGCCAUGUUAAAUGACCCAUGAUCCAACCUUAACUCGAUCCGACGGUUGAACAUGUUUAGUUUUGUAGUCGCGGCGUUAGGACAGACAUUGUUGCUGCUUUGUAAAAUUGUACUACUACCUUUUCUAUCAAAACGAGACCUACACCUAAAACUUCUCAGAACUAAGGGGUGUUUGGUUUAGUAACUAAUUUUUAGUCCCUCCAUUUUGUUCUAUUUUAGGUCUUGUUUGGAUAACUGCAGCUCUAGAAAAUUUAGUGGAGUUCCUGGAGCAGGUCAUUAGGUGCUUUAGAAAAUCAUGGAGAUCGAGUUAUCUCUACUAUACUUAAAGCAACAGUUUCAACGGUCGUCCUGCGUCAACUUUUUACAAAAAAGUCUCUACAUUUCUUCUAAAUUAACUCAGCGUAAAAUGUCAAAAAGCGGUGCGGGAGGUGGGUUAUGUUAAAAAGGGAUGUAGGAGGUGGUGUUUGAACCCACACCUUGAUGGAAGAAUGGUGUGAGACACUGGACGAAGCUGUCUAACCAGUAAAACAUCAUGCUUAGGUAUUUAUAAUAUUGAAUAUAAAUUGUACAUAUGUAUAUAUGAUUUUUUGUAAUAAAAAAAUAAUCGUGUCGGGCCGAGGCUACAACCCAAGCACAGCACGGCGCUCGCGCCGAGUUGGCCCAGGCACUAUUAAAUGGGUCGUGCCUCGGGCCGGCUCGCCAGACACAACCCAGUUGGCCAUCUAUACCUCCACACGAUAAUGAUGGUCCUCGCCUCAGUUGUCACCACCUCAUUCGCCAUUCUACUUAAUUUCUCUCUCCCCUCAUGCCUCCACCUCUGCGCCACCCCAUUCUCGGCAGAGGGCGUAGGAGCAUGCGCCUCCUACCCGUAUUCGUCCGACACUAGCCUCGACACCGACUCGCGCAGUGGCUAUUGCACGUCCACGAGGACGUUUCACAUCAUGCGCGCACCAUCAUAUCGUUUUCGUCGUCGUCGGACAUCCCGUUCAUCUUCCUGGACUUCGCCCGGUUCUUCUUCCCCAACCUGCUGCCCUCGCCCACGGUCGUAGCCGCGAGCCGACCGACGCUCGCCGACGCAGGUACGGGGCGAGUCAGUCAUGCUUCUGGCCUUUCUCUGUGCGUGCCGUCAAGGAGGACAUAGUGGCGCCUGCCACGCUUAGGUUAUCUUGGCGAUGAGGAGUCCAGGUCUGAGAUAUUGGACAACCAAGGCCCGUAGCGUGGCAGCAGUCAGCAUAUGCUACAUAGUUGGUGGUGUUGUUGUGUCGCUUCGGUGGGUCCAGGGCUGGAAAGACACUCGCAUUCUCUCGCCCUUUUCGGAUUGACGCCUAGUGCGGGUGCCUCUCGGUUUGGAGCUGCUCCGGCUGGGCUUCUUUCUCCGCUUGCGUGCUCUCUCCCUAUAUAUCUAGCGGUGUACUACCUAUGUCGCAUCCAAAUGCCCAUGUCUUCGUCGUGUCUUUCUCUAGCAACGAACAGGUAUGUCUGCCUCUUCCCUUCCCCUCCUGCUCUACGAAACCUUGCAAGUGGGGAGGCGAGGGAUGGGGGUCUCUGAUUUGCUACCUAUGGUACCCGUGCGUUCAUAAAAAAUAUUAUAUGAAGAGCGGAGAUAAUCAAUAAAAAAUCUUGAGAUCUUUUUGGUGGAUAAUUUAUGUGGGUAUUGUUGUGAGCCGUCGCAACGCACGGGUAACCGACUAGAAGCCUUUAAAUGAUAGUUAGGUAAGCCAUUUUAUUUAUUAUUUAGACUAAAAAUAUCUUUAAAACUAUUUAAAUUAUAUUAUAAACUACAACUCCACGCUGGAGCUGGAACCUGAAGCCAUCCCAAACAUCCCCUUAUUCCAUAAAUUGCAAAUAUGGAAACUUUGGCAAUUUAGUGACUAAAAUAAAAUAAAAUAGUGGGACUAAAAUUAGUCCCUAGAAACCAAACACCCCGACUCAUUUAUUCCUGCAAUGUUUGUACUCAUUAAGAAUAGUUCAAGUGGCUUCAUUUCCAUUCCGUCAUUUCACUUGCUUUUCUUUCUUUCAGUUCAUAUGACUAAUACGAUACAAAUAGAUUGAUUGACCAUAAUGAUAAAUUGUUUAUAUGCAUAGUGAAAAUUGAAAGUCGCCUAGAGGGGGGGGGGGUGAAUAGGCGUAAUCUGAAAUUUACAACUUUAAUCACACACUACAAGCCAGGGUUAGUGUUAGAACAAAUAACAAGUCCGGGAGAGAGAGGGGGAAAGCAAAUCAAAUGAAAAUCAAGCGGAUGAACACAAUGAUUUGUUUUACCGAGGUUUGGUUCCAAAGAACCUAGUCCCCAUUGAGGAGGUCACAAAGACCGGGUCUAUUCCAACCCUUUCCUCUCUCAAACGGUCACUUAGACCGAGUGAGCCUUCUUCCUUAAUCUCACGGGUCACUAAGACCCCGCAAGGACCACCACACACUUGGUGUCUCUUGCCUCGCUUACAAAGCUCUUGAGAAUAAGAAUGGGAAAAGAAGAAAGCCAAUCCAAGCGACAAGAACUCAAAUGAACACAAAAAUCUCUGUCACACAAGCCACCAAGUGUUUGCAGUGAAUUUGGGACUCGAAGAGGAUUUGACAUUUUGUAUUGUGUCUUGGAGUGAAUGCUAGAGCUCUUGUAUUGAAUGUGAUGUUCAGACAACUUGGAUGCUUGGAGUUGUGGUGGUUGGGGGUAUUUAUAACCCUCAACGACCAACGUAGCUAUUGGGGAGGCUGCUGGCGAUGGGCACACCGGACAGUCCGGUGCGCCACCGGACAAGCACUGUAGGCUGUCCGGUGCGCCGCCACGUCACCCAACCGUUAGGGUUCGGAGCUCGGGCGACCGUUGGAGCUUUGUCCUCUUGCGGCACCGGACAGUCCGGUGCCACACGGGACAGUCCGGUGCCCCUCUAACUUCGCUGCUCUGACUUCGGUGUGACACUGUUGCUCAUUGUAGCUCUGUCAGAGUCGACUGUUGCGUGCUGGAUAGUCGUUUCCCGGUGGCACACCAGACAGUCCGGUGACUUAUAGGGAGCGCGCCCGCGUUUUCUGAGAGUAGCUGGUUAGACCCUGUACGGUCCUGGUGCACCGUACACUGUUCGGUGGCACACCAGACAGUCCUGUGCGCCAGACCACAGCACACUCAAGUCCUUUUUUGCUCCUUUUGGAUUGGGUCCCUAACUUGAAUAUUUAUUGGUUUGUGUUGAACCUUAUGCACCUGUAGAACAUGUAUUCUAGAGAAAACUAGUUAGUCCAUAUAUUUGUGUUGGACAUUCAACCACCAAAAUUAAUUGUAGGAAAAGGUUAACCCUAUUUCCCUUUCAAUCUCCCCCUUUUUGGUGAUUGAUGCCAACACAAACCAAAGCAAAUAGAUAAAGUGCAGAAAUGAACUAGUUUGCAUAAGGUAAGUGCAUAGGUUACUUGGAAUUAAACCAAUUGAUAAUCUUACUAGAUAUGAAUGAAUUGCUUUUCUUUUCUUUAACAUUUUGGACCACAUUUGCACCACCUGUUUUGUUUUUGCAAAUUCUUUGGAAAAUCUUUUCAAAGUCUUUUUGCAAAUAGUCAAAGGUAUAUGAAUAAGAUUGCAAGAAGCAUUUUCAAGAUUUGAAAUUUCUCCCCUAUUUCAAAUGCUUUUCCUUUGACUAAACAAAACUCCCCUGAAUGAAAUUCUCCUCUUAGCUUUCAAGAGGGUUUUAAAAUAGAUACCAAUUUAAAGAUGAACUUCUAAAGAUACCAAUUGAAGGGGUUUUCAUCAUAGAUACCAAUGUGAAAAAUACCAAUUUAAAACUUUAUACCAAUUGAAAUUUUGCUUUCUCAAGAUAAGUGAAGCAUGGAUACCAAUUGAGAAAUUGCCAAAUAUCAAUUAAAGCUUUAUUUUGAAAAUUUUGAAAUCAUGGUGGUGCGGUCCUUUUGCUUUGGGCUUAAUAUUUCUCCCCGUUUGGUAUUAAUCGCCAAAAACGGAGAUGUUGAGAGCCUUUUAAUAUUUUCUCCCCAUUGGUACAAGUAAAUAAGAGUAAAGGAUUAUACAAAUUUGCAGUGUGCGGAGUAGCGACGAAGGAUUAAUGAUACCGUUAGAGUGGAAGCCUUGUCUUCGCCAAAUACUCCAUUUCCCUUUCAAUCUACGACUUAGUAUAGAAAUAUACUUGAAAACACAUUAGUCGUAGCCUUGGUACAUAAAUAAUAAGAAAUAUGCAUUUGUACUAAAUGAAAGAGACAUGAUCAAAGGUAUAUAAAUGAGCUAUGUGUGCAAUGUUUCAUUCAAAAUUCCGAGAAUCAAGUAUAUUUAGCUCAUUCCAAAGUUUGCUAAAGGUUUUCUCAUCUAAUGGUUUGGUAAAGAUAUCAGCUAAUUGAUUCUUGGUGUUUACAUAAGCUAUUUUGAUAUCCCCCUUUGUUGGUGAUCCCUCAGAAAGUGAUACCGAAUGUCUAUGUGCUUAGUGCGGCUGUGUUCAACGGGAUUAUCCGCCAUGCGGAUUGCACUCUCAUUAUCACAUAGGAGAGGGACUUUGCUCAAUUGUAGCCAUAGUCCCUGAGGGUUUGCCUUAUCUAAAGUAAUUGCGCACAACAAUGGCCUGUGGCAAUAUACUCAGCCUCGGUGGUGGAAAGAGCUACUGAGUUUUGUUUCUUUGAAGCCCAUGACACCAGGGAUCUCCUAGAAACUGACAAGUCCCUGAUGUGCUCUUCCUAUGAAUCUUACACCCUGCCCAAUCGGCACCGGAAUAUCCUAUUAAAUCAAAGGUGGAUCCCUUGGGGUACCAAAGCCCAAACUUAGGAGUGUAAACUAAGUAUCUCAUGAUUCUUUUCACGACCCUAAGGUGAAGUUCCUUAGGAUCGGCCUAAAAUCUUGCACACAUGCAUACGGAAAGCAUAAUAUCUGGUCGAGAUGCACAUAAAUAGAGUAAAGAUCAUAUCAUCGACCAGUAUACCUUUUGAUCUACGGAUUUACCUCUCGUGUCGAGGUUGAGAUGCCCAUUGGUUCCCAUGGGUGUCUUGAUGGGUUUGCCAUCCUUCAUCCCAAACUUCUUAAGCAUGUCUUGAAUGUACUUUGUUUGGCUGAUGAAGGUGCCCUCUUGGAGUUGCUUGAUUUGAAAUCCAAGGAAAUACUUCAACUCCCCCAUCAUAGACAUCUCAAAUUUUUGUAUCAUGAUCCUACUAAACUCUUCACAAGUUGAUUUGUUAGUGAAAGUCACCUAGAGGGGGGUGGAUAGGCAGAAACUGAAAUUUAUAACUUUAAACACACUAAAAGCCGGGGUUAGCGUUAGAACAAAUAUCAAGUCCAGGAGAGAGGGGAAAACAAAUCAACUAAGAAAUAAAACGGAUGGACACGGUGAUUUUUUUACCGAGGUUUGAUUCUAAAGAACCUAGUACCCGUUGAGGUGGUCACAAAGACCGGGUCUCUUUCAACCCUUUCCCUAUCUCAAACGGUCACUUAGACUGAGUGAGCUUUCUUCCUUGAUUUCUCAGGUCACUUAGACCCCGCAAGGACCACCACACGAUUGGUGUCUCUUGCUUCGCUUACAAGGCUUUGAGAAUAAGAAUGAGAGAAAGAAGAAAGCCAACCAAGCAACAAGAGCAACAAAGAAACACAAGAACGAUCCUCUCUUAAGUCCUAAAGCACUAGAAUUGAAUUGGAGACUUUGAUUGGAUCGGUGGCUUUGAUUUGUGUCUUGGAGUGUUGCACUUUGCUCUUGUAUUGAAUGAAGUGUGGUGAAUGCUUGGAUGGUUGGAGUGGAGGUAGUUGAUGGGUAUUUAUAGCCCUCAACCACCAAACAACCGUUGGGGAGGGGCUGCUGUCGAUGGGCGCACCGGACAGUCCGGUGCGCCACCAGACACUGUCGGGUGCGCUAGCCACGUCACCCAACAACCGUUAGGGUUCGGGCGCAGACGACCGUUGGAGGCUUUGUCUUCUAGUGGCACCGGACAGGUACUGUUCAUUGUCCGGUGCGCCUCUGACGGCUGCUCUGCUCUGCCGCGCACUGUUUGCGCACUGUUCAUCUGAAUUCAGCUUUUGCAGGCGACCGUUCCGCGAAGUAGCCGUUGCUCCGCUGGUGCACCGGACAGUCCGGUGAAUUAUAGCGGAGCACGCCCAGAAAAACCCGAGGGUGGCGAGUUUGGAGUUGUACGGUCCUGGUGCACCAGGGCACCCUUGGUUCCUUUGCUCCUUUAAUUUUGAACUCUAACUUUGUUCUUUUAUUGGUUUGUGUUCAACCUUUAUGCACCUGUAGAAUAUAUAAUCUAGAGCAAACUAGUUAGUCCAAUAUUUGUGUUGGGCAUUUCAACCACCAAAAUUAAUACUGGGAAAAGGUUAACCCUAUUUCCCUUUCAAUCUCCCCCUUUUUGGUGAUUGAUGCCAACACAAACUAAAGCAAAUAUAUAUAAGUGCAGAAUUGAACUAGUUUGCAUAAGGUGAGUGCAUAGGUUACUUAGAAUUAAACCAAAUUAUACUUUCACUAGAUAUGCAUGGUUUGCUUUCUUUUAUUUAACAUUUUGGACCACACUUGCACCACUUGUUUCGUUUUUGAAAAUUCUUUUGGAAAAUGUUUUUAGUCAAAGGUAUAUGAAUAAGAUUGUAAGAAGCAUUUUCAAGAUUUCAAAUUUCUCCCCCUGUUUCAAAUGCUUUUCCUUUGACUAAACAAAACUCCCCCUAAUGAAAUUCUCCUCUUAGCUUUCAAGAGAGUUUUAAUAGAUAUCAAUUGGAAAUAUAUUGAGAUGUUAGUUUUGAAAAUAUACCAAUUGAAGGUAAACAUACCAAUUUGAAAUAUAUCAAUUAAAAUUUUUCGAAAGGUGGUGAUGCGGUCCUUUUGCUUUUGGGCUAAUACUUUCUCCCCCUUUGGCAUUAAUCGCCAAAAACGGAGACUUUUGUGAGCCCUGUUUACUUUCUCCCCAUUGGUACAAGUAGAUACGAGUGAAAGAUUAUACCAAUUUGGAGAGUUAUGUGGAGUGACGGCGAAGGGUAAGUGAUAUCAGUAGAGUGGAGUUGAAGCCUUGUCUUCGCCGAAGAACUCCAUUUCCCUUUCAAUCUAUGACUUAUUGUAAGAAUAUACUUGAAAAUACAUUAGUCGUAGCAAAUCAAAGGUAUAUCAAUGAGCUAUGUGUGCAAAGUUUCAAUCAAAAAUCCGAGAAUCAAGUAUAUUUAGCUCAUUCCUAAGUUUGCUAAAGGUUUUCUCAUCUAAUGGCUUGGUAAAGAUAUCAGCUAAUUGUUCUUUGGUGCUAACAUAAGCUAUCUCGAUAUCCCCCUUUGUUGGUGAUACCUCAAAAAGUGAUACCGAAUGUCUAUGUGCUUAGUGCGGCUGUGUUCAACGGGAUUAUCCGCCAUGCGAAUUGCACUCUCAUUGUCACAUAGGAGAGGGACUUUGCUCAAUUUGUAGCCAUAGUCCCUGAGGGUUUGCCUCAUCAAAGUAAUUGCGCACAACAAUGGCCUGCGACAAUAUACUCGGCUUCGGCGGUAGAAAGAGCUAUGGAGUUUUGUUUCUUUGAAGCCCAAGACACCAGGGAUCUUCGCAGAAACUGACAAGUCCCUGAUGUGCUCUUCCUAUCAAUUUUACAACCCGCCCAAUCAGCAUUUGAAUAUCCUAUUAAAUCAAAAGUGGAUCCCUUGGGGUACCAAAGUACAAACUUAGGAGUGUAAACUAAAUAUCUCAUGAUUCUUUUUACGACCCUAAGGUGAACUUCCUUAGGAUCGGCUUGGAACCUUGCACACAUGCAUACAGAAAGCAUAAUAUCUGGUCGAGAUGCACACAAAUAGAGUAAAGAUCCUAUCAUCGACCGAUAUACAUUUUGAUCUACGGAUUUACCUCUCGUGUCGAGGUCGAGAUGCCCAUUUGUUCCCAUGGGUGUCUUGAUGGGCUUGGCAUCCUUCAUUCCAAACUUGGUAAGUAUGUCUUGUAUGUAUUUUGUUUGGCUGAUGAAGGUGCCAUCUUGGAGUUGCUUGACUUGAAAUCCUAGGAAAUACUUCAACUCCCCCAUCAUAGACAUCUCGAAUUUCUGUAUCAUGAUCCUACUAAACUCUUCACAAGUAGAUUUGUUAGUAGACCCAAAUAUGAUAUCAUCAACAUAAAUUUGGCAUACAAACAAAUCUUUUGCAAUAGUUUUAGUAAAGAGUGUAGGAUCGGCUUUUCCGACUUUGAAGCCAUUAGUGAUAAGAAAAUCUCGAAGGCAUUCAUACCAUGCUCUCGGGGCUUGCUUGAGCCCAUAAAGCGCCUUUGAGAGUUUAUAAACAUGGUUAGGGUACUCACUAUCUUCAAAGCUGGGAGGUUGCUCAACAUAGACCUCUUCCUUGAUUGGUCCAUUGAGGAAGGCACUUUUCACAUCCAUUUGAUAAAGCUUGAAGCCAUGGUAAGUAGCAUAGGCAAGUAAUAUACGAAUUGACUCAAGCCUAGCUACGGGUGCAUAGGUUUUACCGAAAUCCAAACCUACGACUUGUGAAUAACCCUUGGCCACAAGUCGGGCUUUGUUCCUUGUCACCACACCAUGCUCAUCUUGCUUGUUGCGGAAUACCCAUUUGGUACCUACAACAUUUUGAUUAGGACGUGGAACUAAAUGCCAUACCUCAUUCCUCGUGAAGUUGUUGAGCUCCUCUUGCAUUGCUAACACCCAAUCCAAAUCUUUUAAUGCAUCCUCCACCCUGUAUGGCUCAAUAGAGGACACAAAAGAGUAUUGUUCACAAAAAUGAGCGACUCGAGAUCGAGUAGUUACCCCUUAUGAAUGUCACCGAGAAUUGAGUUCACGGGGUGAUCUCUUUAAAUCCCUUGGUGGACUCUUGGGUGUGGCGGUCGUUGACCCUGUAUCUCCUGCUCAUCUUCCUUGUCUUCAUCUCCCCCUUGAUCAUUGUCCUCCUCUUGAGGUGGCUCAUCCUCCUGAUCUUCAUUGUCUUGAGCCUGUUCCUCAUCUUGAGUUGGUGGAGAUGCUUGCAUGGAAGAUGACGGUUGAUCUUGUGCUUGUGUGGGCUCUUCGGAUUCCUUAGGACACACAUCCCCAAUGGACAUGUUCCUUAGCGCGAUGCACGGAGCCUCUUCAUCAUCUAAUUCAUCAAGAUCAACUUGCUCCACUUGGGAGCCAUUAGUCUCAUCAAACACAAUGUCACAAGAAACUUCAACUAAUCCAGUGGAUUUGUUGAAGACUCUAUAUAUGCCCUUGUGUUUGAGUCAUAACCAAGUAAAAAGCCUUCUACAGCCUUCAGAGUAAAUUUAGAUUUUCUACCUCUUUUAAUAAGAAUAAAACAUUUGCUACCAAAGACUCUAAAAUAUGAAACAUUGGGCUUUUUACCAGUGAGGAGUUCAUAUGAUGUCUUCUUGAGGAUUCGGUGAAGAUAUAACCUGUUGAUGGAGUAGCAGGCGGUGUUAAUCGCCUUAGCCCAAAACCGGUCCGGAGUCUUGUACUCAUCAAGCAUGGUCCUUGCCAUGUCUAGUAGAGUUCUAUUCUUCCUCUCCACUACAAGAGAACUCAUGCUUGAUGCCCUCGUCCUCAAGAAAGCCUUCGAUUUGAGAGUUCUUGAACUCCGUUCCAUUAUCACUUCUAAUCUUUUUGAUUCUCAAUCCGAACUCAUUUUGAGCCCAUCUCAAGAAUCCCUUUAAAGUCUCUUGGGUUUGUGAUUUUUCCUGCAAAAAGAGUAUCCAAGUGAAGCGAGAAUAAUCAUCCACAAUUACUAGAUAGUACUUACUCCCGCCGAUGCUUAUAUAAGCUAUCGGGCCGAAUAGAUCCAUGUGGAGUAACUCCAGUGGUCUGUCUGUUGUCAUUAUGUUUUUGUGUGGAUGGUGGGAGCCAACUUGCUUUCCUGCCUGACAUGCGCUACAAACCCUGUCUUUCUCAAAAUGAACAUUUGUUAGUCCCAAAAUGUGUUCUCCCUUUAGAAGCUUGUGAAGAUUCUUCAUUCCAACAUGGGCUAGUCGGCGAUGCCAGAGCCAACCCAUAUUAGUCUUAGCAAUUAAGCAAGUAUCGAGUUCAGCUUUGUUAAAAUGAACUAAGUAUAGCUGACCCUCUAAUACUUCCUUAAAUGCUAUUGAAUCAUCACUUCUUCUAAAGACAGUAACACCUAUAUCCGUAAAAAGACAGUUGUAACCCAUUUUGCAUAAUUGAGAAACUGAAAGCAAGUUAUAAUCUAAAGAAUCUACAAGAAAAAUAUUGGAAAUAGAAUGGUCAGGUGAUAUAGCAAUUUUACAAAGUCCUUUGACCAAACCUUGAUUUCCAUCCCCGAAUGUGAUAGCUCGUUAGGGAUCUUCGUUUUUCUCGUAGGAGGAAGAACAUUCUUUUCUCCCCUCUCAUGUGGUUUGUGCAUCCGCUAUCAAUUAUCCAACAUGAGCCCCGGGAUGCAUAAACCUGAAAAAUAGUUUUAAGCCUUGUUCUUAGGUACCCAAUCAGUCUUAGGUCCUUUCACGUUAGAAACAAGCACCUUGGGUAACCAAACACAAGUCUUAGAGCCCUUGUGUUUGCCCCCAACAUAUUUGGCAACUACUUUGCCUGAUUUGUUAGUUAAAACAUAUGAUGCAUCAAAAGUCUUAAAUGAAAUAUUGUGAUCAUUUGAUGCAGUAGGGGUUUUCUUUUUAGGCAUUUUAACAUGAGAAGAAUGCCUAGAGCUAGAAGCCUCAUUCUUAUACAUAAAAGCAUGGUGAGAAACAAAAUGAGAUUUCUUAGCAUGAAUUCUCCUAAUUUUGUGUUCGGGGUAAUUAGCAUGAUAUAAAAUAUAUUCCUCAUUAUCCUGAACCAUGGGAGCUUUGCCCUUAACAAAGUUAGACAAUUUCUUAGGGGCAUUAAGUUUGACAUUGCUUCCCUGUUGGAAACCAAUGCCAUCCUUGAUGCCAGGGGGUCUCCCACUAUAGAGCAUGCUUCUAGCAAAUUUAAAUUUUUCAUUUUCAAUUUCAUGUUCAUUGAUUUUAGUAGUUAAUUGAGCUAUAUGACCAUUUUGUUGUUUAAUUAAAGCAAGGUGAUCAUGAAUAGCAUUAACAUUAACAUCUCUACAUCUCGUACAAAUAGUAACAUGAUCAACAGUAGAUGUAGAGGAUUUGCAAGAUUUUAUUUCUUCUAUCUUAGCAUUUAAGAUUGCAUUCUCAUCUCUAAGCCGGGAAAUAGAAUCAUUGCAAACAUUUAAAUCCUUAGCCUUGGAAAUUAAACUAUCAUUUUGAUCCUAAGGCUAGAAAUUGAUUCAUUCAAUUUAUAAAUCUUAACAAUUAAACUAGCAUUUUUAUUUCUAAGAUUGGUAAUUGAAUCAUGGCAAAUGCCUAGCUCCUUAGUCAAGUUUUCAUUUUUCUCUACUUCCUGAGCAUACACAUUCUUCACUUUAAUAUGCUUUUUAUUUUCCUUAAUAAGGAAUUCCUCUUGGCUAUCCAAGAGUUCAUCCUUCUCAUGGAUGGCACCUAUCAAUUCAUUUAAUUUUCCCUUUUGGUGCAUGUUAAGGUUGGCAAAAGGGUAAGUAUAUCAUCUUCAUCAUCACUAGAACUACUCUCAUCACUAGAUGUAGUAUACUUGGGGUGGUUUUAGAUUGUACCUUUUUCUUUUUGUCGUCCUUUGCCAUGAGGCACUUGUGGCCGACGUUGGGGAAGAGGAGGCCCUUGUUGACAGCGAUGUUAGCGGCGUCCUCGUCGGAGGAGGAGUCGGUGGAGCUCUCGUCGGAGUCCCAUUCCCAACAUACGUGGGCAUCACCGCCCUUCUUCUUGUAGUAUCUUUGCUUCUCCUUCUUCUUCCCCCUCUUGUCGUUGUCCCUGUCACUAUCACUAGACAUAGGAAUUUAGCGAUAAAAUGACCGGGCUUACCACAUUUGUAGCACACCCUCUUGGAGCGGGGUUUGUAGUCCUUCCCCCUCCUUUGCUUGAGGAUUUGGCAGAAGCUCUUGAUGAUGAGCGCCAUUUCCUCGUUGUCGAGCUUGGAGGCGUCGAUGGGAAGCCUACUUGAUGUAUACUCCUCUUUCUUCUCUUCCGUCGCUUUGAAUGCGACGGGUCGCACCUCGGGUGUGGAGGUGCCGCCUUGCUCAAAGUUGACAAUUUGUUUGGAGCCUUUGAUCAUUAGUUCAAAGCUCACAAACUUCCCAAUUACCUCCUCGAGAGACAUUAUCUUAUAUCUAGGAUCACCACGUAUUAAUUGAACUUGAGUAGGAUUACGAAAUACGAGGGAUCUAAGAAUAACCUUGACCAUUUCAUGGUCAUCCCUUUUUGUACUCCCGAGGUUGCGCACUUGGUUGACCAAGGUUUUGAGCCGGUUGUACGUCGCCUGUGGCUCCUCUCCUUGGUUGAGGACGAAUCGACCGAGCUCCCCCUCGAUCGUCUCCCGCUUGGUGAUCUUGGUCACCUCAUCUCCUUCGUGUGCGGUCUUUAGGACAUCCCAAAUCUCCUUGGCGCUUUUUAACCCUUACCACCUUAAAGUGCCAGAUUUGGGCGACCUCGUCCGAGUCGUAGCCCUUGUCUCCCACCGUGGGUACAUGCGCUCCAAACUCAACAAUGUCACAUAUGCUUGCGUGGAGUGAGGUUAGGUGAUGCCUCAUUUUAUCACUCCACAUACAAUAAUCUUCACCAUCAAAAUACAGUGGUUUGCCUAAUGGAAUGGAAAGUAAAGGAGCGCGUUUAGAAAUGCGGGGAUAUCAUAGGGGGAUCUUACUAAACUUCUUGCACUCAUGGCGCCUAGAAGUGACGGACGCCGCAUCGGAGCCGGAGGGCGACGAAGAGUCGGUCUCGUAGUAGACCACUUUCUUCAUCUUUUUCUUCUUGUCGCCACUCCGAUGCGACUUGAAGCGGGGAGGUGAUUCCUCCCUUCCUUUGGCGUCGGACUCCCUUGAUGGAGCCUUCCGGUGGCUUGUGGCCUUCUCGCCGGUUUCCAUCUCCCUCUUGGCGGAUCCUCCCGACAUCACUUCGAGUGGUUAGACUCUAAAUGAAGUACCGGGCUCUGAUACCAAUUGAAAGUCGCCUAGAGGGGGGUGGAUAGGCGGAAACUGAAAUUUACAACUUUAAACACACUACAAGCUGGGGUUAGCGUUAGAACAAAUAUCAAGUCCGGGAGAGAGGGGAAAACAAAUCAACCAAAAAAUAAAAAGAAUGGACACGGUGAUUUGUUUUACCGAGGUUCGGUUCUAAAGAACCUAGUCCCCGUUGAGGUGGUCACAAAGACCGGGUCUCUUUCAACCCUUUCCCUCUCCCAAACGGUCACUUAGACCGAAUGAGCUUUCUUCCUUGAUUUCUCGGGUCACUUAGACCCCUCAAGGACGACCACACGAUUGGUGUCUCUUGCUUCGCUUACAAGGCUUUGAGAAUAAGAAUGAGAGAAAGAAGAAAGCCAACCAAGCAACAAAGAAACACAAGAACGAUCCUCUCUCAAGUCCUAAAGCACUAGAAUUGAAUUGGAGACUUUGAUUGGAUCGGUGGCUUUGAUUUGUGUCUUGGAGUGUUGCACUUUGCUCUUGUAUUGAAUGAAGUGUGGUGAAUGCUUGGAUGGUUGGAGUGGAGGUGGUUGAGGGGUAUUUAUAGCCCUCAACCACCAAACAACCGUUGGGGAGGGGCUGCUGCCGAUGGGCGCACCGGACAGUCCGGUGCGCCAGCCACGUCACCCAACCGUUAGGGUUCGGGCGCAGACGACCGUUGGAGGCUUUGUCUUCUAGUGGCACCAGACAGUCCGGUGCCGCAUCGACAUAUACUGUUCAUUCUUCGGUGCGCCUCUGGCGACUGCUCUGCUCUGCCGCGCACUGUUCAUCUGGAAUUCAACUUUUGCAGGCGACCAUUGCGCGAAGUAGCCGUUGCUCCGCUGGUGCACCGGACAGUCCGGUGGCACACCGGACGGUCCAGUGAAUUAUAGCGGAGCACGCCCAGAAAAACCUAAGGGUGGUGAGUUUGGAGUUGUACGGUCCUGGUGCACCGGACAUUGUCCGGUGCGCCAGAUCAGGGCACCCUUAGUUCCUUUGCUCCUUUGAUUUUGAACACUAACUUUGUUCUUUUAUUGGUUUGUGUUGAACCUUUAUGCACCUGUAGAAUAUAUAAUCUAGAGCAAACUAGUUAGUCCAAUAUUUAUGUUAGGCAUUUAAACCACCAAAAUUAAUACUGGGAAAAGGUUAACCCUAUUUCCCUUUCAGUUAGUAGACCCAAAUAUAAUAUCGCCAACAUAAAUUUGGCAUACAAACAAAUCUUUUGCAACAGUUUUAGUAAAGAGAGUAGGAUCGGCUUUUCUGACUUUGAAGCCAUUAGUGAUAAGAAAAUCUCGCAGGCAUUCAUACCAUGCUCUUAGGGCUUGUUUGAGCCCAUAAAGCGCCUUUGAGAGUUUGUACACAUGGUUAGGGUACUCACUAUCUUCAAAGCCGGGAGGUUGCUCAACGUAGACCUCUUCCUUGAUUGAUCCAUUGAGGAAGGCACUUUUCACGUCCAUUUGAUAGAGCUUAAAGCCAUGGUAAGUAGCAUAGGCAAGUAAUAUACGAAUUGACUUAAGCCUAGCUACGGGUGCUUAAGUUUCAUCAAAGUCCAAACCUUCGACUUGUGAAUAACCCUUGGCCACAAAUCGGGCUUUGUUUCUUGUCACCACACCAUGCUCAACUUGCUUGUUGCGGAAUACCCAUUUGGUACCUACAACAUUUUGAUUAGGACGUGGAACUAAAUGCCAUACCUCAUUCCUCGUGAAGUUGUUGAGUUCCUCUUACAUAGGCAGCACCCAAUCCGGAUCUCUUAGUGCAUCCUCUACCCUGUAUGGCUCAAUAGAGGAAACAAAAGAGUAAUGCUCACAGAAAUGUGCUACUCGAUAUCUAGUGGUUACCCCCUUAUGAAUGUCACCGAGGAUGGAGUUGACGGGGUGAUCUCUUUGAAUUGCUUGGUGGACUCUUUGGUAUGGUGGUCUUUGACCCUGUAUUUCUUGAUCAUCUUCCUUGUCUUCAUUAUCUUCAUCUCCCCCUUGAUCAUUGUCCUCCUCUUGAGGUGGCUCAAUCUCUUGAUCAUUACCUUCAUCAUCUUGAGCCUGAUCCUUAUCUUGGGUUGAUGGAGAUGCUUGGUUGGAAGAUGACAGUUGAUCUUGUGCUUGUGGAGGCUCUUCGGAUUCCUUAGGACACACAUCCCCAAUGGACAUGUUCCUUAGCGCGAUGCAUGGAGCCUCUUCAUCAUCUAGCUCAUCAAGAUCAACUUGCUCCACUUGGGAGCCGUUAGUCUCAUCAAACACAAUGUCAGAAGAAACCUCAACUAAUCUAGUGGAUUUGUUGAAGACUCUAUAUGCCCUUGUAUUUGAGUCAUAACCAAGUAAAAAGCCUUCUACAGCCUUAGGAGUAAAUUUAGAUUUUCUACCUCUUUUAAUAAGAAUAAAACAUUUGCUUCCAAAGACUCUAAAAUAUGAAACAUUGGGCUUUUUACCGGUGAGGAGUUCAUAUGAUGUCUUCUUGAGGAUUCAGUGAAGGUAGAGCCGAUUGAUGGAGUAGUAGGCGGUGUUAAUCGCCUCGGCCCAAAACCGGUCGGUGUCUUGUACUCAUCAAGCAUGGUCCUUGCCAUGUCCAAUAGAGUUCUAUUCUUCCUCUCUACUACACCAUUUUGUUGAGGUGUGUAGGGAGAAGAGAACUCAUGCUUGAUGCCCUCAUCCUGAAGAAAGCCUUCGAUUUGAGAAUUUUUGAACUCCGUCCCAUUGUCGCUUCUUAUCUUUUUUAUCCUUAAUCCAAACUUGUUUUGAGCCUAUCUUAAGAAUCCUUUUAAGGUCUCUUGGGUUUGAGAUUUUUCCUGCAAAAAGAAUACCCAAGUAAAGCGAGAAUAAUCAUCCACAAUAAUAAGACAAUACUUACUCCCGCCGAUGCUUAUGUAAGCUAUCAGGCCGAAUAGAUCCAUGUGGAGUAGCUCGAGCGACCUGUCAGUCGUCAUGAUGUUCUUGUGUGGAUGAUGAGCACCAACCUGCUUUCCUGCUUGACAUGCGCUACAAACCCUGUCUUUCUCAAAAUGAACAUUGGUUAGUCCUAAAAUGUGCUCUCCCUUUAGAAGUUUGUGAAGAUUCUUCAUCUCGACAUGGGCUAGUCGGCGAUGCCAGAGCCAACCCAUGUUAGUCUUAGCAAUUAAGCAAGUGUCUAGUUCAACUUGAUUAAAAUCAACUAAGUAUAGCUAACCCUCUAGCACUCCCUUAAAAGCUAUUGAAUCAUCACUUCUUCUAAAGACAGUAACACCUAUAUCAGUAAAAAGACAGUUGUAGCCCAUUUUACAUAAUUGAGAAACAGAAAGCAAAUUGUAAUCUAAAGAGUCUACAAGAAAAACAUUGGAAAUAGAAUGGUCAGGUGAUAUUGCAAUUUUACCAAGUCCUUUGACCAAACCUUGAUUUCCAUCCCCGAAUGUGAUAGCUCGUUGGGGAUCUUCAUUUUUCUCAUAGGAGGAGAACAUCAUUUUCUCCCCUGUCAUGUGGUUUGUGCACCCGCUAUCGAUUAUCCAACUUGAACCACCGGAUGCAUAAACCUACAAAACAAAUAUAGGCCUUGUUCUUAGGUACCCAAACGGUCUUGGGUCCUUUCACAUUAGAAACAAGCACCUUGGGUACCCAAACACAGGUCUUUGGACUCUUGUGUUUGCCCCCAACAUAUUUGGCAACUAUUUUGCCUGAUUUGUUAGUAAGCACAUAGGAAGCAUUAAAAGUCUUAAAUGAAAUGUUGUGCUCAUUUGAUGUAGUAGGAUUUUUAUUUUUAGGCAAUUUUUCAUGAGUUGAUUACCUAGAGCUAGAAGCCUCAUUUUAUACAUAUAUGCAUGAUGAGAAACAAUGUGAGGUUUUCUAGCAUGAAUUCUCCUAAUCUUAUGUUUGGGAUAGUUUGCAGGAUAUAAAAUGUAACCCUCACUAUCCUGAACCAUGGGAGCUUUGCCUUUCACAAAAUUAGACAAUCUUUUAGGGGCAUUAAGCUUGACAUUGCUUCCCUAUUGGAAACCAAUGCCAUCCUUAAUGCUAGGGCGUCUCCUAUUAUAGAGCAUGCUUCUAGCAAAUUUAAACUUUUCAUUUUCAAGUUCAUGCUCAUUAAUUUUAGCAGUCAAAUUAGCUAUGUGAUCAUUUUGUUGUUUAAUCAUGUUAAUGUGAUCGUCAAUAGCUUCAACAUUAAUAUCUCUACAUCUAGUGCAAAUGGAAACAUGCUCGACAGUAGAUGUAGAGGGUUUGUGUAACACCCUGAAUUUGGGGGUAGAAUUUUUUCUUCUUUUCUCUCACCAAAUUCGGGCGUUACUCUCUUUUCUCUUUCCCCGUUUACUCCUUCUUCCCAAUUCCAAACCAGUAUAGCGGCAGGUGUCCGUGUCAUGUAUAAACCAAAACCUAAGUGCCAUGGGUGUUGCAUCAUGCCGAAGCACAUUUCUUUGUCUGAUGUUGAAAGUUCGUCUCGUUCCGUUCCGGAUUUCGGUUCGCGAUUUAAUUUCCGUUUAGUGGUCGUGCACGUCGUGGGUUUUCGAUCCGCGAAGUGGCUCGGCCCAACCUAGGCCAACCCCCCCAUGCGCCCCCUCCUCUCCUCCCUCUCUCAUUUGGAUCUCCCGCGCAAACAACCUCUCCUCUCCUUCUUCCACCUCUCUCUCCCCGUGGUGCCCUAGGAUUUGGAGACGACGAUCACCGGAUUUUGGACCCCGAGGUGAGCUCCCCUCCCCUUCUCCUCUCUCUCAACCUCUCCCUCCUCUUCUCCCCCCCCCCCCCGCGCGCGCCCUCCCUCUCCCCGCUCGCCCGCGCGCCCCCGCCCCCGCUCGGCCGCCCUGGCCGGUUCAACCGCCCCCCUGGCCGGUUCAACCGCCCCGGCCCCGGCUCGGCCGCCCGUUCCCCCGUCCCGGCCUCGCCCGACCGUAUCUUCGCUCGCCCGCGCUCGCGGUGAUUAUUUGUUAAUUAGCGUGUUGCGUCGCGCGCUUCGCCGCGCGACGGAUUUGUCUAAAUUCAGAUUCUAUCUUGUGUUGCGUCGUGCGCUUCGUCGCGCGACGAUCCAUUUUUGUUUCAGGUUGUUUAAGGUGUAACGCCGCGUGUGUAUUCAUGCGACGUUCCACUUUGGACUCAGUUUAGUCGACGUAUGCCGUCGUGCGCUUCGUCGCGCGACGCUUAACGUCUCCUCUUAACUAAGGCGAAGUGUCUCAUUGCGUGCUCGGUCGCGCGACGAGUCGUUAACUUCUUAAUUUGUUUUAGAGAGCUUUGUCGCGCGUCUCGCCGCGCGACCAUCCUUUUUAUUUAUCUCCACCUGCUUAUAAUAAUUAGACAUGAAACAUGACUUUACUUUACGCUAAACAUAGUAUCUACAUUAAAUUUCCUUCCAUUAAGCGAGUGGUUAAUUUAUAAUCAUGUAACGUGAUCGUUUCUCGACUGUCUUUUCCUCUUUCUCUCUUAACCGUACUCGCGAGCCCGUGUGGAACGUCUGUUUACUUAUUGCAUUCUAUUGUAUGGUGUACUGUUCUUUUGUAUUAAAUGUGUGGAUGUAUGUAUGUUUGCGCUCGCAUAGAGAACGAUCCGGUUGAAGAGCCCGAGGAACUCGCAGGAGAAGCCCCUGAGCAGCAGUCGGUUGGUGGAGGCAAGUGUCCCUUGACCUAUCUCUGUCCUAUUCAUUAUUUAAUUCACCUCCCUCUUUACACAUUUAUGCCUAAGGAUUGACUAGCUUUUGUGAUCCAUGUCCUUGUUCACCUAUUUGGGUUGGAUUAUUAUUGUUUAGCUUUAUGCUAUUGCUCAAACUCUAAUCAAUGAACAUGAUGAGAUUAUCUAUGAUACGCUGUUUUCCCUUCUCUUAUUAUGAUGUUGUACUUGUGGUCAUCAAGGGGGCUCGAGCGGUUUCUCGAGUGCCUCUCCGUAAGGACCUGUUCUAUGGAUGACCGCCCGGGAAAACAGUGCAACCAUGAGGGUGGAAUGGGAUGCCCUUAGCUGAAUAAUUAGAGGAUCCGGGGUGUAGAUCACUUAGCCGUCGUGCCGUCAAUGGGGCUCGGUGUAUGCGGCUCGCUCUGCCAAGUUUGGGUUCGCCCCUUGGGGAGGAGUGCGGUGCAUUUAGGAAACCUAACGGGUGGCUACAGCCCCGGGGAAUCUUUGUAAAGGCUACGUAGUGAUGCCCUGCUGGGUCACCUUGGUAGUGAUCAAUGGAGAGUCAUGAUCUCCGGGCAGAAUGGGAAUCACGGCUUGUGGGUAAAGUGCACAACCUCUGCAGAGUGUUUGAAAACUGAUAUAUCAGCCGUGCUCGCGGUUAUGAGCGGCCAAGGGAGCUCCAGUGAUUAGUGAAACUUGAUCAGAGAUGGUUGGUUUACAGAUGAUGAUGAGGAUGGUUAUGAUUAUGCUUAUGGUGCUUGUAAGUGGUACUCUUUCCGUUUGGAAAGGAGUACGUUUGGGUUAAUAACUUGGGUUAAUGCUAAAACUUGGCUUUCUACUAGUAAGUAAUAAUCUGACCAACUAAAAGCAACUGCUUGACUUAUCCCCCACAUAAAGCUAGUCCACUACAGCCAAACAGGAUACUUGCUGAGUAUGUUGAUGUGUACUCACCCUUGCUCUACACACCAAACCCCCCCAUCCCCAGGUUGUCAGCAUUGCAACCACUGCUCAGGCGAAGAUGAAGCCGUGGAAGGAGACUUCCAGGAGUUCCAAGACUACGACGAGUUCUAGGUGUGGGUUAGCGGCAACCCCCAGUCGGCUGCCUGUGAAGGCCACGGUUAUCUACGUUUCUUUUCCGCACUUUGAUUUAUUGUAAGGACUAUAUGGACGUCUCAGACGUAUGAUGUAAUCGACUACUAUUUCCCUUAUUAAUACUAUUUUGAGCACUGUGUGAUGAUGUCCAUGUUAUGUAACUGCUGUGUACGUGAAUAACUGAUCCUGGCACGUACAUGGUUCGCAUUCGGUUUGCCUUCUAAAAACCGGGUGUGACAUAAGUGGUAUCGAAGCCCGUGCUGACUGUAGGACCGCUAACCUAGAGUAGAAUGGUCGUUCUAAGGACUAUAGACCUCUGUCUCUGCCUUGACUUUGAUAUCCCUUGAAAAGUUGGUCAUACCUACCAAACCUAUGUUCUACUAUAUAUUAUACCUUGCUGAAAAUCAUGUUUUAUCCUAAUCCUUCAUUUAUUUAUGGUCUAUUACUUGCUGGUCAUAUUGAUUCUGUUCUCACCCUUUUGCUUGCGAUGUCUUUUAUAGAUGGCUCGACUUAGACACACUGCACGAAAGUCAGUCAUCCCCUUCUUACCCUCCCGCCUUGCUGAGCGUCCGCUUCGCCGUCCCGUGGCCGGACAGUCCAGCCACUUGGAGAGACUGCACCACCGCCUGCAUGAGGAGCAGGAACGUCGACGACAGGAGCAGCAGGGCUCUUCUUUCUCGCUCCAACAGGAGAUAGAGUCUGUGAGGAGCUGCUCCCCUGUGCUUCCUCUGGAGGUGCCCCCUGCACCACCAAUGGGCGCCCCAGCUUCUGGAGUAGCUGCUGGAGGAGACCCAGACGACGGAGGUGGCGACGACAGCUCGAGCCACGACACCGACUUCUCUGCUAACCUUGAGCCGGAAGGAUGGGUUGCUCGACCCAUCACUCGCGACGCUGCUCGCGGGUGUCACUUCCACGAUGCGCUCGACACCCUGCUACGUCGGGUAUUUAACCGGCAUACUUGGUCCAUCGAGUAUCGCUGUGUGGUCUACCAGCACAGUCGCGGGGUCUACCCGGACCGCUGGGAGGCAACCUGCUUGGUGCGCUGUCCGGAGAACAGUCUCCAGGGUGCAGAGGCCUGCUCAGAGCACUAUUCUAUCUCUGAGCGGGACUCAGCUGAGGCAGCCAUGCAAGAUGCUGCACGGCGUGCGCUUUCGCACUACUGCUCGGUUUUCGGUGGGGCAGCUGACGGUCUUGACCUGAAGUAUUACCCCCGCCGUCCAUCUGGCAGCACAGGAGGCGUGAUUGUCUCACCUGUCGGUGAGGGCAAUCCUAGGUUGAGCAGCACAGUCAACCUAACCGCCGUGCUAAACACGGAGCUGGACCAUGCAUUAGAUGAGCUGAGUAGGGCUCGUGCUGAGAUCGCCCUGCUGUGGGCUGAGCGCGCGGAACGUCGUCACCUGGAUGGUGGUUCCCCCGCUCCCGUCGGGACUCAGCACCCGUACCGCUCACCUCAGCAUGGACACCAGUCUUAUGGCAAUCCCGACUGCAAGACCAAGAUAACUCUAGAACCAUAGAUCGUCAGAGUUGGAUCUUGUAAUUAAUAUGAAAUAUAUAUACAUAGAAGCUUCAGUCUUAGCGUUGGUCUCGGUCUUAGUUAGUCUUAGUUAGACAGGGUAGUUUGCUAUAUCCUGUGCAUUUAUGUUUGUCAUGAUGAACUAUGUUUGAUUUGGAUCUUUGUAAUGACUGUCACCAGUGUGGGUAUCCCCUGCAUUUUGGUUUACCUAUUAUGUUAAAGGAGUUAGUUAUAUAGUUGGGAAACCUUCUCAUUCCACUUUCCUCUUUAUCUGAGAAGCUGUGUGGUCUGUGUUGGAGAUCAGUGAAGAUGCUCAUCUGUUCAGUGCUGUUGAAGGAUUCUAUACUCUUUUCUUAUGCUGCAAGAUUUGCCAGAUCAGUUAUGAUGUGUGGUUGCAUUCUGCAGAUGUCAGAGAACAGGCGCAGAGGAGGAAGGCGUGCUCAGCAGGAGCGAGCCGCUCAACAGGAGGAGGUGCCCCAGCAGCAGCACCUGCCGCCCCCGCCCCCGAUGUCGAUCGAGCAGAUGUUUCUGAUGCAGACUCAGGCGGUUCAAGCCAUCGGUCAGACUUUGGCCGCCAUUCAGCAGCAGCAGCAGCAACAGCAGUAGGCCCCACCUCAGCCUCAGAUGCCUCAGAUGCCUAGAGACAAGCGUGCUGAAUUCAUGAGAGGUCAUCCACCAACGUUCGCUCAUUCUUCUGACCCCAUGGAUGCUGAAGACUGGCUGCGCACUGUGGAGCGGGAGUUGCAUACCGCUCAGUGCGAUGACAGGGAGAAAGUCCUGUAUGGUCCCCGUCUGUUGAGAGGAGCAGCCCAAUCAUGGUGGGAGUCUUACCUCGCCACCCAUGCCCACCCUGACGCCAUCACCUGGGAAGAGUUCAGAGGAAGCUUUCGUCAGUACCAUGUUCCUGCAGGUCUGAUGACAGUGAAGAAGGAGGAGUUCCUGGCCCUCAAGCAAGGGCCAUCGUCUGUCAGUGAGUACUGAGACAGGUUUCUGCAGUUGUCUCGCUAUGCUCCUGAAGAUGUCAACACCGACGCCAAGCGACAGUACCGUUUCCUGAGAGGCUUGGUUGACCCUCUGCAGUACCAACUGAUGAAUCACACCUUCCCGACAUUCCAGCACCUGAUUGACAGAGCAAUCAUGACAGAGAGGAAGCGUAAAGAGAUGGAAGAUCGUAAGCGCAAGAUCAGUGGACCCCAGCCUGGAAGCAGCAAUCGUCCUCGUUUCUCAGGCAAUCAACCUCAGCAGUUCAGGCAGAACCAGCGUCCACCUCAGCAGCAUCAACAGUUCCAAAGGCAGUAUCCUCAGCACCAGUACCAGAACCGUCAGAGCAAUCAGUCAGGAGGUCAGUUUCAGAGGCAGAAUCAGCAAGCACCUCGUCUUCCUGCCCCAGCAACCCAGCAGAACAGUCAGGCAGCACCAGCUCAGUUUGGAAACAGGGCAUGUUUCCACUGUGGAGAGCAAGGCCACUGGGUGAUGCAAUGUCCGAAGAAGGCAGCCCAGCAGCAGUCAGGCCCCAGUGCCCCAGCAAAGCAGAAUGUGCCUCAGCCUGGAGCAGGCAACCACUCUCAGCCGCGCUAUAAUCAUGGAAGGCUGAACCACUUGGAGGCUGAAGCAGUUCAGGAGACCCCCGGCAUGAUAGUAGGUAUGUUCCCAGUCGACUCCCAUAUUACAGAAGUGUUAUUUGAUACUGGAGCAACACAUUCCUUCAUUCCUGCAUCAUGGGUAGAAGCACAUAAUCUUCCAAUUACUACCAUGUCAACCCCCAUUCAAAUUGACUCAGCCGGUGGUAGAAUUCGAGCCGAUAGCAUUUGUUUGAAUAUAAGUGUGGAAAUAAGGGGGAUAGCGUUUCCCGCCAACCUUAUAGUAAUGGGUACUCAGGGAAUAGAUGUCAUCCUAGGGAUGAAUUGGCUAGAUAAGUAUCAGGCAGUUAUCAGUUGUGAUAAAAGGACCAUCAAGUUGGUGUCCCUACUAGGAGAGGAAGUGGUGACCGAGUUAGUCCCGCCUGAGCCAAAGAAAGGAAGUUGUUAUCAGAUAGCUGUGGACAGCAGUGAAGCAGACCCGAUUGAGAGGAUCAAGGUUCUGUCCGAGUUCCUAGAUGUGUUUCCAAAGGACUUACCGGGUAUGCCACCAGAGCGGAAAGUUGAGUUUGCCAUAGAGCUUCUUCCCGGAACUGCCCCCAUCUUUAAGAGAGCUUACAGAAUAUCCGGACCAGAGUUGGUUGAACUUAAGAAGCAAAUUGAUGAGCUGUCAGAGAAAGGUUACAUUCGGCCAAGCACCUCGCCUUGGGCCGCCCCUGUCCUAUUUGUGGAGAAGAAAGAUGGCACCAAAAGGAUGUGUAUCGAUUAUCGAGCUUUGAAUGAGGUCACGAUCAAGAACAAGUAUCCCUUGCCCAGAAUUGAAGAUCUGUUCGACCAGUUGAGAGGAGCCAGUGUGUUCUCCAAGAUUGAUCUGAGGUCAGGUUAUCAUCAGCUCAGGAUCCGACCUUCGGACAUUCCGAAGACGGCAUUCAUUUCCAAGUAUGGUUUGUAUGAGUUCACAGUGAUGUCUUUUGGUUUGACCAAUGCGCCAGCGUUCUUCAUGAACUUGAUGAACAGUGUGUUCAUGGAUUACCUUGAUAAGUUUGUGGUGGUCUUCAUUGAUGACAUUCUGGUUUAUUCUCAAAGCGAAGAAGAACAUGCAGAUCAUUUGAGGAUGGUAUUGCAGAGAUUGCGAGAGCACCAGUUGUAUGCAAAGUUGAGCAAGUGUGAGUUCUGGAUCAAUGAAGUCCUGUUCUUGGGUCACAUAAUCAACAAAGAAGGAUUGGCUGUGGAUCCGAAGAAAGUGGCAGACAUUUUGAACUAGAAAGCGCCAACAGAUGCUAGAGGAAUCAAGAGCUUCAUUGGAAUGGCCGGAUAUUAUCGGCGAUUCAUUGAAGGGUUUUCGAAGGUUGCGAAACCAAUGACAGCGUUGCUAGGCAACAAAGUUGAGUUCAAGUGGACCCAGAAAUGUCAAGAGGCCUUUGAAGCGCUGAAAGAGAAGUUGACUACAGCGCCCGUCCUAGUCUUGCCUGAUGUGCACAAGCCCUUCUCGGUGUAUUGUGAUGCUUGUUACACAGGUUUGGGAUGCGUGUUGAUGCAAGAGGGAAGAGUUGUGGCUUACUCGUCCCGACAGCUGAAGGUUCAUGAGAAGAAUUACCCAAUCCAUGAUCUAGAGUAGGCAGCAGUGGUUCACGCACUGAAGACAUGGAGGCACUAUCUGUAUGGACAGAAAUGCGAUGUUUACACAUACCACAAGUGUCUGAAGUACAUAUUCACUCAGUCAGAGUUGAACAUGAGGCAACGAAGAUGGUUAGAGUUGAUCAAAGACUAUGAGUUGGAGAUCCAUUACCAUCCAGGCAAAGCAAACGUAGUGGCAGAUGCUUUGAGCAGAAAGGGUCAAGUCAAUCUGAUGGUCGCUCGUCCGAUGCCUUAUGAGUUGGCCAAAGAGUUUGACAGGUUGAGUCUCGGAUUUCUGAACAAUUCGCGAGGAGUCACAGUUGAAUUGGAACCUACCUUGGAGCGCGAAAUCAAAGAAGCGCAGAAGAAUGAUGAGAAGAUCAGUGAGAUCCGGCGACUGAUUCUAGAAGGCAAAGGCAAAGAUUUUCGAGAAGAUGCAGAAGGCGUGAUAUGGUUCAAAGACCGCUUAUGUGUUCCCAAUGUCCAGUCUAUUCGGGAGUUGAUUCUCAAGGAAGCUCAUGAGACAGCCUAUUCGAUUCACCCUGGCAGUGAGAAGAUGUAUCAGGAUCUGAAGAAGAAAUUCUGGUGGUACGGAAUGAAGAGGGAAAUCGCAGAGCAUGUGGCUAUGUGCGAUAGUUGCCGAAGAAUUAAGGCAGAGCACCAGAGACCUGCUGGAUUGUUGCAACCGUUGCAGAUCCCUAAGUGGAAAUGGGAUGAAAUUGGUAUGGAUUUCAUAGUCGGAUUGCCUCGCACUCGAGCCGGCUACGAUUCCAUUUGGGUAGUGGUGGACCACUUGACCAAGUCAGCCCACUUCAUACCUGUCAAGACCAACUACAACAGUGCAGUAUUGGCAGAGUUGUAUAUGUCUCGGAUCGUUUGUCUUCAUGGUGUGCCAAAGAAGAUAGUAUCAGAUAGAGGAACGCAGUUCACCUCUCAUUUCUGGCAGCAGUUGCAUGAAGCUUUGGGCACGCAUCUGAAUUUCAGUUCAGCUUAUCAUCCGCAGACAGAUGGUCAGACCGAAAGAACCAAUCAAAUUCUUGAAGAUAUGUUGAGAGCCUGUGCGUUGCAAGAUCAGUCCGGAUGGGAUAAGAGAUUGCCUUAUGCAAAGUUUUCCUAUAACAACAGUUACCAGGCCAGUUUGAAGAUGUCACCAUUUCAGGCGCUUUAUGGAAGGAGUUGCAGAACUCCGUUGCAAUGGGAUCAGCCUGGAGAAAAGCAAGUGUUUGGGCCAGACAUUUUGCUUGAAGCCGAAGAGAACAUCAAGAUGGUCCGAGAAAAUCUGAAGAUAGCGCAAUCGAGGCAGCGAAGCUAUGCAGACACAAGAAGAAGAGAGCUGAGUUUCGAAGUCGGAGACUUUGUCUAUCUGAAAGUGUCACCGAUCAGAGGAGUCAGAAGAUUCGGAGUGAAAGGCAAGCUAGCACCCCGCUACAUUGGUCUGUAUCAGAUUCUUGCAAGACGUGGAGAAGUGGCCUAUCAGCUCAGUUUGCCAGAGAAUUUGUCUGCUGUGCAUGAUGUCUUUCAUGUGUCUCAGUUGAAGAAGUGCUUGCGUGUGCCAGAAGAGCAGUUGCCAGUGGAAGGUCUUGAAGUCCAAGAGGACUUGACCUACGUUGAGAAGCGAGUGCAAAUCCUUGAGGUUGCAGACAGAGUCACCCGAAGGAAGACCAUCAGAAUGUGCAAAGUCAGAUGGAAUCAUCACUCUGAGGAGGAAGCAACCUGGGAGCGUGAAGAUGAUCUGAUGGCUAAAUACCCUGAGCUCUUUGCUAGCCAACCCUGAAUCUCGAGGGCGAGAUUCUUUUAAGGGGGAUAGGUUUGUAACGCCCUGAAUUUGGGGGUAGAAUUUUUUCUUCUUUUCUCUCACCAAAUUCGGGCGUUACUCUCUUUUCUCUUUCCCCGUUUACUCCUUCUUCCCAAUUUCAAACCAGUAUAGCGGCAGGUGUCCGUGUCAUGUAUAAACCAAAACCUAAGUGCCAUGGGUGUUGCAUCAUGCCGAAGCACAUUUCUUUGUCUGAUGUUGAAAGUUCAUCUCGUUCCGUUCCGGAUUUCGGUUCGCGAUUUAAUUUCCGUUUAGUGGUCGUGCACGUCGUGGGUUUUCGAUCCGCGAAGUGGCACGUCCCAACCUAGGCCAGCCCAGCCGGCCCGGCCCGCCCCGGCUUGCGCGCCCCCCGCGCCCCCCCCCCCCCCCCCGGCCCCCCCCCCCAGCCCCCCCCCCCCCCCCCCGGCCCCCACCCCCCCCCCCUCGCGCCCCUGGCGCCCAACCCCCCCCAUGCGCCCCCCUCCUCUCCUCCCUCUCUCAUUUGGAUCUCCCGCGCAAACAACCUCUCCUCUCCUUCUUCCACCUCUCUCUCCCCGUGGUGCCCUAGGAUUUGGAGACGGCGAUCACCGGAUUUUGGACCCCGAGGUGAGCUCCCCUCCCCUUCUCCUCUCUCUCUCUCCCUCUCCCUCCUCUUCUCCCCCCCGCGCGCGCCCUCCCUCUCCCCGCUCGCCCGCGCGCCCCCGCCCCCCGCUCGGCCGCCCCUGGCCGGUUCAACCGCCCCGGCCCCGGCUCGGCCGCCCGUUCCCCCGUCCCGGCCUCGCCCGACCGUAUCUUCGCUCGCCCGCGCUCGCGGUGAUUAUUUGUUAAUUAGCGUGUUGCGUCGCGCGCUUCGCCGCGCGACGGAUUUGUCUAAAUUCAGAUUCUAUCUUGUGUUGCGUCGUGCGCUUCGUCGCGCGACGAUCCAUUUUUGUUUCAGGUUGUUUAAGGUGUAACGCCGCGUGUGUAUUCACGCGACGUUCCACUUUGGACUCAGUUUAGUCGACGUAUGCCGUCGUGCGCUUCGUCGCGCGACGCUUAACGUCUCCUCUUAACUAAGGCGAAGUGUCUCGUUGCGUGCUCGGUCGCGCGACGAGUCGUUAACUUCUUAAUUUGUUUUAGAGAGCUUUGUCGCGCGUCUCGCCGCGCGACCAUCCUUUUUAUUUAUCUCCACCUGCUCAUAAUAAUUAGACAUGAAACAUGACUUUACUUUACGCUAAACAUAGUAUCUACAUUAAAUUUCCUUCCAUUAAGCGAGUGGUUAAUUUAUAAUCAUGUAACGUGAUCGUUUCUCGACUGUCUUUUCCUCUUUCUCUCUUAACCGUACUCGCGAGCCCGUGUGGAACGUCUGUUUACUUAUUGCAUUCUAUUGUAUGGUGUACUGUUCUUUUGUAUUAAAUGUGUGGAUGUAUGUAUGUUUGCGCUUGCAUAGAGAACGAUCCGGUUGAAGAGCCCGAGGAACUCGCAGGAGAAGCCCCUGAGCAGCAGUCGGUUGGUGGAGGCAAGUGUCCCUUGACCUAUCUCUGUCCUAUUCAUUAUUUAAUUCACCUCCCGCUUUACACAUUUAUGCCUAAGGAUUGACUAGCUUUUGUGAUCCAUGUCCUUGUUCACCUAUUUGGGUUGGAUUAUUAUUGUUUAGCUUUAUGCUAUUGCUCAAACUCUAAUCAAUGAACAUGAUGAGAUUAUCUAUGAUACACUGUUUUCCCUUCUCUUAUUAUGAUGUUGUACUUGUGGUCAUCAAGGGGGCUCGAGCGGUUUCUCGAGUGCCUCUCCGUAAGGACCUGUUCUAUGGAUGACCGCCCGGGAAAACAGUGCAACCAUGAGGGUGGAAUGGGAUGCCCUUAGCUGAAUAAUUAGAGGAUCCGGGGUGUAGAUCACUUAGCUGUCGUGCCGUCAAUGGGGCUCGGUGUAUGCGGCUCGCUCUGCCAAGUUUGGGUUCGCCCCUUGGGGAGGAGUGCGGUGCAUUUAGGAAACCUAACGGGUGGCUACAGCCCCGGGGAAUCUUUGUAAAGGCUACGUAGUGAUGCCCUGCUGGGUCACCUUGGUAGUGAUCAAUGGAGAGUCAUGAUCUCCGGGCAGAAUGGGAAUCACGACUUGUGGGUAAAGUGCACAACCUCUGCAGAGUGUUUGAAAACUGAUAUAUCAGCCGUGCUCGCGGUUAUGAGCGGCCAAGGGAGCUCCAGUGAUUAGUGAAACUUGAUCAGAGAUGGUUGGUUUACAGAUGAUGAUGAGGAUGGUUAUGAUUAUGCUUAUGGUGCUGGUAAGUGGUACUCUUUCCGUUUGGAAAGGAGUACGUUUGGGUUAAUAACUUGGGUUAAUGCUAAAACUUGGCUUUCUACUAGUAAGUAAUAAUCUGACCAACUAAAAGCAACUGCUUGACUUAUCCCCCACAUAAAGCUAGUCCACUACAGCCAAACAGGAUACUUGCUGAGUAUGUUGAUGUGUACUCACCCUUGCUCUACACACCAACCCCCCCCCAUCCCCAGGUUGUCAGCAUUGCAACCACUGCUCAGGCGAAGAUGAAGCCGUGGAAGGAGACUUCUAGGAGUUCCAAGACUACGACGAGUUCUAGAUGUGGGUUAGCGGCAACCCCCAGUCGGCUGCCUGUGAAGGCCGCGAUUAUCUACGUUUCUUUUCCGCACUUUGAUUUAUUGUAAGGACUAUAUGGACGUCUCAGACGUAUGAUGUAAUCGAUUACUAUUUCCCUUAUUAAUACUAUUUUGAGCAUUGUGUGAUGAUGUCCAUGUUAUGUAACUGCUGUGUACGUGAAUAACUGAUCCUGUCACGUACAUGGUUCGCAUUCGCUUUGCCUUCUAAAAACCGGGUGUGACAGUUUGCAAGCAUUUAAUUUUUCUAUCUUAGCAUUUAAAAUAGCAUUUUCAUCUCUAAGACAGGAGAUAGAAUCAUUACAAACAUUUAAAUCUUUGACCUUAGAAGCUAAGCUAGCAUUUUCAAUUCUAAGGCUAGAAAUUGAAUCAUGACAAAUGCUAAGCUCCUUAGAUAAAUUUUCACAUUUUUCUACUUCCUAAGCAUAAGCAUUUUUCAAUUUAACAUGUUUUUUGUUUUCUUUAAUAAGGAAGUCCUCUUGGCUAUCCAAGAGUUCAUCCUUCUCAUGAAUAGAUUCUAUCAAUUCAUUUAAUUUUUCCUUUUUUCCAAGCUAAGGUUGGCAAAAAGAGUUAAGUAAAUCAUCUUCAUUUUCACUAGAGCUACCCUCAUCACUAGAUGUUGUAUAUUUGGGGGUGGAUCUAGAGUGUACCUUCUUUUUCUUGCCGUCCUUAGCCAUGAAACAUUUGUGGCCGACGUUGGGGAAGAGGAGGCCUUUGUUGACGGCGAUAUUGGCGGUGUCCUCGUCGGAGGAGGAGUCGGUGGAGCUCUCGUCGGAGUCCCAUUCCCGACAUAUGUGAGCAUCACCACCCUUCUUCUUGUAGUACCUCAUCUUUUCUUUCUUCUUCCCCUUCUUAUCAUCGUCCCUAUCACUUUCACUUCACAUUGGACAUUUUGCAAUAAAAUGACCGGGUUUACCACAUUUGUAGCACAACCUCUUGGAGCGGGGUUUGUAGUCCCUCCCCCUCCUUUGCUUGAGGAUUUGGUGGAAGCUCUUGAUGAUGAGCGCCAUCUCCUCGUUGUCGAGUUUGGAGGCGUCGUUUGGAAGCCUACUUGGUGUAGACUCCCUCUUCUCUUCUUCCGUCGCUUUGAAUGCGACGGGUUGCACCUCGGGUGUGGAGGUGUCGCCUUGCUCCAAGUUGAUGAUGUGUUUGGAGUCUUUGGUCAUUAGUUCAAAGCUCACAAACUUCCCAAUCACUUCCUCAGGAGACAUUAGUUUAUAUCUAAGAUCCCCACGUAUUAAUUGAACUUGAGUAGGAUUACGAAAUACGAGGGAUCUAAGAAUAACCUUGACCAUCUCAUGGUCAUCCCAUUUGGUGCUCCUGAGGUUGCGCACUUGAUUGACCAUGGUCUUUAGCUGGUUGUACAUUGCUUGCGGCUCUUCUCCUUUGUUGAGGACAAAUCGACCGAUUUCGCCCUCGAUUGUCUCGCGUUUGGUGAUUUUGGUCACCUCAUCUCCUUCGUGUGUGGUCUUGAGCACGUCCCAAAUUUCUUUGGCGCUCUUUAACCCUUGCACCUUGUUAUACUCCUCUCGACACAAGGAGGCGAGGAGUAUAGACGUGGCUUGGGAGUUAAAGUGCCUAAUUUGGGCAACUUCGUCCGAGUCAUAAUCUUUGUCCCCCACCUAUGGUACAUGCGCUCCAAAUUCAACUAUGUCCCAUAUGUUUUCGUGGAGUGAGGUUAGGUGAUGCCUCAUUUUAUCACUCCACAUACAAUAAUCUUCACCAGCAAAAUAUGGUGGUUUGCCUAAAGGAACGAAAAGUAAUGGAACGCGUUUAGAAAUGCGAGGAUAACAUAGGGGCAUCUUACUAUACUUCUUGCGCUCAUGGCACUUAGAAGCGACGGACGAGUCAGAGCUUGAUGAUGUGGAGGGUGACAAAGAGUCGGUCUCGUAGUAGACCACUUUCUUCAUCUUCUUCUUGUCACCUCUCAGAUGCGACUUGAUGGAGGAAGAUGAUUCCUCCUUGUGCUUGUUGCCAGACUCCCUCGAAAGGGUUCUCCAUGAGCUUGCGGGCUUGUCGCCGGUCACGAUCUCCCUCUUGGCGUGUUCUCCUGACAUCACUUCGAGUUGUUAGACUCUAAUGAAGCACCAAGCUCUGAUACCAAUUGAAAGUCGCCUAGAGGGGGUGAAUAGGCGUAAUCUGAAAUUUACAACUUUAAUCACACACUACAAGCCGAGGUUAGCGUUAGAACAAAUAACAAGUCCGGGAGAGAGGGGGAAAACAAAUCAAUUGAAAAUCAAGUGGAUGAACACGGUGAUUUGUUUUACCGAGGUUCGGUUCCAAAGAACCUAGUCCCCGUUGAGGAGGUCACAAAGACCGGGUCUAUUCCAACCCUUUCCCUCUCUCAAACGGUCACUUAGACCGAGUGAGCCUUCUUCCUUAAUCUCACGGGUCACUAAGACCCCACAAGGACCACCACACACUUGGUGUCUCUUGCCUCGCUUACAAAGCUCUUGAGAAUAAGAAUGGGAAAAGAAGAAAGCCAAUCCAAGUGACAAGAACUCAAAUGAACACAAAAAUCUCUCUCUCACAAGCCACUAAGUGAAUUUGGGACUCAGAUAGGAUUUGAUCUUUUGUAUUGUGUCUUGGAGUGAAUUCUAGAGCUCUUGUAUUGAAUGUGAUGUUCAGAAAACUUGGAUGCUUGGAGUUGUGGUGGUUGGGGGUAUUUAUAGCCCUCAACCACCAAAGUAGCCGUUGGGGAGGCUCCUGGCGAUGGGCGCACCGGACAGUCCGGUGCGCCACCGGGCAGGCACUGUAGGCUAUCCGGUGUGACGCCACGUCACCCAAUCGUUAGGGUUUGGAGCUCGGGCGACCAUUGGAGCUUUGUCCUCUUGCAGCAUUGGACAGUCCGGUGCCACACCGGAUAGUCCGGUGCCCCUCUAACUUCACUGCUCUGACUUCUGCGUGGCACUGUUGCUCACUGUAGCUCCUGUCAGAGUCGAUCGUUGCGCGCUGGAUAACUGUUGCCCGCUGGCACACCGGACAGUACGGUGGCACACCGGACAGUCUGGUGAAUUAUAGCGGAGCCCGGCCGCACUUUCCCGAGAGUAGCUGGUUAGACCCUGUACUGUCCUGGCACACCGGACACUGUCCGGUGGCACACCAGACAGUCCGGUGCGCCAGACCACAACACACUCAAGUCCUUUUUUGCUCCUUUUGAAUUGGGUCCCUAACUUGAAUAUUUAUUGGUUUGUGUUGAACCUUAUGCACAUGUAGAACAUGUAUUCUAGAGCAAACUAGUUAGUCCAUAUAUUUGUGUUGGUCAUUCAACCACCAAAAUUAAUUGUAGGAAAAAGGUUAACCCUAUUUCCCUUCCAAAAAUAAGUUACAUUACAAUUUUUGAAGCUAUGCAUUGUGAUGCCGCUAGCCGGAGGCGCGAUGUUGCCACGACGUGAGCUACCGUCGAUCGCUGUGCACGGCGAGAGUCGAGACGUGGACAAAAGAAGGUGGAGUUCUUUCUGUAUUUUUGCAUACUCUGUCUGCUACAUCACAGGAGAAUAUAAGGGUUCCAGCCUAUAGCCAACACAGUGCCCACACAGCCCAUCAACAAUUAUGAACUGUAAUACCCAAAAAUGUAAAAUGAAAACAUAGUUGAUUUAUAUACAUGUUUAUUCCUCUGUUUAUUAUAACAUGUGAAUCAACACUUCAAAAGUCAUUAAUUAACUAAUGACACCUAAAACAAUAUGUGCAUCAUGCUGAGGAUUUUAUUUAUGUGUGCAUAUGUUAGUAAUAAAAUUUUAUAGAAACACCUUAAUGUUCAAAUUGGAAUCAAGACUUAAAUUGAAAUUUUAAAAUUUGAGAAGGAGAGCACUAGUUAUCACAAAAUAAAUAUAAUAAAAUAAAAUAAAUAAAAUUUACCAUGCCAUGUUUAAGUUGUAUAUUUAAUGAGAAAACAAAUUUACCACGAAGUUUGGGUUUGAAUGGGAAUUCAAAUUAUGAAUUUGAAAAUAGAAAUAACAAAAAAGGGGAAAUAAAACAGAAAUCAGAAAAAGAAAAAGAAAAGUGAAGGAACACUAAUUGGGCCGGUAACUUGUUUUCGGCCCAUUUGGCUUCGUGUCCACGCGGUCCUGGGCGGUAGAAGGCGCCGACAUGGGGGGACCACCGGGCAGUCUCUCCCUCGUGUCCGCCCUCACCCCCUCACUGACGUGUGGGCCUCUGCUUUCCUCCGCUUAGCUCACGCGCGUUUGGUUGACGGGUGGACCUGAGUUGGCGGCACCUUCCUCUCCAACGAACACCGCUUAUGGCGGGAUCGUGGCGGAGCACGUGCAAUCGCGCAGCUCGUGGGAGGGUGCACCAACUCGCUGAAUUCCAUGAAUGCGCAAGCCUAUAAGCCUCGAGGACUCCGCCAUAGUCGCUAGUGCUUGACCGUGGAACCCACAGUGAGAAAGAGAGGAAAGGGAGUGCGGGGGAAAGCUCGCCGCCACACAUGAACGACGGUACUUGUCGUCGGUCUUGUUCCACAAGCCGGUCUGGGUCAUUGGUGGCACCUUGGCGGACUGCGAGGAAUGAAUUCGUCCCCAGGUCGUCGCACAAUCCUCCCCGGCCUCCGUAAAGGCUAUGGACCGCACUCGCCGUGGACGAUCGUCUCUGCGGUCACCUUCACCUCGGGUAAGUGGCCCAAGUCCUCUAAUACAUCUACGGAUUGGAAUACGUUCAACGAGAUUAGGAAUUGUGAGGCGGGGUUUGAACCAAUUUCUCAUCGGAGAUUCAAUUUCAUCGUCGAAUUUGCCUCAACGUGGUUGAUGUUGAACUCGUUCCUCUCGGCGGAAUUAAACCCUCCUUUAGGAUUCGCCGUCGUUCACUUGUCAUGAAUCGACUAGUCGAAGGGAGAUUGGGGAACUAUGGCGCUGGGUCGUGGGCUCCGGCCAUGGCGCCGCCGCGGAGGCCGAUCUCCGCUGCGGAUCGAGUUCCAGAAAAGGGGGAAAGGGGGAUCGCUCGGGCAGUGCGCAUGGACCGUUGAUCUACUCAGCAAUAACCGCGAUGGUGAGGAAGCCACCUGAUGCUAGAAGAUUUGAUUCGAGUCGUGGCUGAUUAGAUGGACGACUGUGAUUUAGGGCGCAUAACGAUUUGCGGGGGAUAGACUCGAACCGCCCGAUCUGAUCGGACGGGAGCGGGGUCGUGUACCAAUUCGGGUGGCUUAGAUCUAAUCCAAGCCGUCCAUCUUCAAUUGUGCGGUCCAGAGCUCACCGUACCCUUUCGUCGUGUACGUUUUGCAAAAUAAACCCCGAGCUUGUUAUAAAUCAACCCGCAGUCCACGGCGCAGCGCUCUAGGUCUUAGGGAUUUUUACGCCAGGGUCCCUUUGUUUCUGUUUAUUAUACACGCAGUCCAGGAGAUUAGAAAAUCUAGGAAAAGUUAAUAGAAAAUGAUUUUUAAUGUAAAAAUAAUGGUUAGAACUUGUUUAAUUCCUAGAAAAUUCAUACUUAGUCCAAAUUAAUCCAUUCCAGUUUCUAUAAUUUUGUAAUAAUGUUGUUUAUCGCAUAAUCUCUCUGUUUUGACAUUAAAACCAUAUUAAAAUUUAUCUCUUAAUUAAUCUUGUAUCACAUACAUAGAACCUUCAGAAAUUCAUAACUUAAAAUCCAUAACUCCAAAUUUAAUGAUUCUUUUUUCUAUGAUCUUAUUUUAAUAUGUAGAUUAUUAAUAUGUAUUUUGUAUACAUGUUUGGUGUGAUGUUAAUUUCCUCUUUAUACUAUGCUUGUUUGUAUUGUGGCGAGUAGAAGAAGAGCCAGUGGCUGAGGAUCCCGGUGUUUAGCAGGUAGAAGUUGCUGAGCAGGAGCUCGUUGAAGGCAAGUUGUGCCCUUGACCACUUUUUACCCAAUAAUGUUCAUUAUUAUCACUUAUCAAUGCAUAGGUUUAAUUUUACCCAAUAGGUCACCCUAGACUGGUUAUCCUUUUACCUUGUUUACCCCUGAAUCGUUUGGGUAGUUUUGUUAUUGCUCUAUAUGGUUUUGGGAUUAAUAUUACAUUAUGUCCAUGUUCCAAUUAUUCUGUUAUUUUAUUUAUUGUUCAUGUCAAGAUCAUUAUUUUUAAUUGUAACCUGGAGCUUAACUUGAAAAACACGUGCCACCACAAGGGUGGAAUGGGACGCCCUUAGCUGACUAACUAGAAAAGCUAGUGGAGGAUUACCUUACCCGAUAGGGGCAAGGGCAGUUGGGGAGUAGGCGUGUAGGGAGGUUCCCGGGUUGAUUUUGCUGCGAUGACGGUCAGACGGGGGAUUCCUGCAUGCUCUUCCUAGAAACUGUAGCGGGUUUUCUGAAGCUAAUGGAACUAGGUAAAGGCCUCGUAGUGUUACCAUGCCUUGCUUCCUUGGUAGAGGUGUAUGGGAUUCAUGACCCCUUGGCAGAUGGGUAACAUGACUUGUGGGUACAUGGUACAACCUCUGCAGAGUGUAAAACUGGUAUAUUAGUCAUGCUCAUGGUCAUGAGCAGCUCAGGACUCUCACAUGAUUAAUUUAUGGAAUUAAAUUCAAUUUGUCAUUUGCAUCGCAUUGAGAUUAUUUAUUACUACUUUUAUUUACUAUUAUUAUGGUUUGGUAUUUACUUACACUUAGUAACUGCUAAUAAAAUUGUGACCAACUUCUAAAAGCAAUGCUCAGUUUCAACCAUUAUUUUGUUGAUUAGCCUUACACUUCACAUGAACUCCCACCUUUGGUGAGUUUAUGCACAUUAUUCCCCACAACUUGUUGAGCUAUGAUCUUUUGAGAGCCCACUCUUGCGAUAUAUAAACCCCCACAGGUGUAGAGCAUGUGGUCGAAGAGGAGCCGCACAACGAGGAGUUCGACUUGAUCUAGGUGGUGUCUCCUAGUCCGCUUUGUGGCACCAGAGAAAUAAUAUUUAGUUUGUUUUAUAUUUAUCAUUUAUUUUGUAAGACUUCCGCUAUGUAAUAAGUACAUUUAUGAUAUUUAUGACGUUUAUCUCUAUGCACUCUGUUAUUAUAUGUGUUGUUCUUACUUGGCGCACAUAUGAGACGCACCCGGCUUUAUCCCUUAAAUCCGUGUGUGACAUGAACGCACACUUCAAACACAAUUUCUCUUCCUGCUAACUUCGCUUCUUCCACUCCUACAGCCAACCACGCUGUCACGCCUCACCCGGAGCUACUGCAUGUGCUUCAGUACUGACAUCUUCCCCUCUGCCUGAGCUUAAUUGUCCACAAUCAAGAACUGAUGGAAAUCUAGGCUUCAAGACUUCAUAAUCCUCCCAUGUAGCCGAUUGAAUUGGAAGUUGAACCACUGAACGACUUCCCUUCCAAACUAAAGGACAAUCCAAAAUUUGCACAGGCUGGACAUCCAGCCAUGUAAGAUCAGCCAUUUGAGGCAGAUCAUUGCACAAUGGUGUAUAUGAUGGAGUGAACGGAUUUAAUUUCGACACAUGAAAGAUGUCACACCCAGGUUUUAGGGACCCGGGCGCGAAAAGCCAAAUGUGUGCUGGGACUAAGUCUCACACAUAUGAUGACUCAUGGUACAGAAACGAAUGUCACAUCCUUAAUAUAUAGUUGAGUUCUGUAUAAAAUAUUAAAUAAUUACAUCAUGCGAAGACAACGAUCCAGCAACACAAAGUUGACUGGGAGACGACGGCCUAGACCACUCACGAACUCAUCACAACAUCCUUCGUACGCCUCAUCCAGGGGUACCUUUUCUUGACCUAGGGGGAUGUGAGUACAACAAGGGUGAGCUCACAUACGUUCAUCGCUCAACAAGUUGUGGGGAAUAAUGUGCAUAAACUCACCAAAGGUGGGAGCUCAUGUGAAGUGUAAGGUUUACCAAAGGAGAUGGUUAAAGCUGAGCAUUGCUUUUAAAGUUGGUCAAAAUUUUAUUAGCAGUUACUAAGUAUAAGUAGAUACCAUCCCAAUUAAGUAAGAGAUCAAGAUUAAUAACAACACCCACAAUGCAAUGCAUAUGACAGAUUAAGAUUAAUUCCAUAAGUUAAUCAUGCGAGAGUCCUGAGCUGCUCAUGACCGCGAGCACAACCGAUAUACCAGUUUUACACUCUACAGAGGUUGCGCCCUUUACCCACAGGUCGUGUAUCCCGUCUAGCCAGGGUUAACUAUACCCUUAGACACUUCUGAGGUGAAUGGCUAGGGAUCCACUAUGAGGCCUUUACAAAGUUCCACUAGCUUCAGAAAACCCGCUACAUUCUAGGAAGGGCAAUAUAGGAAUCACUCGUCCGAAAAGCCAUCGUAGCAUGAUCGACCCAAGAACUUCCCUAUACGCAACUCCCCUACUGCCAUUGCCCCUUUCAGGUAAGGUAGUCCUCCACUAGCUUUCCUAAUUAGUCAGCCAAGGGCAUCCCAUUUCACCCUUGUGGUAGCACGUGUUUCUCAAGUUAAGCUCCAUGUUCCAAUUAACACAAUGAUCUUGUCAUGAACAAUAAUUAAAACAGUAGUAGAAUUGGAACAUGAUCAUAAUGUAAUAUUAAUCUCAAAACCAGGUAGAGCAAUAGCAAAGCUACCCAAAAGUUCAGUGGUAAACAAGGUGUGUGAUAAACAAGUCUAGGGAGGCCUAUUAGGUCCCAUUAGAUUAACCUGAGCAUGUCACAGUGAUUAACAGAAACAUUAUUGGGUAAAGAAAAGUGAUCAAAGGCACAACUUGCUUUAAACUCGAGAUUCCUAUGUACUUCACCAAAUUAGUCUUCAGAUUUCUCGUGACCUCACUUCUAUGCUUAGCAAUACAUAUAAUCAAACAAAUAAUAGGUAUGGUAACAUUACACCAAAGCACAUGAACAAACAACAUAAGAAUAUCCUACGCGUCGCUACGAGAUCGUAGGUUCGAGAACCAUUAAAAUCGGAGCUAAAACAAAGAAUUUAUGGAUAAAACGAUAUUUUAAGCGUAAUAAAUCUAAUAGAUGGGAUCUAACAUGUAUUGCAUUUAAACUAAGCAGGUAUUAAAUUAAAACAUUUGAGUUGGUAUUAAUCAUUAACAAUUAUUUAUAAAAUGAGUAGGUUAGAACUAUAAAUUAGAUUAACUAGAUUAUCAAGUUAAUUAACAUUAAUUAAAUAAUUAAUUAAUUAAUUAAAACAUGUGGCAUAAUUAAAACAAUGUUAUUACUACGCACACAGAAAUUAGUAUGAACCUAACACAACUUGAACAGAUUAAAACAAAUUAUUUGAUCUAGAAGAUAUCACAUUUUUAAUAAAUUAGUAGGGUUGCACAAAAAUAGAUGAUAUGACGCAAUCUGAUUGGUUAGUUAAGUUUGUUAAAGAUGGGAAAAGUUUGUUUACAAAUGCAUGAUCUAGAUGUUGCCAACUUAUCAUGAUUGUACCUAUCGUUAAAUUUGUGUUUUAUGCAAAUCUUGCAUGUAAAAGGGUAUAUGGUGGUUGUUGUCUAUCAGGUGGGAAGCGUCAAACUUAUCAAGAGGGAAAGACCCCUAACCUACCAUCAAGUUACCUUCCAAUCAAGACCUUCAAUCACGCGUUGAUGUUGGUCAUCUCGGUUUUUUUGACGAUGAACCAAAGAUCUGGUCGACGAAAUGGAAGCACGAUGACGAAGCUCUCGCUGAGCUGGUCACGGCGAUGUUUUGGGUUGCCCCAGAAGAUGAAUGGGCGGAGAGAAAUUCCUCGCCAGAGUUGUCGCUAGAGUUUGGGUGGGAGUCAAACUUUGACGAGAUGGUCAUAGCAGCUUAUGGCUGCGAGUCUAGCUAGUGGCGGGCUGCUGUGGCUUGGAUGGCAGCGGUGCUGCCGCGAGGCUAUGGAGGAGAUGAGUCUAUGAUUGAUGGCUUAAGGUGUUAUGGUGGCAUAUAUUUAUAUAGGCUGGGAGGUGGGUGGUUACAUGAUAGAUCUACAUAAAUCAAUGUCACAUAUUUAUUACAUAAUAAGGGUUCUGUACAAAAUAGCUAAAUAAUUACAUCAUUUUACGACAACGAUCCUCCACAACCAUAGUUGACUGAGAGACGACGACCUAGACCUCUCCGAACUCAUCAUAGCAUCCUUCAUUCUCCUCAUUUUGUGAUACCUGUUCUUGACCUAGUGUGAGUUUAGCAAGAGUGAGCUCACAUACGUUCAUUGCUCAAUAAGUUGUGGGGAAUAAUGUGCGUGAGCUCACUUACAGUGGGGGCUUAUGUAAAGUGUAAGGCUUACCAAGAAGAAUGGUUAAAGUUGAGCAUUGCUUUUAAUAGUUGGUCAAAAUUUUAUUAAUUAUUAAAUAUAAGUAGAUACCAACCCAAAUAAAUAUUUGAUCACAAUUGAUAAUAAAUCCCACAAUGCAAUGCAAAUGACAGAUUAAAUUUAAUUCCAUAAAUUACUCAUGUGAGGGUCCGAGCCGCUCGUGAUCAUGAGCAAGGCUGAUAUACCAGUUUUACACUUUGCAAAGUUUGCACAUCUUUACCCACAAGCCAUUAUACCCAUCUGCCACGGCGUUGUUCGCUCCAUGUUCCAAUUAACAUAAUAAUCUUAUCAUGAACAAUAAUUAAACAAACAAUAAUAAUGGAACAUGAUCAUUAUUCAGAUAUAAUAUUAAUCCCAAAACUAGGUAGAGCAAUAGCAAGAUUACCCAAUACUUCAUUUGUUUGUAAGGUCUAGGAUGAACAAAACUAGGCUAACCUAUUAGGUCCCAUCAAGUUAACUUGAGCAUGUCACAUUGAUUAUCGAAAACACUAUUGGGUAAAGAAAAGUGAUCAAGGGCACAACUUGCCUUUUUGGUGCAACUCCAGGUACUUCUCCAAUCUAGGAUCUAAGUGCCUCACAACCUCGCUUCUAUCGUAGAAAUACAUAUAGAUGGGCAAAGAAUAGGUCAAAAUAACAUUAUACCAUACAUAGAAAAAGUGUGUAAUAAAAUUGUACACAUCAUUAUGAGACCGUAGGUUCGGGAAUCACUAAAAUCGGAGUUAAAAUGAAUUAGAUAUGAAUUUUCUAAGUUUUUAGAAUUAUUUUUAUACUUAAAAUAUAUUUCGUGUAUUUUAUUUGUAUAAACAGUUAGCUAGAGGAUUGAGGCCACUAUUCCUCAAAACUCCAAGGUCUAAUUUAUAAAUUUUAGGACUUAAUUUAAAAUAUUUUGAACUAGGUAUGGACGACAGGUUCAUUAUAACUAACUGCAUGGUCUCUUAUGAAAAAGGCCAUGGUCAAAGGGGUGUCUUCGGAUCUCAAUCGUUGGACCACUAUCAAAUGUCCAAGAUUAGAUCAGAACAAGAACACUACGGUAACCCUCGGAUCCCAGAUCUUUGGCUAAGAAUCCGCCACGCCUUACUUUAGCCCUGGAUCGCACGAUUGUAGAUCAACGCCCAUGAUUCAAUGUGGCGAAUCGGUAGAUCCACUUCUAAUCUCCAGCAUUGAACCCCAUAUCAACAGUACUCGGCCAUCUUCUCCUUACCCCCUAUCUCGCUGCUAGGACGUGCACACGACAACGCACAUGCUCAGACGGCGGAGACCUCGUCGGAGCCCCGUCACCCAACCGUCAAGUGCCCCAAUCACCCGUACAAAUGUGCUAAUUGAAGAGAAGAUUAUGGAGAGAAAUAUUACAUGUUACUCACCAGAGAUUAUGGCGAAGAGGCCCCUGCUCACGUUGAAGGGCGACUCUGCAGCGGUUAGCCCGCUCCGGCGAGCAAUUCCCGACCACACGAUGGCUCCCCGUAUUCGCAGCAGCCACCAUCGUGAUCCAUACGCUCUAGCAAUGGUCCCUGGCCACCAUGCUCCCUCUGAUCAGUCGAGUCGACUCGACAACAGCGGCGACGCAAUGUGCAUCACAAUCUACCCGCUUGGCAUAGCGAUCCGCUCGAUCUCCUUACCCAAUAGCACUGCAACAACAUUCGGUGCCCUCCGGUGAACCUCCUUGGCCUUUAUCCGAGGACUCAACGACAAUGUACUGGAGUUUUCCAUGCGGCUACCCUGUUCCCACGCGAUGGAGUUUCACGGUGCUCUGGUAGUUCAUCCGCUCUUGGUCAUGGUGGCCCUGGCUUCCAACGUCGAGGUGGUCUAAUGUGUUGAGGGCUGCACGAGGUAAUUCAUAUAUAGCUAUGGUCAUGAUCAGGGCAGGAACCCAGGCGGGAUUCACUGUACAAGGAUCCGUGGUGGAGGCAUCUCCUUAUGAUUCAGGGAACGAAUCCUAUCUAAAAACGAUUGAGAAGAAGGCUCUAGGUUCGGGGUCCAUCGGGCAGUGAUCGAUUCCCACCCCCAUGUGUAUGGGCGUGACAUGUGGGCCGAUUAACAAUAGACCCCACGCGCCAGUGAGACAAAGAAGCCCACCAUAGUUUAUUGUGCUGACAAAGCGGGUCCACAGGCGCGCACGUUCAGGUAAGGAGGAAACAUGGAUGGGCUGGCUGGGCGCAUUCGGCCCAUGUCAUAAGUAAGCAUCUCUUUUUCUUUUUUUUCCUGUUUUAAUUUUAUAUAUUAUUUUAUUUUCUAGUUUUAAUAUAAAUUAUAAAUUCAAAUAUGAGCUAGAGUUUCAAAUUCAAAUUAAAUGUAUAAUCAAAAUCUCCGGCAUGAAUGCACUAUAUUUAUUUUUUAUAGUAAGUAUUUAUUAAUCUUCUCAUGCAUGCAAAUGCUCUUAAAUAGAUAAUUCAUACACUUCAAAAAUAUUUAUUUAAGGAAAAAUUCCUAGUGUAUAUCCUUUAUUAAGAGAUGAUUUAAAAUAAUUUCUUAGAGAGUACUUAUAAUUAUAUAAUUUUAAUAAAGGAAUGACUUAUUUGACAUGGGGGUUCUUUUCAUUUAAUAUUUUAUUAGAAACAUUUUUUAUGAGAUGUAACUCCAAAGGUAAGAAAAUUAUGAUUAAAAGGUAUUUCGCUUCAAAGCCUGUAGAGAGUUUUACUAGAUUCCCCAAAAUAGGAUUUUAAGGUGUUCACUACACGACUGUUUGGUGCUUUUGUGACUGAUCAGCUCUGGAGCAGCUAGAGUGAUGUAGUUGUGGGCUUUUGAACAAUAGCUGGAGUGAUAUGAAACAUUAGUGAUGUAGUUGUGGGCUUUUGAACUGCUUCAAGCUGGAGUGAUGUCGCUGUGGUGCUUUUGUGACUGAUCAUCUCUGGAGCUUUUGUGAAUGAUCUAGCUAUUUGUAAAUGAUCUAAUUGUGAAUAAUAUUAUAAUUGUGAUGCUUUUGUGAUCAUAUAAUUGUGGUGCUUUUGUGUUUAUGUGAUGGAUCUAUGACUGUGAUACUGAUUAAAUGUGUAUGUCUUUAUGAUUUGUGUAUAAAAAUUUGUGAUUUGUGGUGCUUAAUUAAAUGUAUAUUAUUAUUAACAACAACUGUAACAAGGGCGACUUUCUGUUGGUUGCUAAAUAUAUAGUAUGACGACUUACGGUUGGUUGCUAAAUCUAUAGUACAGCAACCCACGAUUGGUCGCUAAAUAUACAAUAUUAGCAACGGACGGUCGGUCGCUAAAAAGAUGUCGGUCGCUAAAGCCUUUAGCGACGGCACCUACAGCGACCAUCCUUAUGGGUCGCUAAAGGUUUUUAGCGACCAACCGUAGGUCGCUAAAAGCCGCUUUAGCAACCAACCGUAGGUCGCUGUAAGUGAACCGUCGUGUAGUGGUUACAUGCACGACCAGACCGUCCGCGACUGCUUUAUCUGACAUCCGAUGAAACAUUUAAUGCACUUAUAGCCGUUGAUAUAGCCAUUACUGCUGAUCGUUGGGAUUUCAUUCGUUGAUGUGCAGGGGCGGACCGUCCGGCCUAGGGGCAUGGAUCGUCCGCGUGUGGCAGAAAUUUGGCAAAGACUAUGUGGUGGUUGAGGGUUAUAAAUACAACCCCAACCACCUCCAUUCAAGGUACCCCCAAGCUUCCACAAACUCACAUUCAUUGCAAGGAGCAAAGACUUCACUCCAUCCACACUGAAAGCAUCAAAUCCAUCUCCAAGUGCUAUAAUUGUGUUCGAGAAUAUUAGUGGAUAGUGCAUUGGAGAGACCCAAGAGAGUGUGACAUUUUGAUCUUUUGUUGCUCUUUGGCUUGGUUUCUUGAUCGUGCUUUCUUCAUCUCCUUCUAAACCCUCAAAUUACUUGUAAAGGUAGCAAGAGACACCUAAUUGUGUGGUGAUCCUUGAGGGGUCUGAGUCACCCACGAGAUUAAGGAGAAGCAUUCAGCCGAUCUAAGUGACCAUUUGAGAGAGGGUAAGGAUUGAAAGACACCUAAUGUGUGGUUCUUUGGAAGCAAACCUUAGGAAACAAUUCGUCCGUGUCUUUGUGUUAAUCUUGUAUUACGAUUUGGUUCUUCCUCUCCCCUUUCUCUAAGUUUUCUUGCUUUCAAUCGUUUUGAGUUAGCUCCCAAAGUUAUCCACAUUGAUUGAGCAACUCGUAGUAAGAAGAACUAUCUUCUGCACUCUGAUUUUAUUACUACUCAUUUUAACGCUAACCUCGAGUGAAGUUUGUGUUCAAAGUUUAUAAUUUUUAGGUUUCGCCUAUUCACUCCCCUCUAGGCGACUUUCAAUAACGUCAAAUGCACUCAGGGGAAAAAUUCUCAUAUCAGUUUGAAAAAAUGACCACUAGCCCACCAUUCAAACUCUUUCACCAUUGUUGAAGUCCUCAUCACAUCCCCACUACACUUUCACUUGCACUACUGAGCACGACUGUACAGAUAACCUCAAUCUCCAUGGUUGUAUCUUCACUCUCCACCACAUUAAGCUGAGCCGGUCCUCUCCUUGAACACUUAGCAAGAUGCCCCGACUCAAUUUUCUCACCACAAGCGUAACAAAGCCCAUUCAACUUCCUGAAUUCCCUGAGUUGCCUCUUCCUGGACAACUCCAUUGUGGCUUGUAGUAGACAUGUCCAAAUGGGCCGGCCCGGCAGUGGGCCCGUGACCCGGCACGGUCGUGGCCCGGCACGAGCACGACCCGGCCCGACUAGAACCGUGCCCGGGCCGGCCCGGUCCGAUAGCCGUGCCGGGCUUGGGCUGGCCGUCUGGCCCGCGGUGCAGGCACGGGCCCGACACGGUUAAUUAGUAGGCACGAUAACGGCCCAUUUUAGGAACUUAUUUUGUAACUGUCAUUCUGUUUUUAGCUAUAAUACUGAUAAUAUGUUAUUAUAUAAGAGUAUUCUGAAUUGUUAUAUGUGUUUAUAUGUGUAUCUAAAAUUCUUUGUCUAAUUAUGUAUCUAAAAUUAUAAAUAUAAUUAAUUGAAUCUAAACUAAAUUUGAAUAUUAUCCUUAAAUUCUGAAUUUUAGAGUGUUUUUUUUGUUUACGGGUCCGGGCCCGACCCGGCACGACAGGCCCGUCGUGCCUUCGGCCCGGCACGGCCCGUAUAAGAAUAAUCGUGCCGGGCCUGGGCUGCGUCAGCCAGCCCGCGGGCCAGCCCGGCCCAGCACGACACUAAACCAUGCCGGGCUUGGACUGACGCCCCUCGUGCCAGGCCCAGCCGUGCCGGGCCGGCCGUUGGACAUGUAUAGCUUGUAGUACUUUGUUCUCUGGCUUAUUCUGCAGGUAUGGUGGUCUUGGAAGGCUCCCUUGUCUCUGAACCUUACUUCUACUGCUAUCCAGUAUCUCCUACAGUAGUUGAGCCAGCACAGUGGCUCUAUCCAUGGUACUGGGCAACUGAAGCUGAACCACAUUCUGAAUCUCCGAUUUCAUGCCAUAAAUGAACUUGGCGACAAAAAAAACAUUUCGUCCAACUUUGGAUUAUGCACCUCGGCCACAUAACGAGCCUGUUCAAAUUCUGCUACGUACACUUCCAAAGUGUAUGACUAUAUUAACUUCAUAAUUGUUCUCAAAGCCUUUGGGUAAGAUUCAGUACCAAAUUUCGCUAGCACAGCAGCAGAAAACUCCUGACAGGAUCCCAACCCAUUUCGAAUCUUAUACGAUUGCCACCAUCUAGACGCAUUCGAAUCCAAGUGCAUGGUAGCAGCUGAGACCUAGAUCGCCUCGGGGACAUUGCAAAUGUUGAAAUAAUUCUUACAAUUAUCCAACCACACCACUGGAUCAUCGCCCCAAACUUUGGAAAAGACAUCUUAGGUAUUGAACUCCGGUCUCUCCUGCUAGUUAUCCUGGCGUUGCUGGCGAUCUAGCGUUGUUCCUCCCAGCCACCUUUCACUUGCUUUUAUUUCUUUCAGUUCCUACGACUGAUACGAUAUAAAUAGAUUGAUUCACCAGAAUGAUAAAUUGUUUAUAUGCACAGUGAAAAUAAGUUACAUUACAUUUUUUUUGAAGCUAGGCACUGUGACGCCCUAAGCCGGAGGCGCGAUGCUACCUCGAUGUGGGCUAUCGGUGAGAGUCGAGACGUGGACGACACGAAGGUGGAGUUCUUUUUUUUUUGCAUAUUAUGUCCGCUACAGCACAGCAGAAUAUAAGCCAUAGUCAACACAUGGCCUAUCAACAAUUACGAACAAACGCGUACUUCAAACACAAUUUCUCUUCCCGCCAACAAUUACAAACCACUCUGUCACGCCUCACCUGGAGCUACUGCAGGUGCUUCAGUACACAUGUAGACUAAAAGAAAAAUAGUUCUGAAACGCCAAUCCUCUUUACAUCAGCCUUGGACAAACUGGAUGCAGAUUUCUUUAUUGUGUCAAGUGCCUGGACAAACAUGGCAAAGUUUAUUAUGCCAAUAACAGUCUAGAGCAUUGGAGUAGUUAGAAACAUAAAUCACGCAGUACUCAAAAGUCCCAGUUUAGUGGAAGAUUUUGAACAUAAUAAGUUUAGCUUUCAGUCCUUAAUACUAGGCUGAGUGAGAUGGUAAAAAUACAUAAGCGCACCAGUGAACAGAGAAUAACUUGUAAAAUUUGCUGCAAGUGCACCCUGCCCCCACAUUCAUAAAUUCUAGAAAAAAAACAGAGAAAUCUUAAGUACUCCCUCCGUUUCUUUUUAGUUGUCGCUGAAUAGUUCAAUUUUGCACUAUCCAGCGACAACUAAAACGAAACGGAGGGAGUAACAACAAGUUGGUAUGCCAUUGAAACAGCCACAGGAAUUUACCCACCACCAAGCAACAUACGCAUGUAAAAUCCAAAUCAUAGAGUAAGAAUACUGAAGCCUUCUCGAGUAAAUAAACUAGAAAUAAAUCAAAUAAAUUAAAUCAACAAAAAAAUCAAAUACAAACAGCUGGCUCAGUGAAAAGUCUACCAGUCUAAUAAACAAAUCUACAUUGAAUUGAAAUUGAUGGAUUGAAACUAAAAUGAAAAAUGGAAAAAAAAAGGCCGUUCCUUGAUCGCCAUGGACUUCUGUCAAAGUCGAAGAACUCGAUCGACAGACUAUAUAUGCGGCGAGCACAGCCCCUCGUCCAUCAAAUCUAGAAGUAACCCGCCAAGAACCGAGCGCCGUCGCGUGUAUCUCAGCCGUCUGCGCCGCCUGUUUCUCAGCCGUUCGCCACAAAAUGCUGGGUCUCCAAAUCAGGACCGUCAUGGCGGAGAACAUGAACUCGGAGCUAAACAUGAUAGGCUCCUUGCUCCCGUUGUUCCCCUGCAUCACCUUCGACGUCGAGUACGCGGGCACACUGCACCGCUCGUCCGCUGCGACGCGAAUCGCCCCGAGCAAGCAGUACGCCCUCGUGAAGAAAAACGUUGAUGCGGUGCCCAUCGUGAUGCUCGGCAUCACGCUCUCCAACGAGUACGGGAACCUCCCGCUCACAGCGGACGGAGAAGGACGUCUGUUCCAGCUCGCGUGGGAGGUGACGUUCUCGGACUUCGACCCCCGGCGCGACCGCCACGCCCCGGAGUCCGUCACGUUCCUGCGCUCACAGGGCGUCUGCUUGGACAAGGCCCGAGCGCGCGGCGUGAGCUCCGCGGCGUUCGCGGCCAAGCUGGCCGCCAUACUGUCGGCGACGCCGCGGCCCAACGAGCUCACCUGGGCGGCGUUUGGUGGAGCAUACGACUUCGCAUAUAUGCUGAAGAUUCUCACGGGCGGCCAGCCGCUGCCGGAGACAUGGCACGAGUUCAUGGCCCAGACCCAUGCUCUUCUCGGCGGCGGCCGGGUGUUCGACGCCAAAUACAUGGCGGAGCACUGCGAGCGAACGGACUUAGGUGGUCUAGGUCUGAGGCGCAUGGCCGCCACCCUUGGCAUGCGGUGGGACUUCCCGGAGUUGCCCUUCCUUGCCGGGCGGAAGAGCCACAUCGCUUGCUUCAUCUGCACCAUUAUGAGGAGACGCAUCCUGUAUCGCGACGGUGGUGAUAUACUUGUAGGUCUACUCGAUGGUAUACACUGGUAGCAUUUUGAACGGUGAUUACAGCAUAGUCAACUCUAGAUUAUAAUAAACUCUUUUAGCUAUCCAAAUGGGUUAGAUAGGUGUUAGUAUAGGGUAUAUUUUAUAGAUUAAAAUGAUUGUUGGGCUGCGCCCCAAACAAUCAUAGUUAGUAGAUAGGUUUAAUUUGCUUCUAUAAUCAUGGUUGAUUUAUUCAUUACGCUUGUAACCGUCUAUGUAUAUCUAUCCAUCUAUUUACAUAUUUAGUAAAAAAAGUUAAGCGAAUUAAAAAUUAGGACGGAACUGUGCUCUCCCAAAAAAAUUCAAUCAUGAAAAUAAAUGCUUCAGCAUCUAUAGAAUGUAAUGACAUAGCUGGUCCCCUUUUCAUCCGUGGAGAUAAAUACCGGAGCGGGGCUGCCUAGCUUGGUAACUAAUUUACUCUAACCUAAUAUACUAACAAUUAUAAUGCUCAAUAUCUCACAUUAAAAAGGUGUUCAGUUGUGUAAAAACAACUGUUCAGAUUUGCAUAAAAGGUAUAGAAAAAAAAGAUCAAACAGGAGCUUAGAACCAGGUUAUUUAGGCUGUCAGACUUAGGAUUAUAGUAUUAUAUAUCACCCUCGUCAGAAUUUGCAUACAACACUUUUUUUCAACCUGGAAAUUGCACGAGAAAACACGGUUACAAAUUGCUUUAGAUGAGAAGCACAAAAAACAUUAUUAUCAAUUUGAAGAAGAAACUUCAAACAACGGUUAAGAUACACAGUUUUACCAGUUUUUAAGUUGUGAUGUUGUGAUCUCUGGGCCCUACAAAGCACGGCCAUAUUUUCCAUAAAUGAGAAUGCAUUCAACAAUUAAGACCUAAGAAUUGAAUGCCCCAAAGUGAAAAAAAAUUACCUGCAGACUUAACUUCUCUGACCAACUCUGCAAUAGAACAGGGUUUUUGUGCAUCUCAGGCUCAUCUACUAGAGCCUUCUCUAAUUCAUCUAUUUGCUCAUUAUUCAUAAGGGUACGCUUCCUUCUCUUAGGUUGCCUCUCAUCAUACAUACUACUCUCUCCUUUCCCAUCCUCCUCGAGACCGUUUUCUUUUGUAAGUUCUGGUGUUUUGAAAUUAUCCACGCUGCUGGAUGCUGGAUCAAGAUCCAUUCUGUUGUGCUGGUGUCUGGUGCUAACACCGGAAGCGACAUCCGAAGGGCAACCACUUGCUGUUCUUGCAACGCCAAGAUGGACUAGGUCUUGCCCAACUGCAUUCUGCAGGAAACCACCAUUUCUAGAGACAGUGUUCUUUGGAGUCUCGUCCUCAUCAUUUCCUUCCGGAUUUAUUGGGGGUACUGGUGUAGACACUUCCAUGUUCUGUGCAUCCUGUUGCAUCAGCUUCCGAUUAGAAUCCAAUUCACCGUGGACCCAAACCCAAUCACCAGUCAAGUUUCAUUGACCCACUCAUCUAAGUAUUUACCUUUGGAAGGUUAUUCAUUUUGGAGGCUGGAGUGCUUGUCCGUGUUGGCAAGUGCUGCUGCACCGGGCGCAUGGCAUCCAUGCUUUCUGGUGGAAUAUCAUUUUGUACAACCUUAAACAUUUCAUAAUGAGGUCAUACUACAAUUGAAAAAAUAAGAGAAAGUUUGAAAGAAAACAUGAAAAUUCUGCCAUAGAAUGGAUAGUAAAUUGACCUUUGAAGUUCACUGACAAGGGAGCCAAGGCCAGGAAAGGAUGAUGGGAUAGUGUUGAGCUCAAUUUGAAGUAGUGAAUUGGUUUCGGAAUCCAGCAUAUAGUCAGACCGGUGCAAUCCUAAGUGUAUAUCCUAAAAGUGUAUCAAGCACAUAUCAGUGGCUGGCUAAAAAACAAGAGAAAGUUUGAAAGAAGCAUUUCCUAAAGGUCAAAACUGAGACAUAGAGGCCGAUAAAAACAGUUUACUCACCUCUUUCUUAUUUAUAGACAUCAUCUUAUCAUGAAUUUCUAGCAGCCUUGAAGUAAAUUCAUCAACCUGCUUUGUUCUGAAAUUAGAAAAUGAUAAUCCGCUGUUAACCUGAAACCAUUAUAUAGCUAAAAAUGUGAAAAAUAGCUCUGCCUUCUAUGACCUGACUAACAGAGAGUUAUAUUCUCCUCAAAAUUCAAGGCGACAAUCUUGUGAUGAAAAAAAUCAGCUAACAAUCUCGUCUACUCACUGUAUGCUCCGAACAAAGAUAUAUACCACAUUGGUACCAAAAGAAUCCAGUGGAUAGAAUUCAGAACUUGCCUAGACAAAGCAGCUUGGAAGAACUCCCCAUCCAAGCUGACACGAUCCACGAGCUCAUUGAAGAUAGGAGCCAGCUCGCAUGCUUGAUUGAAGAACGAUGCCGGAAAACGCGCUGGAAGCAGCGAGAAUGGAGCGUGAACCAGGCCAACCGCAGGGACCGUUCCGAUCUCUGCAAGUGACAAUAUAAAUGCAGAUCAGAUAAUUCAGGGUAAUUAUAGCUUACAGUUACAGGAAAUUGGGGCAUGCUGUUUGCUUCUUCUUCUUCUUUUCUGGUUAUAUCAAAACCCGCCAGAGUGCAGAGUGGCAACAGUCAAGACAUGUUGAAAAUUGUUCCUUUUUUAACAGUGAACUACAUUACUGCAACUGUUAAGACAAGUUGAACNNNNNNNNNNNNNNNNNNNNNNNNNNNNNNNNNNNNNNNNNNNNNNNNNNNNNNNNNNNNNNNNNNNNNNNNNNNNNNNNNNNNNNNNNNNNNNNNNNNNGGCUGCGUCAGCCAGCCCGGGCCCGGCACGACACUAAACCAUGCCGGGCUUGGACUGACGCCCCUCGUGCCAGGCCCAGCCGUGCCGGGCCGGCCGUUGGACAUGUAUAGCUGUAGUACUUUGUUCUCUGGCUUAUUCUGCAGGUAUGGUGGUCUUGGAAGGCUCCCUUGUCUCUGAACCUUACUUCUACUGCUAUCCAGUAUCUCCUACAGUAGUUGAGCCAGCACAGUGGCUCUAUCCAUGGUACUGGGCAACUGAAGCUGAACCACAUUCUGAAUCUCCGAUUUCAUGCCAUAAAUGAACUUGGCGACAAAAAAACAUUUCGUCCAACUUUGGAUUAUGCACCUCGGCCACAUAACGAGCCUGUUCAAAUUCUGCUACGUACACUUCCAAAGUGUAUGACUAUAUUAACUUCAUAAUUGUUCUCAAAGCCUUUGGGUAAGAUUCAGUACCAAAUUUCGCUAGCACAGCAGCAGAAAACUCCUGACAGGAUCCCAACCCAUUUCGAAUCUUAUACGAUUGCCACCAUCUAGACGCAUUCGAAUCCAAGUGCAUGGUAGCAGCUGAGACCUAGAUCGCCUCGGGGACAUUGCAAAUGUUGAAAUAAUUCUUACAAUUAUCCAACCACACCACUGGAUCAUCGCCCCAAACUUUGGAAAAGACAUCUUAGGUAUUACCUGACGAACUAGUCCUCCUUGAUGAAAUCGAUUGAACUCCGGUCUCUCCUGCUAGUUAUCCUGGCGUUGUUGGCGAUCUAGCGUUGUUCCUGCUAUUUCUUUCAGUUCCUACGACUGAUACGAUAUAAAUAGAUUGAUUCACCAGAAUGAUAAAUUGUUUAUAUGCACAGUGAAAAUAAGUUACAUUACAUUUUUUUUGAAGCUAGGCACUGUGACGCCCUAAGCCGGAGGCGCGAUGCUACCUCGAUGUGGGCUAUCGGUGAGAGUCGAGACGUGGACGACACGAAGGUGGAGUUCUUUUUUUUUGCAUAUUAUGUCCGCUACAGCACAGCAAAAUAUAAGCCCAUAGUCAACACAUGGCCUAUCAACAAUUACGAACAAACGCGUACUUCAAACAUAAUUUCUCUUCCCGCCAACAAUUACAAACCACUCUGUCACGCCUCACCUGGAGCUACUGCAGGUGCUUCAGUACACAUGUAGACUAAAAGAAAAAUAGUUCUGAAACGCCAAUCCUCUUUACAUCAGCCUUGGACAAACUGGAUGCAGAUUUCUUUAUUGUGUCAAGUGCCUGGACAAACAUGGCAAAGUUUAUUAUGCCAAUAACAGUCUAGAGCAUUGGAGUAGUUAGAAACAUAAAUCACGCAGUACUCAAAAGUCCCAGUUUAGUGGAAGAUUUUGAACAUAAUAAGUUUAGCUUUCAGUCCUUAAUACUAGGCUGAGUGAGAUGGUAAAAUACAUAAGCGCACCAGUGAACAGAGAAUAACUUGUAAAAUUUGCUGCAAGUGCACCCUGCCCCCACAUUCAUAAAUUCUAGAAAAAAACAGAGAAAUCUUAAGUACUCCCUCCGUUUCUUUUUAGUUGUCGCUGAAUAGUUCAAUUUUGCACUAUCCAGCGACAACUAAAACGAAACGAGGGAGUAACAACAAGUUGGUAUGCCAUUGAAACAGCCACAGGAAUUUACCACCACCAAGCAACAUACGCAUGUAAAAUCCCAAAUCAUAGGAGUAAGAAUACUGAAGGCUCUUCUCGGAGUAAAUAAACUAGAAGAUAAAUCAAAUUAAAUUAAAUCAACCACAAGAUAAAAUCCAAAUACUAAACAGGCUGGGCUCAGUUGGACAAAGUCUACCAGUCUAAUGACAACAAAGUCUACCAGUUUGAAUUUGAAAUGUGAUUGGGAUUUGAAACCUAAAACUGAAAAAUGGAAAAGAAGAAAGGGCCGUUUCCCUUGAGUCCGCCAUGGACUUCCUGUCCAAAGUCCGAAGAACUCGAUCGACAGACUAUAUAUGCGGGCCGAGGCACAGCCCCCUCGUCCAUCAAAUCUAGAAGUAACCCGCCAAGAACCGAGCGCCGUCGCGUGUAUCUCAGCCGUCUGCGCCGCCUGUUUCUCAGCCGUUCGCCACAAAAUGCUGGGUCUCCAAAUCAGGACCGUCAUGGCGGAGAACAUGAACUCGGAGCUAAACAUGAUAGGCUCCUUGCUCCCGUUGUUCCCCUGCAUCACCUUCGACGUCGAGUACGCGGGCACACUGCACCGCUCGUCCGCUGCGACGCGAAUCGCCCCGAGCAAGCAGUACGCCCUCGUGAAGAAAAACGUUGAUGCGGUGCCCAUCGUGAUGCUCGGCAUCACGCUCUCCAACGAGUACGGGAACCUCCCGCUCACAGCGGACGGAGAAGGACGUCUGUUCCAGCUCGCGUGGGAGGUGACGUUCUCGGACUUCGACCCCCGGCGCGACCGCCACGCCCCGGAGUCCGUCACGUUCCUGCGCUCACAGGGCGUCUGCUUGGACAAGGCCCGAGCGCGCGGCGUGAGCUCCGCGGCGUUCGCGGCCAAGCUGGCCGCCAUACUGUCGGCGACGCCGCGGCCCAACGAGCUCACCUGGGCGGCGUUUGGUGGAGCAUACGACUUCGCAUAUAUGCUGAAGAUUCUCACGGGCGGCCAGCCGCUGCCGGAGACAUGGCACGAGUUCAUGGCCCAGACCCAUGCUCUUCUCGGCGGCGGCCGGGUGUUCGACGCCAAAUACAUGGCGGAGCACUGCGAGCGAACGGACUUAGGUGGUCUAGGUCUGAGGCGCAUGGCCGCCACCUUGGCAUGCGGUGGGACUUCCCGGAGUUGCCCUUCCUUGCCGGGCGGAAGAGCCACAUCGCUUGCUUCAUCUGCACCAUUAUGAGGAGACGCAUCCUGUAUCGCGACGGUGGUGAUAUACUUGUAGGUCUACUCGAUGGUAUACACUGGUAGCAUCUUUGAACGGUGAUUACAGCAUAGUCAACUCUAGAUUAUAAUAAACUCUUUUAGCUAUCCAAAUGGGUUAGAUAGGUGUUAGUAUAGGGUAUAUUUUAUAGAUUAAAAUGAUUGUUGGGCUGCGCCCCAAACAAUCAUAGUUAGUAGAUAGGUUUAAUUUGCUUCUAUAAUCAUGGUUGAUUUAUUCAUUACGCUUGUAACCGUCUAUGUAUAUCUAUCCAUCUAUUUACAUAUUUAGUAAAAAAAGUUAAGCGAAUUAAAAAUUAGGACGGAACUGUGCUCUCCCAAAAAAAUUCAAUCAUGAAAAUAAAUGCUUCAGCAUCUAUAGAAUGUAAUGACAUAGCUGCGUCCCCUUUUCAUCCGUGGAGAUAAAUACCGGAGCGGGGCUGCCUAGCUUGGUAACUAAUUUACUCUAACCUAAUAUACUAACAAUUAUAAUGCUCAAUAUCUCACAUUAAAAAGGUGUUCAGUUGUGUAAAAACAACUGUUCAGAUUUGCAUAAAAGGUAUAGAAAAAAAAAGAUCAAACAGGAGCUUAGAACCAGGUUAUUUAGGCUGUCAGACUUAGGAUUAUAGUAUUAUAUAUCACCCUCGUCAGAAUUUGCAUACAACACUUUUUUUCAACCUGGAAAUUGCACGAGAAAACACGGUUACAAAUUGCUUUAGAUGAGAAGCACAAAAAACAUUAUUAUCAAUUUGAAGAAAGAAACUUCAAACAACGGUUAAGAUACACAGUUUUACCAGUUUUUAAGUUGUGAUGUUGUGAUCUCUGGGCCCUACAAAAGCACGGCCAUAUUUUCCAUAAAUGAGAAUGCAUUCAACAAUUAAGACCUAAGAAUUGAAUGCCCCAAAGUGAAAAAAAAUUACCUGCAGACUUAACUUCUCUGACCAACUCUGCAAUAGAACAGGGUUUUUGUGCAUCUCAGGCUCAUCUACUAGAGCCUUCUCUAAUUCAUCUAUUUGCUCAUUAUUCAUAAGGGUACGCUUCCUUCUCUUAGGUUGCCUCUCAUCAUACAUACUACUCUCUCCUUUCCCAUCCUCCUCGAGACCGUUUUCUUUUGUAAGUUCUGGUGUUUUGAAAUUAUCCACGCUGCUGGAUGCUGGAUCAAGAUCCAUUCUGUUGUGCUGGUGUCUGGUGCUAACACCGGAAGCGACAGCCGAAGGGCAACCACUUGCUGUUCUUGCAACGCCAAGAUGGACUAGGUCUUGCCCAACUGCAUUCUGCAGGAAACCACCAUUUCUAGAGACAGUGUUCUUUGGAGUCUCGUCCUCAUCAUUUCCUUCCGGAUUUAUUGGGGGUACUGGUGUAGACACUUCCAUGUUCUGUGCAUCCUGUUGCAUCAGCUUCCGAUUAGAAUCCAAUUCACCGUGGACCCAAACCCAAUCACCAGUCAAGUUUCAUUGACCCACUCAUCUAAGUAUUUACCUUUGGAAGGUUAUUCAUUUUGGAGGCUGGAGUGCUUGUCCGUGUUGGCAAGUGCUGCUGCACCGGGCGCAUGGCAUCCAUGCUUUCUGGUGGAAUAUCAUUUUGUACAACCUUAAACAUUUCAUAAUGAGGUCAUACUACAAUUGAAAAAAUAAGAGAAAGUUUGAAAGAAAACAUGAAAAUUCUGCCAUAGAAUGGAUAGUAAAUUGACCUUUGAAGUUCACUGACAAGGGAGCCAAGGCCAGGAAAGGAUGAUGGGAUAGUGUUGAGCUCAAUUUGAAGUAGUGAAUUGGUUUCGGAAUCCAGCAUAUAGUCAGACCGGUGCAAUCCUAAGUGUAUAUCCUAAAAGUGUAUCAAGCACAUAUCAGUGGCUGGCUAAAAAACAAGAGAAAGUUUGAAAGAAGCAUUUCCUAAAGGUCAAAACUGAGACAUAGAGGCCGAUAAAAAACAGUUUACUCACCUCUUUCUUAUUUAUAGACAUCAUCUUAUCAUGAAUUUCUAGCAGCCUUGAAGUAAAUUCAUCAACCUGCUUUGUUCUGAAAUUAGAAAAUGAUAAUCUGCUGUUAACCUGAAACCAUUAUAUAGCUAAAAAUGUGAAAAAUAGCUCUGCCUUCUAUGACCUGACUAACAGAGAGUUAUAUUCUCCUCAAAAUUCAAGGCGACAAUCUUGUGAUGAAAAAAAUCAGCUAACAAUCUCGUCUACUCACUGUAUGCUCCGAACAAAGAUAUAUACCACAUUGGUACCAAAAGAAUCCAGUGGAUAGAAUUCAGAACUUGCCUAGACAAAGCAGCUUGCAAGAACUCCCCAUCCAAGCUGACACGAUCCACGAGCUCAUUGAAGAUAGGAGCCAGCUCGCAUGCUUGAUUGAAGAACGAUGCCGGAAAACGCGCUGGAAGCAGCGAGAAUGGAGCGUGAACCAGGCCAACCGCAGGGACCGUUCCUGAUCUCUGCAAGUGACAAUAUAAAUGCAGAUCAGAUAAUUCAGCGGUAAUUAUAGCUUACAGUUACAGGAAAUUGGGGCAUGCUGUUUGCUUCUUCUUCUUUUCUGGUUAUAUCAAAACCCGCCAGAGUGCAGAGUGGCAACAGUCAAGACAUGUUGAAAAUUGUUCCUUUUUUAACAGUGAACUACAUUACUGCAACUGUUAAGACAAGUUGAACAUUUGUCCUUUUAAACAGCGAACAACAUUACUGCAAUUUGGCAGGGUGGGUACUCCAUUAUUCCAUCCUCCAAGCCGAGGCAACAACGAACUAUUAGAAAUUCCAAUCAUGGAGCUAGAGGAAAUUCUCUGACAAAGUGAGACCGCCCAAAAUGCAAGCUUUUGCUAACACACUGACGAACACUAGCAGCCAGUCGAUCCAAGACCGGGAGGGGUGACUCGUGUGGCGUACCUGGUUGGCGCGAUCUCCGACGACGAGCCCGUGGACGGCGCACCACACGGCGGCAUCCUCCACCAUCUACCCCAGCACGGCCUGCUGCCCCGGCGUCCCGGCCCCCUCCUCCGUCGGCGCCACGCCGAGGGGCGCCUUGGCGCUCAUCGCCGCGUGCGCCAUCCGAAGCUGCCGGGGCGCGGGCGGCGCGAACGAGGCCGUGUCUGGGGCGGGAAGGCGGCUGGCAGCGCGGAGACGGAGACGGACCUGCUGUUGGUGCGAGACGCAGGGGGAGGACAUGGCGUGGGGGAAACCGAUUCAAAGGCGGGCGCUCCCACGAUUUAUGUCGUCGCGCUCUGGCUUCGUGCCUUGGCGGCGGCGAAGGCCGGAGAGGGGAAUUGGGAAUGGGUUCCUGUUCGGUUGUUCCUAGUCCGAUGUGGGCAUGUGGAGGGUGCGGGUCAAUCUCCGGUCGGGACAGAGGCGUCCAGGUGCUUCCUCUCGAUCGCUUGUUUCGUCUAGACCGGCCACCUGAUCCAACCAACCAGCCGUCCAAAAAAAUCGACUGAACCUAUCCCAACUAAUGUAAUAAAAGAUGGGUAUGGGUUAUAAUUUUUGACCCAUAAUAAUUCACGUACUGAAUAUAGACCAUAGUUUUAUCUAAAACCUAACCUAACUCAUAAAAAUCCGUCCCAACACGAAAAAAUCCGACCUGACACAUCUAACAGGGAGGCACAGACCAAUCCGACCCGACACUAGACACGAUUCAGGUACAGACAAUGCUAAAUGGCCCACGAUCCGACCUGACGGUUGAACAUGUCUAGUUUCGUAGUCAUGGCGUCACGACGGACAUUGUUGUUGCUGCUUUGUAAAAUUGCACUACUACCUUUUCUAUCGAGACGAGGUCUAUGCCUAAAACUUUUCAGAAAUGAGGGUGUUUGGUUUCUAGUAACUAAUUUUUAGUCCUUCCAUUUUAUUCUAUUUUAGAUCUUAUUUGAGACAACUGCAGCUCCAGAAAAUUUGGUGGAGUUGCUGAAGCAGGUCAUUAGGUGCUUUAGAAAAUCAUGGAGCUGGAGCUAUAAGCCUUUAGAUAACAUUUAAAUAAGUCAUUUCAUUUAUUAUUUAAACUAAAAAUAUCUUUAAAAAUGUUUAAAUUAUAUUAUAAACUACAGCUCCACGCUGAAACUGGAACCUAAAGCCAUCACAAACAUCCCCUUAGUCCAUAAAUUGCAAAUAUGGAAAUUAAAACUCUACUAGGUCCAUGCCCGUGCGUUGCCACGAGAGUGAAAAACAGUAUGAAACAUAGAUAUGAACCGACAAAUAUUACUAUGAUAUGAAAAAUUCGUAUGGCAAAAUAUCACUGUAACACUAAUAUUAAAUUUUUGAUGAUAUAAAUAUAUAAUAUUAUUAUAAAUACGUCGACCCAAAAUGAUUGAACUGAUGUCAAACAAACAUUAUCAAUAGCGCAUAAACCCGAGCCCGUACACGACCCGGAUGACAGAGAUGCCAAUCAGCAGGAGGAGCACUUCCUAUAGUAAUAAAUGACUUGUCCAAAAGAAAUAUAUUGAAACAUUGAUGACAAGAUUAACAGCGGUUGUCUUUCUAAGAAGUUGGUUAUGCCUCUUCUGGGUGGUAAAGUUCAACCCCAGCAGGUUCCUAGAACUAAUGAUGCAAUUAGCUCUGAUUCUGCUAGCACAAAUGAGAACCCUAUUCUUGGUGGAAGAGUAUUUUCUCCUCUAGUUGUUUUCUAGAGUUCAAUAGAAACAUAAGUUGCUGCUGCAUUUCAAAAUCAAAGUGAAACCGUAUGUACCUCUUCUGUUAAUUUUAUAAUUAUUAUAUAGUCAAAUUGCCCUUGGUCACUUCAUCUGAUUUCUUAAUAGCAACUGCUGCAUCCAUAACAGAGUCCGAUAUAAUAAAUUGUUACUCUGUUAAUUGGCAUGUAAUGCUUUGAACGGACUGAAACCAAUAGCUCAUUAGCUCUCUACACUUCAUUUAAUAAAUGAAUACAGUAAGGACUAUGCAGUUUUCAUGCAGAAGACAUACACUAGUUCACAAUCGAGAAUGCAGAAGGCAGACUGAACACAAUCUGUGCACUAUCUGGUACACAUCAUAGGAACAUUGAUACAAACCAGACACCUGUACACAUCCAAAAAUGAACAUUGAUGCAAAAUUUAAACAUAAUGACACGCAAGAACAUUGAUCUCCAUUUAUAUUAAAAAAAGUACACCAUACAUUAUAAGUUUAGAACCACACUUGAACUGAUUACACCCAUAUGACUACAAUAGGUUAUGCUUCAACAGGAGUCUUCCAAGGAAAACAGCUUAACAACCAUAGCACCCUAAACCUUACAAGCUAAAUGAUUCCCACUACAUUUUUAUCUUGGGGCCAUCCUCUGUACAGCUUGGUCACACAGUUUAGCAGUUUUGUUUGGCGCCUCAUCUCUUGUGCGGCCUCGUCUUUUUCAAUAUUUGGUCGUUGCAGCCUCAACUUUUUUAAUAUUUGGUCGCUCAUCUAGCUUUCCAUGUAGUAUAAUCGAGGAUUGUGGUUACAAAAAGCGCAGGUUCUUGGCUUACCAUACAAAUCAGGAGCAGUAGAGGCAAAAGCCUCGGUCGAAGUCACCUCUUCAUCCUUGUGUAGUUGUGUUUCUCCAUGCCCAAGUCCACCAGAAUCGGACCUCCUACGCCAGCCACUGCGUGAGGCCAAGGCACAACAUGUGCGUGAGGCCGCACCUCGAACAGUUCUUGACCCACAACAGCUAGAAGUGCAUGUUGAGGCAGAUCUUCUCGCCCUAGUACAUCUGCGCGCACCAGCAGUGAUCCAACAUAGCGAGAGAUACUAUAUGAAAAAAAGAAAAUGUCAUGUUAGUAAUGCGACUACUCAAUGAAAACAAAAGGUAAGUCCUUUUAGGUUUUAGAAUGAUACUUGGAUGCUGCAAUCCUUCUAAAAAUAGCAUGCAUUGCACCACAUAUAUAGCAAAAGACAAUGGUAUAUUCUUGACAGAACAGAAUAAGUGAUCAAAAGGCAGCAACAGUACCUGCAAGUUUACUAUUGUUGAAUCUAUGUAGAACAAUUCACACCUGUAGCUUCAGCUCCUAGUACUUUUAGUGCAUCAUGUGCAUUAACACCUAUUAUGAUCCUAUUGUACAUCUCUGAACCAUCAACCUCUAAAAUUUCCAGUAUCACAAUUUUUUCUCGUUAGUUAAUAAGUAGGUUUGAUUUGGGCCAACAGCCUUGGCAAAUGCAUCUGAUAUAUCAACCACAUGAACUUGAGCUUGGUAUCCACCAGCUUCCGAGGAUCGGUGCUGGCAGCCUGCUGUUGACGUCUGUUCUCCUGCAAAGCUUUCUCCCGCUACUCAUAGAAGUCGAAAUCUUCCAGGAUUGUUGUCCCAGCCUCAUGGCUCUUGAAGAUUGUUAGCAUCUGGAGGCCCUGUUCCAGAUUCACCUAUAUGCUAAGAGUUAGUGAAUUUAUUCAGAAGUGCCAUUGAUAUUGGUUACUUAAACAUUCAGCAAAAAGAAUUAUGUAAAUUUUACCUCCUAGGUGUCACUGCUAUUUGUGACAGGUUUAUUGUCAUUGUUCUCAAGAAUGAUGUGUCGCAUAAGGCUGUUCGGUACAUCCUAAAUUAUGUGCCACUUCACAUAGAACUGUCCACUCCACUUAUCUUGCUGCCAGUAAUCUUGCACCCUGAAGGCAGCUCGGGAGAGAGAGGGGUAGGGGAAGAGCCACAGAUUGUGUGUGUGUGUGAGAGAGAGGGACAGGAAACAACUAGAUCCGGCGCCACUGACCUCUCCACCAAUUUGGUGCCUCACAUCUUGGAUCCUCGAGAGCUAAUGACACCUUCAAGCCAUGGAUCCAUUGGAGGCUGGUCCUCCAUGGGAUGCGAUCAGUGUCCACGUCGCCAAUAGCACUCGCGCCGCCUCUCUCUCUCUCUCUCUGUGGCUGUGGAGAGCGGGUGAAGGGAGAGAGGGGGAUGGAGGCGCUGGUCUCGUCUGAUAGCGAUGACGUGGAGACUCGGGUGGAAGCAAGGGGAUGGAAGCGAUGGUUGGCUGAUACUUACACAUUACAUUGUCUUGCUGCAAUAUGCUCAUAUCUGUGUUUUCCUGCAGCAAUAUGAUAAUAUGGCUCACAAGUAGACGACUGAUGUUCUGAACAAUCUUUCGGCGUCUCUAUUUUUAGGAAUGAAACAACAUCCGAAAUGUAACAGAUAAGUACAUUGUUACUUCCUCAUACUACAGAAUUGAAACAAAACCUCCUGACUCUACAGUUACACAUAAGUACAGAAUUGAAACAAAACCUCCUGACUACAUCAAAAGGUGCAAAACCCACCCAGAUGCCCAACACAGCAGUGGAUAAUCUACAAUUGAAAAUUCAUACUGAACGUCCAUUUCGACAACCAAAAUUGCCACCGGCCUAUUUAUGUAAAAGAUGACCAGACCACCAUAUGUGAGGGGAAAAACAGUCUCAACUGAGCAGUUGUCACACUCGGGUUUUACGGGUCCAAAACUCGGGCGCGAAAUAAUCACCAGGUGUGCUGGGACCAAGCCUCACACAUAUGAUGAAUAAUGGUACAAAAACAAAUGUCACAUCUUUACUAUAUAAUAGGAGUUCUCUACAAAAUAAAUAAAUAAUUACAUCACAAGGAGACAACGAUCCAACAACCCAAAGUUGACUGGGAGACGACGGCCUAAACUUCUCACGAACUCGCCACAACAUCCUCCAUGCGCCUUAUCCCGCGGUACCUGUUCUUGACCUAUGGGGGUGUGUGACAGCAAGAGUGAGCUCACAUACGUUCAUCGCUCAACAAGUUGUGGGAAAUAAUGUGCAUGAACUCGCCAAAGGUGGGAGCUCAUGUGAAGUGUAAGGCUUACCAAAGAGGAUGGGUGAAGAUGAGCAUUGCUUUUAAAGUUGGUCAAAAUUUUAUUAGCAAUUACUAAGUAUAAGUAAAUACCAACCCAGUUAAGUAGUAGAACAAAAGUGAUAACAACACCCUCAAUGCAAUGCAUAUGACAAAUUGAAUUUAGUUCCAUAAAUUAAUCAUGUGAGGGUCCGAGUUGCUCAUGACCAUGAGCACGGCUGAUAUACCAGUUUUACACUCUGUAGAGGUUGCGCAUCUUUACCCACAAGUCAUGUUACCCAUUUUCCAUGGGGUUGAUUGGACCUCAUACACCUCUACCGAGGAAGCGAGGCAGGGUACCACUACGAGGCCUUUACAAAAUUCCACUAGCUUUAGAAAACCCGCUACGGUUUCUAGGAAGCUCCAAUGCAGGGAUCCCUCGCCUGCCGCCAUCACAGCAAAAAUCAACCCAAGGACCUCCCUACACUGACAACUCCCCUACUGUCCUUGCCCCUUUUGGGUAAGGUAGUCAUCUACUAGCUUUCCUAAAUAAUCAGCCAAGGGCGUCCCAUACCACCCUUGUGGUAGCACUGUUUUCUCGGGUGGUUCUUCAUGUUCCAAUUAACAUAAUGAUCUUAACAUGAACAGUAAAUAACAACUGAUAAUAAAAGUAUAAUCAUGAAUAGUGUGUAUCUCUAUACCCAAAACCACAUAAAGCAAUAGCAGGUACUACCCAAAAAAUCAGUGGUAAACAAGGUAUAAAGAUAGUCAAACUAGGGUAACCUAUUGGGUCCCAUUAAAAUUAACCUAUGCAGAUCAUUAUGAUUAAUAAGAACAUGAUUGGGUAAAAAGAAGUGAUAAAGGGCACAACUUGCCUGGACUUGAGAUUCCAGGUACCAACUUGCUUUUCAGAUGACUCGUGACCUCGCGCUAGUCGUAGCAAUACAAACAAACAUGGUAUAGGCAAAAUUAACAUCACACCAAACAUAAGAAUAAACUGCAUAAUAAUAAUCUACGCGUUGCUACGAGAUCGUGGGAUCGAGAACCGCUAAAUUCGGGGUUACGGUUAUGAAGUUAUGGUUUUCUGAAGAUCCACGUGGUUAAGUAUAGAAUAGACUAAGUGCAACAUUUUAACCUAUAUUUCAUGACAAAAAAAGUUACCAGAUGAUAAUAAUAUUAUUGUGAGACUAAUGCAACUAGGAUGGAUCAAAACGGAGCUACAAUUAUUGAGUUAUGAAUUUCUGGAGUUAUUUAAUGCUUGAUAUAGACUAAUUCAGAUGAACAAUUUUAAUCUAAUUUUCAUGGCUAAACAGAGAUACUAGGUGAUAUAUGAUAUUAAAACAAAAUUAUUGCAACUGGAAUGAAUCAAUUUGGAGCUAAAAUGAAUUAAAUAUGAAUUUCACAAGUUUCUAGUAUUGUUUUUGUAUUAAAAAUCAUUUUCUAAAAUAAAUUAUGAAUUUCCUCAUGCUUCUGGACUGCGGACACAAUUUUAACAAACUCUAGGGGGCUCUGCAUAAAUUCCAGGACUAAACGGUAAUGGUCUUAACCCUGACUUGGACGACGGGUUAGUUUAGGAAAAGCCGAGGGGCCUUUCUGCAACAUCGCACGGCCGAAGGGGUAUCGGCAACUGUGGGCCGUUGGAUCUAUAUGCUACGGUUGCGAUUAGAUCUUAAUAAGACCCGAACUGGUAUCGGAUACGGACCAUCAGAUUACCAUCCAAGGGUCGGGAUCUAACGACACUAGCGCUCCCGCUCACCCACACAUCCGCAGAUCCACGGCUCCUAUCCAUUAGCGCGAAGGGGUAUCCACGACUUAAUCACAGUCGUCUGAUAAGAUCAAACGACGCACGUCCUUUCGCUUUCCCCCAACCUAGUGUGCGGCGGCGCCAUGGCCGGCGCAGGCGCAUCAAACUCCGUGGAAGCCCUACGAAAAUGAUGUGGAGACUUAAACGAACACGCAGGGGGUUUCCUUACCUACAAUCACGCAGUGGGAUCUGCUGCCCACGGAGGAGGGUGGGUCCGCGGCGGCGUCGGACCAUGGCGAGGAAUUGCGGCGUCGCCUGCCCACAAUCGCGCCCGGAACGACCAUGUGCACCACUAGUGCGACUCCCCAAAGCUCCUAGGCCCAGAUUCGAGGCCUCAUCGGUGACGCAAACCCGGGUCGACGGCAACGGCUUCCAUGACCCACGCGGCGGCCAAUAUCUCACCCAGCAACGACUCUAACUUUUUCCCCCACCUCCCAUGUUUGGUCAUUGGCUAGAUGGUCGAGGGAAUGCAGCUACGAUACUUAUACGCAGGUAAAGGGAAGCAUCCAGGUGUUAGGUCCAAGCUUGGUUGCAAUGAACACCGCGAUCUCCGGAGAGGUUGUACCCCGUCAGUCCGUUCUGGUUGAGGAGACGCAGCUGAUGCAAUGGGGGCCACCAGCCAUGGAUAGAUGAUCAACACUUGCGAUCAGCCCAAGCGCACGCGCGAAGAAAGUGAGGCUGACGGCACGGGGGUUGUUGCGCAAGCUCUGCAUUCUGUUCUAACGGAGUCCGCGCGAGAAGGAAGGUCCUGACGAUCCGGCCCCACGAGUCAGCGAAACAGGCUGCGUCCACGAGCACACGCGAGUGAGUUAGGAGUUGGGGCCCACUGGCCAGUGGUCGACGCGGCUUCACUGGCCAAGCGGGGCCACAUGUCGGCGCCGGUCAUGACCGCGAAAUACUGGGCCGUGAAGGAGGGAAUAUGGAGAUGGGCCGAAAUGGGAGGUGGUUAGCCCAACGUGAUGUUUUCUUUUUCUUUUCUUAUUUUCUUUUCUCUAUUCCCAAAUUCCACUUUAAAUUCAACUUUAAAUUCAAAUCUUGUGCCAAAUUUAUCCCCAAAUUAUAUUGCUAAAUUAAAAGUACCAAUUUUGGAGAUAUAUAAAUUUUCUUUAUAUUUUAUAUUCUUUCUCUUUUCUUUCCUUCCCUAUUUUCAAACCUAAAUUUUAAUUUGGGGUUCAAUCCACAUCUCAAGUUAUUAUUAUAUUUUUAUUAAUAUAUUUAUGACCAUUACUUAAUGUACAACAAACAAAAUUCCAACAUGAUGCAUUAAAUAUUUUUAUUAGAUAUCUUGUCCUUUUGAUUAGGGUUAAUCCCAUGUUAUAAUAAUGAGAUGGCAACCCAAAUGAUGAUAUCCUUUUCUUUACUUUAUUCACAAAGUGGGUUUUACAGCAGCUUAAGUAGAUCCCCAAGAAAAGUGAACGAAACGUGCUGAACUGAAAUCUAACACCUCACGAUCACAGUUGUCUAUUUUCAUCACUGAUCGAAAUCCAAAAAAACAUGACGCCUGAUGACUGUUUUCUCUCUCUUUUUCGGUCAAGAUCUGACGUUUUCAGAUCAUGCAGCAAUUAAGGAGUUCUGCGGAGAGGCGAGAGCUUACUCACGAAAAAUGGAGAAACAUAUCUUGGCCUUGUAUUUGCAGUAGUGGUGACAGUGCUCUGGCCGGAGCCCGAGCUCCUCCACGAUGUCGGCGAUAGGGAGUGGCUGACGGAUGUAGAUGUCCGUCGACACCAGCGAUGCCACAUCCGGCCAGAUCGUCUGGCUUGGCAUUGGCAUCUCAAGCAGCAGCGGCGGCGAGACGACGACGCUGAAUUUCACGAGACGGUUUGGUUUGGGCACCGUCGAUCGCGGUGAAUUUGGCGCGCAAGGAAAGCUCGCUCACGCGCAAACCAGAGUACUCGGGAUAGCGAUGACGUGGAGACUCAGGUGGAAGCAAGGGGACGGAAGCGCUGGUUGGCUAGCAGCCUAGCACGGCGUGUGGUCGCUCCGCUCCCACCACGCACAGCCUCGAAGACCCAUUAAGCAGCGUCACCGGCCUCGGAGGGGUACUAUUCAUCCUUAUCGAUAGCGGCUAGCGCAGAGGCUGCUGGGGAAGCGGAGUGGAGACGACUGGAGGGCGAGGCGUCGCGAGAGAGGCGGAUGGAUGGCGGCCGGGUGGGGCAGGCGGAUGGAUGAGGACGACGCGAGAGGCGCGGGGCGCACCGAUGGACGGUGCUAAUUUGAUGGGUACACAUGGACGGUCGAGAUUGACGCGAGGCAGAACCAAGCGUGGCAGGCUACCCCUUACAGUCUUAAUAUAGUAGUAUAGAUUUUAGUUUUCAUAUUUAACAAUUUAGGGACUAAAAUAGAAUAAAAUAGUGGAACUAAAAAUUAGACCCUAAAAACAAACACCCCUGACUCAUUUAUUCCUGCAAUAUUUGUACUCAUUAACAAUAGUUCAAUCAUUCCGUCAUUCACUUGCUUUUGUUUCUUUCAGGUCACAUGACUGAUACGAUACAAAUAGAAUGAUUUACCAGAAAGAUAAAUUGUUUAUAUGCAUAGUAAAAAUAAGUAACAUUAUAAUUUUUGAAGCUAUGCAUUGUGAUGCCCCUGGCCGGAGGCGAGAUGUUGCCCCGACGUGAGCUACCUUCGAUCGUCGUGCACGACGAGAGUCAAGACGUGGGUGGAGUUCUUUUUUUGCAUAUUAUGUCCGCUACAGCACAGGUGCUUCAGUACACAUGUAGACUAAAAGAAAAAUAGUUCUGAAACGCCAAUCCUCUUUACACCAGCCUUGGACAAACUGGAUGCAGAUUUCUUUAUUGUGUCAAGUGCCUGGACAAACAUGGCAAAGUUUAUUAUGCCAAUAACAGUCUAGAGCAUUGGAGUAGUUGGAAACAUAAAUCACGCAGUACUCAAAAGUCCCAGUUUAGUGGAAGAUUUUGAACAUAAUAAGUUUAGCUUUCAGUCCCUAAUACUAGGCUGAGUGAGAUGGUAAAAAUACAUAAGCGCACCAGUGAACAGAGAAUAACUUGUAAAAUUUGCUGCAAGUGCACCCUGCCCCCACAUUCAUAAAUUCUAGAAAAAAACAGAGAAAUCUUAAGUACUCCCUCUGUUUCUUUUUAGUUGUCGCUGAAUAGUUCAAUUUUGCACUAUCCAGCGACAACUAAAACGAAACGUAGGGAGUAACAACAAGUUGGUAUGCCAUUGAAACAGCCACAGGAAUUUACCCACCACCAAGCAACAUACGCAUGUAAAAUCCCAAAUCAUAGGAGUAAGAAUACUGAAGGCUCUUCUCGGAGUAAAUAAACUAAAAGAUAAAUCAAAUUAAAUUAAAUCAACCACAAGAUAAAAUCCAAAUACUAAACAGGCUGGGCUCAGUUGGACAAAGUCUACCAGUCUAAUGACAACAAAGGAGCUUCAUUACAUUCCAAACAGCCCCAGAGUAAAUAAAUCCUCCAAUCAUUCGAUUGUUUGAAUUUGAAAUUUGAUUGGGAUUUGAAACCUAAAACUGAAAAAUGGAAAAGAAGAAAGGGCCGUUUCCCUGGCUGCGGCCCAGCUUCUCUCCCCAUCUCCUCGAGCGUGUGGGGCACCUGCCGGCCCAACUUGCCCAGCCGAUCAGUUAGCAUCUCUGUCCUGUGGGGCUCCGGUCAGUUCUCCUUGAGUCCGCCAUGGACUUCCUGUCCAAAGUCCGAAGAACUCGAUCGACAGACUAUAUAUGCGGGCCGAGGCACAGCCCCCUCGUCCAUCAAAUCUAGAAGUAACCCGCCAAGAACCGAGCGCCGUCGCGUGUAUCUCAGCCGUCUGCGCCGCCUGUUUCUCAGCCGUUCGCCACAAAAUGCUGGGUCUCCAAAUCAGGACCGUCAUGGCGGAGAACAUGAACUCGGAGCUAAACAUGAUAGGCUCCUUGCUCCCGUUGUUCCCCUGCAUCACCUUCGACGUCGAGUACGCGGGCACACUGCACCGCUCGUCCGCUGCGACGCGAAUCGCCCCGAGCAAGCAGUACGCCCUCGUGAAGAAAAACGUUGAUGCGGUGCCCAUCGUGAUGCUCGGCAUCACGCUCUCCAACGAGUACGGGAACCUCCCGCUCACAGCGGACGGAGAAGGACGUCUGUUCCAGCUCGCGUGGGAGGUGACGUUCUCGGACUUCGACCCCCGGCGCGACCGCCACGCCCCGGAGUCCGUCACGUUCCUGCGCUCACAGGGCGUCUGCUUGGACAAGGCCCGAGCGCGCGGCGUGAGCUCCGCGGCGUUCGCGGCCAAGCUGGCCGCCAUACUGUCGGCGACGCCGCGGCCCAACGAGCUCACCUGGGCGGCGUUUGGUGGAGCAUACGACUUCGCAUAUAUGCUGAAGAUUCUCACGGGCGGCCAGCCGCUGCCGGAGACAUGGCACGAGUUCAUGGCCCAGACCCAUGCUCUUCUCGGCGGCGGCCGGGUGUUCGACGCCAAAUACAUGGCGGAGCACUGCGAGCGAACGGACUUAGGUGGUCUAGGUCUGAGGCGCAUGGCCGCCACCCUUGGCAUGCGGUGGGACUUCCCGGAGUUGCCCUUCCUUGCCGGGCGGAAGAGCCACAUCGCUUGCUUCAUCUGCACCAUUAUGAGGAGACGCAUCCUGUAUCGCGACGGUGGUGAUAUACUUGUAGGUCUACUCGAUGGUAUACACUGGUAGCAUCUUUGAACGGUGAUUACAGCAUAGUCAACUCUAGAUUAUAAUAUACUCUUUUAGCUAUCCAAAUGGGUUAGAUAGGUGUUAGUAUAGGGUAUAUUUUAUAGAUUAAAAUGAUUGUGGGCUGCGCCCCAAACAAUUAUAGUUAGUAGAUAGGUUUAAUUUGCUUCUAUAAUCAUGGUUGAUUUAUUCAUUACGCUUGUAACCGUCUAUGUAUAUCUAUCUAUUUAUAUAUUUAGUAAAAAAAAGUUAAGCGAAUUAAAAAUUAGGACAGAACUGUGCUCUGCCAAAAAAAUUCAAUCAUGAAAAUAAAUGCUUCAGCAUCUAUAGAAUGUAAUGACAUAGCUGCUUCCCCUUUUCAUCCGUGGAGAUAAAUGCUGGAGCGGGGUUGCCUAGCUUGGUAACUAAUUUACUCUAAUCUAAUAUACUAACAAUUAUAAUGUUCAAUAUCUCACAUUAAAAAGGUGUUCAGUUGUAUAAAAAACAACAGUUCAGAUUUGCAUAAAAGGUAUAGAAAAAAAAGAUCAAACAGGAGCUUAGAACCAGGUUAUUUAGGCUGUCGGACUUAGGAUUAUAGUAUUAUAUAUCACCCUCGUCAGAAUUUGCAUAUAACACUUUUUUUCAAUGAUAGCCUUUGACGCACAAAGCAGGUGACACUAACACUACUAGCAAAAUUAGUAAUACUUUCUAGAUUCUAAAUCGGAUUUCUAGAUUCCAAACCCUAUGAACUCAUUUAUCUUUCUCCACACAUAAACACCACAAUAAACAUGCCCUUUCUGUUCAUGCUACGAUCCUGGCCACUUACCCAUUGAUAUACAAAGGAUGGGUGAAUGCUCAGCAUUGGUUUCUCACAGCACAUUGCAGGUGACACUAACACCAGUAGUAAAAAUGUAAAAUCAGUAACCACCUGAAUUGCUCAAAACAAUUAGUUCAUGAAUACAACACAGUUAACCACAGCUUUUAACAUAAUGUUACUUAGGCCACAGUUUCCCUCUACUCAUCUUGUUAUACAAUCGGCCUUGCUACGCUACAGGGAACAACCUGACGGCGUCCCAAGAGACCCUUAUGAUGCCACCAUUCCUCACCUCCGCCUCCUGGAACGUCCACCCAAAUGCCUCCGAAGGGUGGGGGAGCUCCCUCCACUUCUCGGUCCUGAGCUCAGUGACAUCAACCACGCAAACGCAGCUCUUCGUUGUGCUCUUCCCUGGCGCUUGGAAGAUCUUGCCCCUGCCAACCUCCUUCCCAUCGCUGUCGACUAAUGAUACAAGGCGGCCGGGCUCCAGCGAGAAGGAUCUCGUGAAUGGACGUACCAUCAUCGUCGUGUUCGGGGAUAGCUCUGCCUGCGACGUUUGCUCAGUGCUGUCCGGGCUCAACAGGCUACCACCUUUGGAUAGAGCAGUCAUCACACCUGCAGGGGGUAGAUAGUUGUCCUCCCCGGCACUUUCUGAAGACUCACCGGGAUGGGGAAUAGAUGGUUUAUCAGCAUUCUCCGCCCUUUCUUUUGCAAUGCGAGCAAGCUUAGCUUUCCGGAUGUUCAACCUGGAAAUUGCACGAGAAAACACUGUUACAAAUAGCUUUAGAUGAGAAGCACAAAAAACAUUAUUAUCAAUUUGAAGAAAGAAACUUCAAACAACGGUUAAGAUACACAGUUUUACCAGUUUUAAGUUGUGAUGCUGUGAUCUCUGGGCCCUACAAAAGCACGGCCGUAUUUUCCAUAAAUGAGAAUGCAUUCAGCAAUUAAGACCUAAGAAUAGAAUGCCCCAAAGUGAAAAAAUUACCGACAGACUUAACUUCUCUGACCAAUUUUUGUGCAUCUCAGGCUCAUCUACUAGAGCCUUCUCUAAUUCAUCUAUUUUCUCAUUAUUCAUAAGGGCCCGCUUCCUUCUCUUAGGUUGCCUCUCAUCAAGAUCCAUUAUGUUGUGCUGGUGUCCAGUGCUAACACCGGAAGCGACAACCGAAGGGCCACCACUUGCUGUUCUUGCAACGCCAAGAUGGACUAGGUCUUGGCCAACUGCAUUCUGCAGGAAACCACCAUUUCUAGAGACAGUGUUCUUUGGAGUCUCGUCCUCAUCAUUUCCUUCCGAAUUUAUUGGGGGUACUGGUGUAGACACUUCCAUGUUAUGUGCAUCCUGUUGCAUCAGCUUCCGAUUAGAAUCCAAUUCACUAUGGACCCAAACCCAAUCACCAGUCAUGUUUCAUUGACCCACUCAUCUAAGUAUUUACCUUUGGAAGGUUAUUCAUUUUGGAGGCUGGAGUGCUUGUCUGUGUUGGCAAGUGCUGCUGCACCGGGCGCAUGGCAUCCAUGCUUUCUGGUGGAAUAUCAUUUUGUACAACCUUAAACAUUUCAUAAUGAGGUCAUACAACAAUUGAAAAAAUAAGAGAAAGUUUGAAAGAAAACAUGAAAAUUCUACCAUAGAAUGGAUAGUAAAUUGACCUUUGAAGUUCACUGACAAGGGAGCCAAGGCCAGGAAAGGAUGAUGGGAUAGUGUUGAGCUCAAUUUGAAGUCGUGAAUUGGUUUCAGAAUCCAGCAUAUAGUCAAACCGGUGCAAUCCUAAGUGUAUAUCCUAAAAGUGUAUCAAGCACAUAUCAGUGGCUGGCUAAAAAACAAGAGAAAGUUUGAAAGAAGCAUUUCCUAAAGGUCAAAACUGAGACACAGAGGCCGAUAAAAAACAGUUUACUCACCUCUUUCUUAUUUAUAGACAUCAUCUUAUCAUGAAUUUCUAGCAGCCUUGAAGUAAAUUCAUCAACCUGCUUUGUUCUGAAAUUAGAAAAUGAUAAUCCGUUGUUAACCUGAAACCAUUAUAUAGCUGAGAAUGUGAAAAAUAGCUCGGCCUUCUAUGACCUGACUAACAGAGAGUUAUAUUCUCCUCAAAAUUCAAGGCGACAAUCUUGUGAUGAAAAAAAUCAGCUAACAAUCUCGUCUACUCACUGUAUGCUCCGAACAAAGAUAUAUACCACAUUGGUACCAAAAGAAUCCAGUGGAUAGAAUUCAGAACUUGCCUAGACAAAGCAGCUUGCAAGAACUCCCCAUCCAAGCUGACACGAUCCACGAGCUCAUUGAAGAUAGGAGCCAGCUCGCAUGCUUGAUUGAAGAACGAUACCGGAAAACGUGCUGGAAGCAGCGAGAAUGGAGCGUGAACCAGGCCAACCCCAGGGACCGUUCCUGAUCUCUGCAAGUGACAAUAUAAAUGCAGAUCAGAUAAUUCAGCGGUAAUUAUAGCUUACAGUUACAGGAAAUUGGGGCAUGUUGUUUGCUUCUUCUUCUUCUUUUCUGGUCAUAUCAAAACCCGCGAGAGUGCAGAGUGGCAACGGUCAAGACAUGUUGAAAAUUGUUCCUUUUUUAACAGUGAACUGCAUUACUGCAACUGUUAAGACAAGUUGAACAUUUGUCCUUUUAAACAGCAAACAACAUUACUGCAAUUUGGCAGGGUGGGUACUCCAUUAUUCCAUCCUCCAAGCCGAGGCAACAACGAACUAUUAGAAAUUCCAAUCAUGGAGCUAGAGGAAAUUCUCUGACAAAGUGAGACCGCCCAAAAUGCAAGCUUUUGCUAACACACUGACGAACACUAGCAGCCAGUCGAUCCAAGACCGGGAGGGGUGACUCAUAUGGCGUACCAGGUUGGCGCGAUCUCCGACGACGAGCCCGUGGACGGCGCACCACACGGCGGCAUCCUCCACCAUCUCCCCCAGCACGGCCUGCUGCCCCGGCGUCCCGGGCCCCUCCUCCGCCGGCGCCACGCCGAGGGGCGCCUUGGCGCUCAUCGCCGCGUGCGCCACCCGAAGCCGCCGGGGCGCAGGUGGCGCGAACGAGGCCGUGUCUGGGGCGGGAAGGCGGCUGGCGGCGCGGAGACGGAGACGGACUUGCUGGUGGUGCGAGACGCAGGGGGAGGACAUGGCGUGGGGGAAACCGAUUCGAAGGCGGGCGCUCCCGCGAUUUAUGCCAUCGCGCUCUGGCUUCGUGCCUUGGCGGCGGCGAAGGCCGGAGAGGGGAAUUGGGAAUGGGUUCAUGUUCGGUUGUUUCUAGUCCGAUGUGGGCAUGUGGCGGGUCAAUCUCCGGUCGGGACAGAGGCGUCCACGUGCUUCCUCCCGAUUCGACUGAACCUAUCCAAACUAAUGUAAUAAUGGAUGGGUAUGGGUUAUAAUUUUUGACCCAUAAUAAUUCACGAACUGAAUAUAGACCAUUGUUUUAUCUAAAACUCAACCUGGCUCGUAAAAAUCCGAUCCAACACGAAAAAAUCCGACCUGAUCUCCAUUUAUAUUAAAAAAAGUACACCAUACAUUAUAAGUUUAGAACCACACUUGAACUGAUUACACCCAUAUGACUACAAUAGGUUACGCUUCAACAGGAGUCUUCCAAGGAAAACAGCUUAACAACCAUAACACCCUAAACCUUACAAGCUAAAUGAUUCCCACUACAUUUUUUUUUAUCUUGGGCCAUCCUCUAUACAGCUUGGUCACACAGAUUAGCAGAAUUUGUUUGGCGCCUCAUCUCUUGUGCGGCCUCGUCUUUUUCAAUAUUUGGUCGUUGCAGCCUCAACUUUUUCAAUAUUUGGUCGCUCAUCUAGCUUUCCAUGUAGUUUAAUCGAGGAUUGUGGUUGCAAAAAGCGCAGGUUCUUGGUAUAUCAUACAAAUCAGGAGCAGUAGAGGCAGAAGCCUCGGUCGGAGCCACCUCUUCAUCCUUGUGCAGUUGUGUUUCUCCAUGCCCAAGUCCACCAGAAUCGGGCCUCCUACGCCAGUCACUGCGUGAGGCCAAGGCACAACGUGUGCGUGAGGUCUCACCUCGGACAGUUCUUGACCCACAACAGAUAGAAGUGCAUGUUGAGGCAGAUCUUCUCGCCCUGGUACAUCUGCGCGCACCAGCGGUGAUCCAACAUAGCGAGAGAUACUAUAUGAAAAAAAGAAAAUGUCAUGUUAGUAAUGCGACUACUCAAUGAAAACAAAAGGUAAGUCCUUUCAUAGGUUUUAGAAUGAUACUUGGAUGCUGCAAUCCUUCUAAAAAUAGCAUGCAUUGCACCAAAGAUAUAGCAAAAGACAAUGGUAUAUUCUUGACAUAACAGAAUAAGUGAUCAAAAGGCAACAGCAGUACCUGCAAGUUUACUAUUGUUGAAUCUCUGUAGAACAAUUCACACGUGUAGCUUCAUCUCCUAGUACUUUUAGUGCAUCAUGUGCAUUAACACCUAUUAUGAUCUUAUUGUACAUCUCUGAACCAUCAACCUCUAAAAUUUCCAGUAUCACAAUUUUUUCUCGUCAGUUAAUAAGUAGGUUUGAUUUGGGCCAACAGCCUUGUCAAAUGCAUCUGAUAUAUCGUCCACAUGAACUUGAGCUUGGUAUCCACUAGCUUCCGAGGAUCGGUGCUGGCAGCCUGCUGUUGACGUCUGUUCUCCUGCAAAGCUUUCUCUCGCUGCUCAUAGAAGUCGAAAUCUUCCAGGAUUGUUGUCCCAGCCUCAUGGCUCUUGAAGAUUGUUAGCAUCUGGAGGCCUUGUUCCAGAUUCACCUAUAUGCUAAGAGUUAGUGAAUUUAUUCAGAAGUGCCAUUGAAAUUGGUUACUUAAACACUCAGCAAAAAGAAUUAUGUAAAUUUUACCUCCUGGGUGUCACUGCUAUUUGUGACAGGUUUAUUGUCAUUGUUCUCAAGAAUGAUGUGUCGCAUAAGGCUGUUCGUUACAUCCUAAAUUAUGUGCCACUUCACAUAGAACUGCCCACUCCACUUAUCGUGCUGCCAAUAAUCUUGCACCCUGAAGGCAGCUCGGGAGAGAGAGGGGUAGGGGAAGAGCCACAGAUUGUGAGAGAGAGAGGAGGAGGAGGGGCAGGAAACAACUAGAUCUAGCGCCACUAACCUCUCCACCGAUUUGGUGCCUCACAUCUUGGAUCCUCGAGAGCUAAUGACACCUUCAAGCCAUGGAUCCAUUGGAGGCUGGCCCUCCAUGGGAUGCGAUCGGUGUCCAUGUCGCCAAUAGCACUCGCGUCGCCUCUCUCUCUCUCUCUACGGCUGUGGAGAGAGGGUGAAGGGAGAGAGGGGGAUGGAGGCACUGGUCUCGUCUGAUAGCGAUGACGUGGAGACUCGGGUGGAAGCAAGGGGAUGGAAGCGCUGGUUGGCUGAUACUUACACAUUACAUUGUCUUGCUACAAUAUGCUCAUAUCUGUGUUUUUCCUGCAGCAAUAUGAUAUUAUGGCUCACAAGUAGACGACUGAUGUUCUGAACAAUCUUUCGACGUCUCUAUUUUUAGGAAUGAAACGACAUCUGAAAUGUAACAGAUAAGUACACUGUUACUUCCUCAUACUAAAGAAUUGAAACAAAACCUCCUGACUCUACAGCUACACAUAAGUACAAAAUUGAAGCAAAACCUCCUAACUACAUCAAAAGGUGCAAAACCCACCCAGAUGCCCAACGCAGCAGUGGAUAAUCUACAAUUGAAAAUUCAUACUGAACGUCCAUUUUGGCAACCAAAAUUGCCACCGGCCUAUUGUUGUAAAAGAUGACAAGGCCACCAUAUGUGAGGGGAAAAACAGUCUCAACUUAGCAGUUGUCACACCCGGGUUUUAGGGGUCCAAAACUCGGGCGCGAAAUAAUCACCAGGUGUGUUGGGACCAAGUCUCACACAUAUGAUGAAUAAUGGUACAGAAACGAAUGUCACAUCUUUACUAUAUAGUAGGAGUUAUGUACAAAAUAAAUAAAUAAUUACAUCACAAGGAGACAACGAUUCUGAUAGUUGCCUAGAGGGGGGGGUGAAUAGGGCGAAACUGAAAUUUACAAAUAUAAACACAACUACAAGCCGGGUUAGCGUUAGAAAUAGAAAACGAGUCCGCGAGAGAGGGUGCAAAACAAAUCACAAGCAAAUGAAGAGUGUGACACGCGGAUUUGUUUCACCGAGGUUCGGUUCUCGCAAACCUACUCCCCGUUGAGGAGGCCACAAAGGCCGGGUCUCUUUCAACCCUUCCCUCUCUCAAACGGUCCCUCGGACCGAGUGAGCUUCUCUUCUCAAAUCACUUGGGAAUCAAACUUCCCGCAAGGACCACCACACAAUUGGUGUCUCUUGCCUCAAUUACAAGUGAGUGUUGGAUCACAAGAAAGAGUGCGAAAGAAAAGAAGCGAUCCAAGCGCAAGAGCUCAAAUGAACACUACAAAUCACCCUCUCUAGUCACUAAGGCUUUGUGUGGAGUUUGGAGAGGAUUUGAUCUCUUUUGGUGUGCUUUGCAAUGAAUGCUAGCUCUUGUAUAGUGGUUGGAAGCUGGAAAACUUGGAUGCUUUGAAUGUGGGGGUGGUUGGGGUAUUUAUAGCCCCAACCACCAAACUUGACCGUUGGUGGAGGCUGUCUGUCGUAUGGUGCACCGGACAGUCCGGUGCACACCGGACAUGUCCGGUGCGCUAGCCACGUCACCAAUGCCGUUGGAUUCCGACCGUUGGAGCUUCUGUCUUCUGGGCCCGCCUGGAUGUCCGGUGCACACCGGACAUGUACUGUUCAAUGUCCGGUGCGCCAGUAUGGGCGUGCCUACCUUCUGCGCGCUUCUGGCGCGCAUUGAAUGCGCCUGCAGGUGACCGUUGGCGCGAAGUAGCCGUUGCUUUGCUGGUUCACCGGACAGUCCGGUGUACACCGGACAUGUCCGGUGAAUUAUAGCGGAGCAGCUGCUGCGCGUCCCGAGGCUGGCGAGUUCCGGAGGCCGCUCUUCCUUGGAGCACCGGACACUGUCCGGUGUACACCGGACAGUCCGGUGAAUUAUAGCGGAGUGCCUCUGGAAAUUCCCGAAGGUGGCAAGUUUAAGUUGGAGUCCUCUGGUGCACCGGACACUGUCCGGUGUACACCGGACAGUCCGGUGCCCCCAGACCAGAGGUGCCUUCGGUUGCCUCUUUGCUCCUUUGUUGAAUCCAAAACUUAUCUUUUUAUUGGCUGAGUGUGAACCUUUUACACCUGUAUAAUCUAUACACUUGGGCAAACUAGUUAGUCCAAUUAUUUGUGUUGGGCAUUUCAACCACCAAAAUUAUUUAGGAACUAGGUGUAAGCCUAAUUCCCUUUCAAUCUCCCCCUUUUUGGUGAUUGAUGCCAACACAAACCAAAGCAAAAAUAGAAGUGUAUAACUAGUUUGCAUAAUGUAAGCGCAAAGGUUGCUUGUAAUUUAGCCAAUCUAAAUACUUACAAGAUAUGCAUGGAUUGUUUCUUCUCUUUUAACAUUUUGGACGACGCUUGCACCACAUGUUUUGUUUUUGCAAACUAUUUUGUAAAUCCUUUUCAAAGUUCUUUUGCAAAUAGUCAAAGGUAAGUGAAUAAGAUUUUGCAAAGCAUUUUCAAGAUUUGAAAUUUUCUCCCCCUGUUUCAAAUGCUUUUCCUUUGACUAAACAAAACUCCCCCUAAAUGAGAUCCUCCUCUUAGUGUUCAAGAGAGUUUUGAUAUAUCAUUUUUGAAAUACUACUUUCUCCCCCUUUUGAACACAAUAGGAUACCAAUUAAAAAUACUCUUUGAAAAACUAAGUUUUUGAAAUUGGUGGUGGUGGUGCGGUCCUUUUGCUUUGGGCUCAUACUUUCUCCCCCUUUGGCAUGAAUCGCCAAAAACGGAAUCAUUAGAGCCCUCGAAGUACUAUCUUCCCCUUUGGUCAUAAAUAAAUGAGUUAAGAUUAUACCAAAGACGAAGUCCUUUUGCUCUCUCCCCCAAAGAUGGAGAGUGACAUGGAGCGAUGGCGAAGGAUGAGUUACGGAGUGGAAGCCUUUGUCUUCGCCGAAGACUCCAAUUCCCUUUCAAUAUUCCUAUGACUUGGUUUGAAAUUCACUUGAAAACACAUUAGUCAUAGCAUAUAAAAGAGAUAUGAUCAAAGGUAUAUAAAUGAGCUAUGUGUGCAUUUUUAACAAAAGAAGUUCCUAGAAUCAAGAAUAUUGAGCUCAUGCCUAAGUUUGUUAAAAGAUUGUUCAUCAAGAGGCUUGGUAAAGAUAUCGGCUAAUUGAUCUUUAGUGUUAAUGUAAGAAAUCUCGAUAUCUCCCUUUUGUUGGUGAUCCCUAAGAAAAUGAUACCGAAUGGCUAUGUGUUUAGUGCGGCUAUGCUCGACGGGAUUAUCCGCCAUCUUGAUUGCACUCUCAUUAUCACAUAGCAAAGGGACUUUGGUUAAUUUGUAACAGUAGUCCCGCAGGGUUUGCCUCAUCCAAAGUAAUUGCGCGCAACAAUGACCUGCGGCAAUGUACUCGGCUUCGGCGGUGGAAAGAGCGACCAAAUUUUGCUUCUUUGAACCCCAAGACACUAAGGAUCUUCCCAGGAACUGGCAAGUCCCUGAUGUGCUCUUCCUAUUGAUUUUACACCCCGCCUAAUCGGCAUCCGAAUAACCAAUCAAAUCAAAUGUGGAUCCCCUAGGAUACCAAAGCCCAAACUUAGGAGUAUAAGCCAAAUAUCUCAAGAUUCGUUUUACGGCCGUAAGGUGAGCUUCCUUAGGGUCGGCUUGGAAUCUUGCACACAUGCAUACGGAAAGCAUAAUAUCCGGUCGAGAUGCACAUAAAUAGAGUAAAGAACCUAUCAUCGACCGGUAUACCUUUUGAUCCACGGACUUACCUCCCGUGUCGAGGUCGAGAUGCCCAUUAGUUCCCAUGGGUGUCUUGAUGGGCUUGGCAUCCUUCAUCCCAAACUUGUUUAGAAUGUCUUGAGUAUACUUCGUUUGGCUAAUGAAGGUGCCCUCUUGGAGUUGCUUCACUUGAAAUCCCAAGAAGUACUUCAGCUCCCCCAUCAUAGACAUCUCGAACUUUUGUGUCAUGAUCCUACUAAACUCUUCACAUGUAGAUUCGUUAGUAGACCCAAAUAUAAUAUCAUCAACAUAAAUUUGGCAUACAAACAAAUCAUUCUCAAGUGUUUUGGUAAAGAGCGUAGGAUCGGCCUUUCCGACUUUGAAUCCAUUUUCAAUAAGAAAAUCUCUAAGGCAUUCAUACCAUGCUCUUGGGGCUUGCUUGAGCCCAUAAAGCGCCUUAGAGAGCUUAUAGACAUGGUUAGGAUACUCACUGUCUUCAAAGCCGGGAGGUUGCUCAACAUAGACCUCUUCCUUGAUUGGUCCAUUGAGGAAGGCACUUUUCACGUCCAUUUGAUAAAGCUUAAAGCCAUGGUAAGUAGCAUAGGCUAAUAAUAUGCGAAUUGAUUCAAGCCUAGCUACGGGUGCAUAGGUUUCACCGAAAUCCAAACCUUCGACUUGGGAGUAUCCCUUGGCUACAAGUCGAGCUUUGUUCCUUGUCACCACACCAUGCUCGUCUUGCUUGUUGCGGAAGACCCAUUUGGUUCCUACAACAUUUUGAUUAGGACGUGGAACUAAAUGCCAUACCUCAUUCCUAGUGAAGUUGUUGAGCUCCUCUUGCAUAGCCACCACCCAAUCCGAAUCUUGUAGUGCUUCCUCUACCCUGUGUGGCUCAAUAGAGGAAACAAAAGAGUAGUGCUCACAAAAAUGUGCAACUCGAGAUCUAGUGGUUACCCCCUUAUGAAUGUCGCCGAGGAUGGUGUCGACGGGGUGAUCUCGUUGAAUUGCUUGGUGGACUCUUGGGUGUGGCGGCCUUAGUUCCUCUUCCUCCUUGUCUUCCUCAUUUGCAUCUCCCCCUUGAUCAUUGCCAUCAUCUUGAGGUGGCUCAUUUGCUUGAUCUUCUACUUCAUCAACUUGAGCUUCAUCCUCAUUUUGAGUCGGUGGAGAUGCUUGCGUGGAGGAGGAAGGUUGAUCUUGUGCAUUUGGAGGCUCUUCGGAUUCCUUAGGACACACAUCCCCAAUGGACAUGUUCCUUAGUGCGAUGCACGGAGCCUCUUCAAUACCUAUCUCAUCAAGAUCAACUUGCUCUACUUGGGAGCCAUUAGUCUCAUCAAACACAACGUCACAAGAAACUUCAACUUGUCCAGAGGACUUGUUAAAGACUCUAUAUGCCUUUGUGUUUGAAUCAUAUCCUAGUAAAAAGCCUUCUACAGUCUUAGGAGCAAAUUUAGAUUUUCUACCUCUUUUAACAAGAAUAAAACAUUUGCUACCAAAGACUCUAAAAUAUGAAAUAUUGGGCUUUUUACCAGUUAGGAGUUCAUAGGAUGUCUUCUUGAGGAUUCGGUGUAGAUAUAACCGGUUGAUGGCGUAGCAAGCGGUGUUGACCGCCUCGGCCCAAAACCGAUCCGAAGUCUUGUACUCAUCAAGCAUGGUCCUAGCCAUGUCUAAUAGAGUUCGAUUCUUCCUCUCCACUACACCAUUUUGUUGUGGCGUGUAGGGAGAAGAGAACUCAUGCUUGAUGCCCUCCUCCUCAAGGAAGCUUUCAAUUUGAGAGUUCUUGAACUCCGUCCCGUUGUCGCUUCUAAUCUUCUUGAUCCUUAAGCCGAACUCAUUUUGAGCUCGUCUCAAGAAUCCCUUUAAGGUCUCUUGGGUUUGAGAUUUUUCCUGUAAAAAGAAUACCCAAGUGAAGCGAGAAUAAUCAUCCACUAUUACAAGACAAUACUUACUCCCGCUGAUGCUUAUGUAAGCAAUCGGGCCGAAUAGAUCUAUGUGGAGUAGCUCAAGCGGCCUGUCGGUCAUCAUGAUGUUCUUGUGUGGAUGAUGGGCACCAACUUGCUUUCCUGCUUGGCAUGCGCUACAAACCCUGUCUUUCUCAAAAUGAACAUUUGUUAGUCCUAAAAUGUGUUCUCCCUUUAGAAGCUUGUGAAGAUUCUUCAUCCCAACAUGUGCUAGUCGGCGAUGCCAGAGCCAGCCCAUGUUAGUCUUAGCAAUUAAGCAAGUGUCGAGUUCAGCUCUAUCAAAAUCUACCAAGUAUAGCUGCCCUCUAAUACUCCCUUAAAUGCUAUUGAAUCAUCACUUCUUCUAAAGACAGUGACACCUACAUCAGUGAAAAGACAGUUGUAGCCCAUUUUGCAUAAUUGAGAUACAGAAAGCAAAUUGUAAUCUAAUGAAUCUACAAGAAAAACAUUGGAAAUAGAGUGGUCAGGGGAUAUAGCAAUUUUACCCAAUCCUUUGACCAAACCUUGGUUUCCAUCCCCGAAUGUGAUAGCUCGUUGGGGAUCUUGGUUUUUCUCGUAGGAGGAGAACAUCCUUUUCUCCCCUGUCAUAUGGUUUGUGCACCCGCUGUCUAGUAUCCAACUUGAGCCCCCGGAUGCAUAAACCUACAACACAAUUUUAGUUCUUGACUUUAGGUACCCAAAUGGUUUUGGGUCCUUUGGCAUUAGAUACAAGAACCUUGGGUACCCAAACACAAGUCUUUGACCCCUUGUGCUUGCCCCCAACAUAUUUGGCAACUACUUUGCCGGAUUUGUUAGUCAAAACAUAAGAAGCAUCAAAAGUUUUAAAUGAAAGACUAUGUUCAUUUGAUGCAUUAGGAAUUUUCUUCUUAGGCAACUUAGCACGGGUUGGUUGCCUAGAGCUAGAUGUCUCACUCUUAUACAUAAAAGCAUGGUUAGAACCAGAGUGAGACUUCCUAGAAUGAAUUUUCCUAAUUUUGUCCUCGGGAUAACCAGCAGGGUAUAAAAUGUAACCCUCGUUAUCCUGAGGCAUGGGAGCCUUGCCCUUAACAAAGUUGGACAAUCUUUUAGGAGGGGCAUUAAGUUUGACAUUGUCCCCCCUUUGGAAGCCAAUGCCAUCCUUGAUGCCAGGGCGUCUCCCACUAUAGAGCAUACUUCUAGCAAAUUUAAAUUUUUCGUUUUCUAAGUUAUGCUCGGCAAUUUUAGCAUCUAAUUUUGCUAUAUGAUCAUUUUGUUGUUUAAUUAAAGACAUGUGAUCAUGAAUAGCAUUAACAUCAACAUCUCUACAUCUAGUGCAAAUAGAAGUGUGCUCAACGGUAGAUGUAGAGGGUUUGCAAGAUUUUAAUUCUACAACCUUAGCAUGCAAGAUAUCAUUCUUAGUUCUAAGGUUGGAAAUGGUAGCAUUGCAAACAUCAAAAUCUUUAGCCUUAGCAAGCAAUUUUUCAUUUUCAUUUCUAAGGCUAGCAAGAGAUAAGUUCAAUUCUUCAAUCUUAUCAAGCAUAUCAUCAUUAUCAUUUCUAAGAUUGGGAAUUGAAACAUUACAACCAAUAGAAUCAACCUUAGCUAAUAUAUUAGAAUUCUCAUUUCUAAGGUUGUCUAUAGUCUCAUGGCAAGUGCUUAGCUCACUAGACAAUUUUGCACAUUUUUAUACUUCUAGAGCAUAAGCAUUUUUAACCUUAACAUGCUUCUUAUUUUCUUUAAUAAGGAAGUCCUCUUGAGUGUCCAAGAGGUCAUCCUUUUCAUGAAUGGCACUAAUCAAUUCAUUAAGUUUCUCUUUUUGUUGCAUGUUGAGGUUGGCAAAAAGAGAGCGCAAGUUAUCUUCCUCAUCACUAACAUUUUCAUCACUAGAGGAUUCAUAUCUAGUGGAGGAUUUAGAUUUAACCUUCUUUUUGCCGUCCUUUGCCAUGAGGCACUUGUGGCCGACGUUGGGGAAGAGGAGUCCCUUGGUGACGGCGAUGUUGGCGGCAUCCUCAUCAUCUGAGGAGUCGGUGGAGCUCUCGUCGGAGUCCCACUCGCGACACACGUGGGCAUCGCCGCCCCUCUUCUUGUGGUACCUCCUCUUUUCUCUCAUCUUGCCCUUCUUGUCGUCACCCCUGUCACUGUCACUUGAUAAUGGACAUUUAGCAAUAAAGUGACCGGGCUUAUCACACUUGUAGCAAACCUUUUUGGAACGGGAUUUGUAAUCCUUCCCCUUCCGUUGCUUGAGGAUUUGGCGAAAGCUUUUGAUGACAAGCGCCAUUUCCUCGUUGUCGAGCUUGGAGGCGUCGAUGGGUGUUCUACUUGAAGUAGGCUCCUCCUUCUUUUCCUCCGUCGCUUUGAAUGCGACGGGUUGAGCUUCGGACGUGGAAGGAUCAUCAAGCUCGUUGAUCCUCCUCGAGCCUUCGAUCAUGCACUCAAAACUUACAAAAUUCCCGAUUACUUCCUCGGGAGUCAUUAGUGUAUAUCUAGGGUUGCCACGAAUUAAUUGAACUUGAGUAGGGUUAAGAAAAAUAAGUGAUCUCAAAAUAACCUUAACCAUUUCGUGGUCAUCCCAUUUCUUGCUCCCGAGGUUGCGCACUUGAUUCACCAAAGUCUUGAGCCGGUUGUACAUGUUUUGUGGCUCCUCCCCUUUGCGAAGCCGGAACCGACCGAGCUCCCCCUCGAUCGUCUCCCGCUUGGUGAUCUUUGUGAGCUCAUCUCCUUCAUGUGCGGUUUUGAGCACAUCCCAAACCUCCUUGGCGCUCUUCAACCCUUGCACUUUGUUAUACUCCUCUCUACUUAGAGAAGCGAGGAGUAUUGUUGUUGCUUGAGAGUUGAAGUGCUCGAUUUGGGCAACCUCGUCCUCAUCAUAAUCUUCAUCCCCUACGGAUGGUACCUGUGCACCAAACUCAACAACAUCCCAUAUACUUUUGUGGAGAGAGGUUAGAUGAAAUCGCAUUAAAUCACUCCACCUAGCAUAAUCUUCACCAUCAAAAGUUGGUGGUUUUCCUAAUGGGACGGAAAGUAAAGGUGUAUGUUUAGAAAUGCGAGGGUAGCGUAGGGGAAUCUUACUAUACUUCUUACGCUCUUGGCGUUUAGAAGUGACGGAUGCCGCGUCGGAGCCGGAGGUAGAUGUCGAUGAAGAAUCGGUCUCGUAGUAGACCACUUUCCUCAUCCUCUUUUUCUUGUCCCCACUCCGUUGCGGCUUGUGGGAGGAAGACUUCUCCUUCUUCUCUUUGUGUGAAGAAGAUUUCUUCUCCUUUCCUUUGGAGGAGUCCUUCUUCUUCUCCUUCCCUUUUAAGGAGUCUUUCUUCUCCUUUCUCUUGGUGCGGGACUCUUCCGAUGAAGCGCUCCCGUGGCUUGUAGUGGGCUUUUCGCCGGUCUCCAUCUCCUUCUUGGCGUGAUCUCCCGACAUCACUUCGAGCGGUUAGGCUCUAAUGAAGCACCGAGCUUUGAUACCAAUUGAUAGUUGCCUAGAGGGGGGUGAAUAGGGCGAAACUGAAAUUUACAAAUAUAAACACAACUACAAGCCGGGUUAGCGUUAGAAAUAGAAAACGAGUCCGCGAGAGAGGGUGCAAAACAAAUCGCAAGCAAAUGAAGAGUGUGACACGCGGAUUUGUUUUACCGAGGUUCGGUUCUCGCAAACCUACUCCCCGUUGAGGAGGCCACAAAGGCCGGGUCUCUUUCAACCCUUCCCUCUCUCAAACGGUCCCUCGGACCGAGUGAGCUUCUCUUCUCAAAUCACUUGGGAAUCAAACUUCCCGCAAGGACCACCACACAAUUGGUGUCUCUUGCCUCAAUUACAAGUGAGUGUUGGAUCACAAGAAAGAGUGCGAAAGAAAAGAAGCGAUCCAAGCGCAAGAGCUCAAAUGAACACUACAAAUCACUCUCUCUAGUCACUAAGGCUUUGUGUGGAGUUUGGAGAGGAUUUGAUCUCUUUUGGUGUGCUUUGCAAUGAAUGCUAGCUCUUGUAUAGUGGUUGGAAGCUGGAAAACUUGGAUGCUUUGAAUGUGGGGGUGGUUGGGGUAUUUAUAGCCCCAACCACCAAACUUGACCGUUGGUGGAGGCUGUCUGUCGUAUGGUGCACCGGACAGUCCGGUGCACACCGGACAUGUCCGGUGCGCCACCCACGUCACCAAUGCCGUUGGAUUCCGACCGUUGGAGCUUCUGUCUUCUGGGCCCGCCUGGAUGUCCGGUGCACACCGGACAUGUACUGUUCAAUGUCCGGUGCGCCAGUAUGGGCGUGCCUGCCUUCUGCGCGCUUCUGGCGCGCAUUGAAUGCGCCUGCAGGUGACCGUUGGCGCAAAGUAGCUGUUGCUCUGCUGGUUCACCGGACAUGUCCGGUGAAUUAUAGCGGAGCAGCUGCUGCGCGUUCCCGAGGCUGGCGAGUUCCGGAGGCCGCUCUUCCUUGGAGCACUGGACACUGUCCGGUGUACACCGGACAGUCCGGUGAAUUAUAGCGGAGUGCCUCUGGAAAUUCCUGAAGGUGGCAAGUUUAAGUUGGAGUCCUCUGGUGCACCGGACACUGUCCGGUGUACACCGGACAGUCCAGUGCCCCCAGACCAGAGGUGCCUUCGGUUGCCUCUUUGCUCCUUUGUUGAAUCCAAAACUUAUCUUUUUAUUGGCUGAGUGUGAACCUUUUACACCUAUAUAAUCUAUACACUUGGGCAAACUAGUUAGUCCAAUUAUUUGUGUUGGGCAUUUCAACCACCAAAAUUAUUUAGGAACUAGGUGUAAGCCUAAUUCCCUUUCAGAUCCAACAACCCAAAGUUGACUAGGAGACUACGGCCUAGACCUCUCACGAACUCGCCACAUCAUCCUCCAUGCGCCUCAUCCUGCGGUACCUAUUCUUGACAUGUGGGGGGUGUGAGAUAGUAAGAGUGAGCUAACAUACGUUCAUUGCUCAACAAGUUGUGGGAAAUAAUGUGCAUGAACUCGCCAAAGGUGGGAGCUCAUGUGAAGUGUAAGGCUUACCAAAGAGGUUGGGUGAAGAUGAGCAUUGCUUUUAAAGUUGGUCAAAAUUUUAUUAGAAAUUACUAAGUAGAAGUAAAUACCAACCCAGUUAAGUAGUAGAACAAAAGUGAUAACAACACCCUCAAUGCAAUGCAUAUGACAAAUUAAAUUUAGUUCCAUAAAUUAAUCAUGUGAGGGUCCGAGCUGCUCAUGACCGUGAGCACGGCUGAUAUACCAGUUUUACACUCUGCAGAGGUUGCACAUCUUUACCCACAAGUCAUGUUACCCAUUUGUCAUGGGGUUGAUCGGACCCCAUACACCUCUACCGAGGAAGCGAGGCAGGGUACCACUACGAGGCCUUUAUAAAUUCCACUAGCUUCAGAAAACCCGCUACAGUUUCUAGGAAGCUCCAAUGCAGGGAUCCCUCGCCUGACCGCCAUCGCAACUAAAUCAACCCAAGGACCUCCCUACACUGACCACUCCCCUACUGCCCUUGCCCCUUUCGGGUAAGGUAGUCAUCUACUAGCUUUCCUAAUUAAUCAGCCAAGGGUGCCCCAUACCACCCUUGUGGUAGCACUAUUUUCCCAGGUGGUUCUCCAUGUUCCAAUUAACAUAAUGAUCUUAACAUGAACAGUAAAUAACAACUGAUAAAAAAAGUAUAAUCAUGAAUAGUGUGUAUCUCUAUACCCAAAACCACAUAAAGCAAUAGCAGGUACUACCCAAAAAAUCAUUGGUAAACAAGGUAUAAAGAUAGUCAAACUAGGGUAACCUAUUGUGUCCCAUCAAAAUUAACCUAUGCAGAUCAAUAUGAUUAAUAAGAACAUGAUUGGGUAAAAAGAAGUGAUCAAGGGCACAACUUGCCUGGGACUUGAGAUUGCAGGUACCAACUUGCUUUUCAGAUGACUCGUGACCUCGCGCUAGUCAUAGCAAUACAAACAAACAUGGUAUAGGCAAAAUUAACAUCACAACAAACAUAAGAAUAAACUGUGUAAUAAUAAUCUACGCGUCGCUACGAGAUCGUGGGAUUGAGAACCGCUAAAUUCGGGGUUACGGUUAUGAAGUUAUGGUUUUCCGAAGAUCCACGUGGUUAAGUAUAGAAUAGACUAAGUGCAACAUUUUAACCUAUAUUUCAUGACAAAACAAAGUUACCAGAUGAUAAUAAAUAUUAUUGUGAGACUAAUGCAACUAGAAUGGAUCAAAACGGAGUUACGGUUAUUGAGUUAUGAAUUUCUGGAGUUAUUUAAUGCUUGGUAUAGACUAAUUCAAAUGAACAAUUUUGAUCUAAGUUUCAUGGCUAAACAGAGAUACUAGGUGAUAUAUAAUAUUAAAACAAAAAUAUUGCAACUGGAAUGAAUCAAUUUGGAGAUAAAAUGAAUUAAAUAUGAAUUUUACAAGUUUCUAGUAUUGUUUUUGUAUUAAAAAUCAUUUUCUAAAAUAAAUUAUGAAUUUCCUCAUGCUUCUAGACUGCUGACACAAUUUUAACAAAGCCUAGGGGGCUCUGCAUAAAUUCCAGGACUAAACGGUAAUGGUCUUAACCCUGACUUGGACGACGGGUUAGUUUAGGAAAAGCCGAGGGGCCUUUUUGCAACAUCGCACGACCGAAGGGGUAUCGGCAACUGUGGGCCGUUGGAUCUAUAUGCUACGGUUGCGAUUAGAUCUUAAUAAGACCCGAACCGGUAUCGGAUACGGACCAUCAGAUUACCAUCCAAGGGUCGGGAUCUAACGACACUAGCGCUCCCGCUCACCCACACAUCCGUAGAUCCACGGCUCCUAUCCAUUAGCGCGAAGGGGUAUCCACAACUUAAUCAUAGUCGUCUGAUAAGAUCAAACGGUGCACAUCCUUUCUCUUUCCCCCAACCCAGUGUGUGGCGGCGCCAUGGCCGACGCACCACGAUUCGGCACGCAGGCGCAUCAAACUCCAUGGAAGCCCUACGAAAACGAUGUGGAGACUUAAACGAACACGCAGGGGGUUUCCUUACCAACAAUCAUGCAGUGGGAUCUGCUGCCCACGGAGGAGGGCGGUUCCGCGGUAGCGUCGGACCACAGCGAGGAAUUGCAGCGUCGCCUGCCCACAAUCGCGCCCGGAACGACCAUGUGCACCACUAGUGCGACUCCCCAAAGCUCCUAGGCCUAGAUCCGAGGCCUCAUCGCUGACGCAAACCUAGGUCGACGGCAACGACUUCCAUGACCCGCGCGGCGGCCAGUAUCUCGCCCAACAACGGCGCUAACUUUCCCCCCACCUCCCAUGUUUGUUCAUUGGCUAGAUGGUCGAGGGAAUGCGGCUACGAUACUUAUACGCAGGUAAAGGGAAACAUCUAGGUGUUAGGUCCCAAGCUUGGUUGCAACGAACGCCGCGAUCUCCGGAGAGGUUGUUGCCAGUGAGUCCGUUCUGGUCGAGGAGACGCAACUGAUGCAAUGGGGGCCAACAGCCAUGGAUAGAUGAUCAACACCUGCGAUCAGCCCCUGCGCACGCGCGAAAAAAGUGAGGCUGACGGCACGGGGGUUGUUGCGCAAGCUCCGCAUUCUGUUCUAACAGAGUCCGCGCGAGAAGGAAGGUCCUGACGAUCUGGCCCCACGAGUCAGCGAAACAGGCUGCGUCCAUGAGCACACGCGAGUGAGUUAGGAGUUGGGGCCCACUGGCCAGUGGUCGACGCAGCUUGACUGGCCAAGCGGGGCCACAUGUCGGCGCCGGUCAUGACCGCGAAAUACUGGGCCGUGAAGGAGGGAAUAUGGAGAUGGGCCGAAAUGGGAGGUGGUUAGCCCAACGUGAUGUUUUCUUUUUCUUUUCUUAUUUUCUUUUCUCUAUUCCCAAAUUCCACUUUAAAUUCAAAUCUUGUGCCAAAUUUAUCCCCAAAUUAUAUUGUUAAAUUAAAAGUACCAAUUUUGGAGAUAUAUAAAUUUUCUUUAUAUUUUAUAUUCUUUGUCUUUUCUUUCCUUCCCUAUUUUCAAACCUAAAUUUUAAUUUGGGGUUCAAUCCACAUCUCAAGUUAUUAUUAUAUUUUUAUUAAUAUAUUUAAGACCAUUACUUAAUGUACAACAAACAAAAUUCCAACAUGAUGCAUUAAAUAUUUUUAUUAGAUAUCUUGUCCUUUUGAUUAGGGUUAAUCCCAUGUUAUAAUAAUGAGAUGGCAACCCAAAUGAUGAUAUCCUUUUCUUUACUUUAUUCAUAAAGUGGGCAUUACAUCAGCUUAAGUAGAUCCCCAAGAAAAGUGAACGAAACGUGCUGAACUGAAAUCUAACACCUCACGAUUACAGUUGUCUAUUUUAUGUUCAGCCAUCGCACUGAAGGUUUAUCUGCAGGUUUUAGAAACCUAACCAUAUAGGGGAGGUGCUGCCCAUUUUUUUACUAUAUAGUGUUAGUCAUAUACCAUAUUAAAUGGAUAUUGAGUUAGUAAUAUGUUUUUGCAAUAGAUGGACACCCUAGUGACACUAUACCAUGGAGGAAGCGUGGAGAUAGAUGCUUAUGGGAAUGUUAGUUUUGCUGGUAUGAAUAUCAUGACCAUGAUGUUCGAUGAAAGACCAUCUUUUGACAAGAUUUUCGCUCGAGCUUGUGAAGAGAUUAGUUGCAACAUAAACGACCCUAGAAUAUCAAUUCAGGGUUUGUUGUCCCAUAUUACAUAUGGAACAGUUGUCCGACGGUUGAUCUCCAUUGCCUCAGAAGAUGAUUGGGUGAGAUAUGUAAGAAUUGUGAAGACGAUGCUUCCACCAUGUUUGGAUGUGGUUGUUCAAAAGUUAUCUGUUAGUCAUCGUGAUGCUCUAUUUGGGUUGACUCCACAAAUGCCAAAUGCAUCUCGUAUUGAAGCUCCUUUGGUAGAGCUUCCGGAAGAAGUGGUUGUUGUGUCCGAUGCUCAAUCGGGGCCGCACGAGUAUGGGAUUUCUCGUCCUCUUCCUGGCGUUUGUGGGGCUUCUAAUCCGGUGGUACCCCCCCAAGAGAUCCCAUUGACCUAGGAUCCAGUUCAGGAUCAUCGUAUUAAGUGUCUUUGACACGCUGUUCAUAUCCAUCGUUAUUUCGUUUGAUUAGACUUUUUAAUGUGGCAUUUCUUGCUUCGACCCGAUGCAGGAUCUCCACAAAUAGAUAAUGGUGCUUAUCUUGAUGUGCUAGUAUCAUAUAAUAUGGACAACAUAUGCAGGGCAUCCAAUAGUGUUGAUGUUCAGAUUGAGGAUGAGGAGGAGCCAUAUGAGGCUGCACGGGCCUUAGAUUCUGAUGAUGACGUCCGGUUCAAAAAAUGACCGAGCAAGAAAUUGAACUCAUAAGACGUUUGUGUCCCGAGCGUGACCCUGCAGUACAUGAAUUUAGCAGUCUAAGUCAUUCCACCCGUGCAUAUGCUGAAGGACGUGAUGAUGAACUGCUAGAGGCUCUGGAUAACGCCGACAGCAUUGAGAUUAAGGUAGGCUUUUCAAGGACCUGCCUACACUGAGAUGAUGGCUACAAGAAUAUUCUGUGAACCGCAAGAGGCCGUUCAAGGUGAGACACUCGUAUGCACAGCGUCGUUACAUAUUGUGUGCGAGGUGUCAGAAUGUAAUUGGAGGGUAUGUGCCCGAAGGCAGAAGGAAACCGGAAAGUUUAAGAUCACCAAAAUUGUAGGUCCACACACUUGUGCCCAAACAGAGCUGAGCUCUAAGCAUCGUCAGUUGACAUAUACCCUAAUUGCGAAAAGGAUAUUGGGGAUAUUGAAGGGUCAGCCAAACUUGAAGGUGAAGUCAAUUAUGACCAUGACUUCGGAGCUGUUUGGUUACAGGAUCAAAUAUGGGAAAGCAUGGAGGGCAAAGCAGCGAGCAUGGAAGAUGAUAUACGGGGAUUGGGAGGAGGGUUAUGAGAAGUUACCAGCAUUGUUCAAUGCAAUCAAAGCAAAAAAACCCAGGCAUGCAUUACGAGUACAUCCCCAAACCUAAUGAAUGGAGGAACGACAGAGAGAUAUUUUUUCGUGCUUUCUGGUGUUUCUCGCAGUGCGUAGAGGCCUUCAGGCAUUGUCGUCCCGUGCUCUCUAUUGAUGGUACUUUUCUGCUUGGGAAGUAUAAGGGCACAUUGUUGGUUGCCAUAUCAUGCGACGCAGACAACGCAUUGGUUCCUUUGGCAUUUGCUUUGGUGGAGAGGGAGAACAGAGAUAGUUGGUCUUGGUUCUUGCGACUUGUUCGUAGGACUUGGUUCAACUCUUCCGCCCACUGAUUUUUUUUCUUUUCCUUUACCUCUGGCUCUGGCCAAUGGGACAAAGGACCAUACAACCACUCUCUGAAACGACACUUACGCCACCCGUAUGGCUGCAGGAAAAUAAAUUAGUAAUUUAUUUUAAAAAAUAACUAGUUUAUACAUUUAGCGUAUCGAUGGGCUCACAUAAUCAAUGUUCGGACACACGAACUGCUUCUCAUGGUCUUCGUCGAUGACACCACGGUCUCCACAAUCGCAUCGAGGCGGUGAGUCCAUCCGUCUUUCUGUUGCUACCUCCUUCUCCACAUCUGUCAUUGGUGGAGGAUUCGGGGGAGGAGGUACCCAACGCUUAAAACGUUCAUGACUAGUCCUUCCACACAACCAAUUAGCGAAAAGAAGAUAUCGAGGGUCAAAUUUAUCAGGGCCGUCGAUCCACUGGAAAAAGAAACACCUCAGGUGCCCCUAAAACAAUGGAACGAAGCACUAUUACACAUCUACUAAAUACUAAAUACUAAAUGCGAACAAAAUUAAGUCACAAGUCAUAAGCUAUGUACGUCAAAACCGACACAAAGGUAGAAGCAUUGAGCAGCCGUGUCUGGAUGUUUGGAUUGACAUACCCAAGCCAGUCUGCCACAGUCACAGUUAGGCACGGGGAGUUCAGGAGGAACAGGAGCAUCCUUACUAGAUACGUCCGGAUAUAACUCCCGAGGACGACCUCUCUUCUGCCACAACGCCUCCCGGUACAUGUCUUUCAUCUAAUAAACGAUUAUAAUUAUCACUUAUACCUAAUAGGAUUUAUAAUAGGUUUACACAAACUAUCAAAUAAAAUAUACUCAUCAUAUUAAUGAUACUAUAUAUAUUAUGAGCAACUACGGAAACUAAUAAUCGAAACUCGUCCGCCAAAGUCACACCAAGGGCGUAAGGAGGAGAAGAUUGCAGCACUCAGAGAUAGACAAAGUCACUGGAACCCGUCCGCCAUCAAAGGGACUGGUUCAGGACCGGGGGCCAGGCCGGCUGCUACAAAUCGACCGUGUUUCAUACGUCUAACACCAGAAGAAUUAGCAGCGAAACGGGCAAGUGGAGAAUGUUACCACUGCAAUGAGAAGUACUCGGCUGAUCACAAGUGCACCGCAAGGGGGGUAUUCUUGCUGGAAAUGGACAACGACAUGGAGGAAGAUGCAGCAGCGGAAGACCUGGGCAUUUCUCUUCAUGCCCUCACGGGCAUUGACAUCAGCAGCACCAUGAAGCUCUAGGUCAGGGUCAAGGAUCAGACAUUGGUGGUGCUGGUGGACACAGGCUCUACCCACACAUUCAUCCGGGAAGCUGUGGCCACCCAGCUGGGCCUCCAAGUCACACCAAGACCGGGUCUCUCCGUCAAUGUAGCAAACGGGGACAACGUCGCCAGCAGCGGGAUAUAUUCCAAGCUCCGAAUUACUAUUGCCAAGGAGACCUUCCACAUCACUUGCUACGGUCUUCCUCUAGCCGGCUUCGACAUUGUCCUAGGGGUCCAGUGGCUUUGGUCAUUGGGACCCAUAUUGUGGAACUUCAACGCCUUAUCCAUGGAGUUCUGGCGCCUGGGACGCAAGGUGCGUUGGGUAGGACUGGGUGCGCCUCAUACUCAGUGUGCAGCCAUGUCCGAACCCUGCGAACUACUACAGGCAUUACUGCAGUCCUACGCCGACAUCUUCGCUGAACCACGUGGCCUUCCGCCACCUCGGCGUCACGACCAUCACAUCAGGCUGCUGCCAGGGACGCCACAAGUUGCAGUUCGGCCCUACAGAUACCCCCAAUUGUUGAAAGACGAGAUCGAGCGCCACUGCGAAGACAUGUUGCAGCAAGGCAUCAUUCGAGAGUGCACAUCGGCCUACUCUUCUCCAGUGUUACUUGUGAAGAAAGCUGAUAAAUCCUGGUGUUUCUGCAUUGACUAUCGGGCCCUCAAUACCAAAACAAUCAAGGACAAGUUUCCCAUUCCGGUGGUCGACGAACUCUUGGAUGAGUUACACGGUGCAUGCUUCUUCACAAAGUUGGACCUCCUCAGUGGAUAUCACCAAGUACGCAUGCACCCAGAUGAUAUUGAGAAGACAGCGUUCCGCACUCAUCGAGGUCACUUCGAGUUUCUAGUCAUGCCCUUCGGCCUCACCAACGCACCGUCCACAUUUCAGGCCCUCAUGAAUGAUGUCCUGAAACCCUUCAUCCGGAAGUUUGUCCUGGUCUUCUUCGAUGAUAUUCUGGUAUUCAGCUCUUUCUGGGCAGCGCACUUACAACAUGUUAGGGAAGUAUUUACAGCACUCCGAGCAAACAAGUUAUCAGUCAAACAGUCCAAGUGUUCGUUUGGCAAAACAUCAGUCGCUUACUUGGGUCAUGUUAUCUCAGCUCAGGGCGUUUCUAUGGAUUUGGAUUAGGUGGCAGCAGUAGAAGUUUGGUCGCGCCCUCAGUCUAUUCGGGCACUUCGAGGUUUCUUGGGUCUCACUGGCUAUUAUUGCAAGUUUAUAGCGGAUUAUGGGACCAUAUCUGCACCCCUCACGGCUCUUCUCAAGCGUGAGGCGUUCCGUUGGUCGGAAAGGGCAGAGGAGGCAUUUCUUCAACUCAAGCAAGCCCUUAUAUCAGCACCACUGUUACAGAUGCCGGAUUUUUCUAAACAGUUUAUAGUGGACUGUGAUGCAUCAGGGACUGUUUUGGAGCAGUCCUUCAUCAAGGAGAUGGGGCCAUUGCAUAUUUCAGCCGUGUUGUAGCACCACACCAUCAGAAAUUACCAGCGUAUGAGAGGGAAUUGAUUGGUUUAGUCAAAGCAGUGAGGAAUUGGAGACCAUAUUUAUGGGGAAGAACCUUUCUGGUACGGACAGAUCACUAUAGCCUUAAAUUCCUCCUGGAUCAACGGUUGUCUACAAUACCGCAACAUACAUGGGUCAGCAAAUUGUUUGGAUAUGAUAUGUCAGUGGAGUAUAGGCCGGGCAAAUUGAAUGGUGCAACAGAUGCCUUGUCUCGACGCGACGAAGACACCGCAGAAAUUAACAGCAUCUCAGCACCACAUUUUCAGCUGUUUGACACCCUUCGCAAUGAAGCUGCCACCGACCCACAGGUCUUAAGCUUGUGGGCUGCCAUUAUAGCGGGAACUGCAAAAUCAGGAUGGACGGAAGCUGAUGGCCUGCUACUAUUUCAAGGGAAGGUCUUCAUCCCGGACGCUUCAACAGUUUGGAUAGAAAUCCUAGCAGCAGCACACAAUUGUGGUCACAAGGGCAUUGAGAAGACUGUACAUCGAUGGAGAGCAUCCUUCUACAGUCCAUAGGCCUUACGACGGGUCAGAGAAUUCGUGCAAGCAUGCGCCACUUGCCAACGGAAUAAAACUGAGCAUCUACAUCCAGCAGGUCUGCUGCAACCCCUGCCGGUACCAUCGGAAAUUUGGAACGACAUCUCCAUGGACUUUGUUGAAGGAUUUCCUAAGGUUGGUGGCAAGACAGUGGUACUAACAGUGGUCGACAGGUUCUCUAAGUUCGCCCACUUUAUUCCUCUUGGCCAUCCAUAUACCGCAGUGACCGUGGCUAGGGCAUUUUUCGAAGGGAUUGUGUGCCUUCAUGGUAUUUCGUGCUCAAUUGUAAGUGAUAGAGAUACAAUGUUUACUAGUGCCUUCUGGUCCGAGCUUUUUCACCUUGCUGGGGUCAAGUUGUUACUUAGUUCCGCGUUUCACCCCAGACCGAUGGACAGUUGGAAGUGGUUAACAGAAUUAUUGUGAUGUACUUACGCUGCUUGGCAGGUGAUCAGCCAAAAACUUGGUUACAAUGGCUUCCAUGGGCUGAAUUUUGCUACAAUAUGUCAUACCAGACUGCGGUCAAGUGCACUCCAUUCAGGAUUGUAUAUGGCCGGGACCCUCCAACAAUGCUUUCUUAUACACCUGGGACAGCCAGAGUAGCUGCCGUCAAUCAGCAACUUCAGGAUCGAGAUGUUUUCUUGGCAGACAUCAAACAAAGGCUAAUCCAAGCUCAGGUAACAAUGAAGCAGGCACAGGACAGUGGCCGUCGAGAUGUGCAGUAUGCUGUCGGCGAUUGGGUUUGGCUGCGUCUGCACCAAAGGUUGGCAGUGGGUGUCACUCCAGCAGCAACAUCCAAAUUAGGACCUAAGUUCUAUGGGCCAUAUCAAAUUCUGCAACGCAUUGGAGAGGUCGCCUAUAAGCUACAGCUGCCAACCAAUGCAAGAAUCCAUGAUGUUUUUCAUGUGGCACUUCUCAAGAAAUUCCAAGGGGAGCCCCCAUCCGCACUAGUACCCUUACCAACGAUUCUGCAUGGCAAGGUACUUCCGGUUCCAGCACAAGUAGUGAAGGCUCGUUUAAAUAGAGGUGUUUGGGAGUUACUGGUCCAGUGGCUUGGACGUGAGCCGACUGAUGCUACAUGGGAACAAUGUAAUGAGUUCAAGAGAAGAUAUCCAGAAAUACAACUUGAGGACGAGUUGUUUGUCGGAGAGGAGGGAAAUGUUAUAGAUGCUUUUGUGGGCCGCCAAUUCACAAGGCGCAAAAAUAGGAAAGAGGAGAUAAGUCAGGAAUAGUUUCUGUUUAAUCAGUUCCUAAAUAAUAGGUUAGUUCCUUUUUAUGUGGCUAAAUGGUAGCAGUAGAUAUGUCUAUCCUGAGACCGCCUAUGGCUAUAAAGGUGGCUGGGCAUCAACUGUAAUAAUCAACGAGGAAUAAGAUCUCCCUUUUGUUUGGGCGAGAUCACCUGGGAUCAUCCUGGCCAGGCACGACGCCGCCGCAGGAGAUCUGGGUGAUCAGCGCCCUCUUCUUCCAUACACCUUGCGCCACUCCAAUCUCCCUCUCUACUCCCCAUUGAAGGACACCAGGAAACCAAGGUUACAGACUCACCAGCGAGGAGUCGAUAACAUAACAUAAUGUUACUUAGACCAUAGUUUCCCUCUACUCAUCUUGUUAUACAAUCGGCCUUGCUACGCUACAGGGAACAACCUGACGGCGUCCCAAGAGACCCUGAUGAUGCCACCAUUCCUCGCCUCCGCCUCCUGGAAUGUCCACCCAAAUGCCUCCGAAGGGUGGGGGAGCUCCCUCCACUUCUCGGUCCUGAGAUCAACGACAUCAACCACGCAAACGCAGCUCUCCGUUGGGC
rnacentral:lncRNA from 1 species